UUUUCUUUUUUGGGUUAUCUCACUGCCACCACCUUGCUCCAUGAAAACUAAAAGGUAAUUAAAAAUAAUAAUAAUAAUAAUAACCGCUUCUUUGAAGAUCUUUGCCUUUAUCAUUCCAUUGUUUUGUAUGUAUGACCCCCUCAUAUCCGAUAACUCGGAGGAUCGCAAUCUUAAUGCUAUAUAUGCUGGUUGUAUUGGUAUAGCUAUUUUCAUAUGUUUUGUAAUUGGUUUUUUCCCUGAGUAAAAAAUAGAUUCAGUUAGUUUUGGGGGCAUGAGAGGUAGUACGUAGGUUUUUGUCUCGAAAUGUAUGUUGCACGUUUGGUUUGGGACCAUGCCAUUAUUAUUAUUAUUAUUAUUAUUAUUAUUGGAACACCAUAAUUUCUGAAACAAUAGCUCUGCUUCUAGUUGUGUUGCUGGAUUGUUAACCUUUAAGAAUGUAACCUUACUUUUGUUACCAGGUUAAAGCUCCUGUAAGUUUAUUGCACCAGUUUAGCAAAGCCCUAGAAGUGGUGCAAAAUCAGUUCCUCAGGAAAGCAGUUUCCUUUCCCAACGAGAUAUCAGCCAUCCUCCUCCAUGUAGAAAUGGGUGUGACGACAAUGCAGGUUAGAACUGACUACCUGUGUCUAAAUUACAUAUAAAAGACUAAGAUCUUUAUCGGAUGAGAGGCUUCCCGCUUUGUGCCACUGGGAACUGGAACAAACUCCCUGAACAUGGAUGGGAGACUUUUGGGGGUCGGGCUCUUUGGGUCUGAGGCAGAGAGAGACCCAACUGUGAUUGCUUUCUCUAAGUGUUCACUAUGGUUUCCACUUACUAAGACAGCACACUUUUGAGCUGGUUAUCUGACACAUCUUUCAUCUGCCCCAUUAAGAAUUGCUUUUACAGAGCUACGCUUCCAGCUGAUGCCCUCAGCGGUUCUGGACAGACGGUACAGUAGAAUACCCUACAAAGAAAGACUCUUGUCUGUGUGGGCAACCAUGUGUAGAUGGCAUAUGCCGUUACUUAUUGCAAUGCCCUCUCUACACACACCCAAGAGACCGAUUUAUAAAACCUCUGUUCGCGACGGAAUUAAUUUAACCAGGGCAGAGAGGGUGAAAUGGCUGCUGAGUGAGGCUGAUGACUCUGUAACUUACAAAGUAGCUCUCCAUGUCUUGGCAGCAAGGAACAUUAGGCGAAAGAAUGAGAUAAACUAGCAAUUAAGUGCAAAGGGGACUCAGAGAUUUAAUUUGUAUAUUUGAUAUGAGAAUUACAUCUUAUCCUAUGUGUUUAUCCAUAUUUCAAAUCUCAUAUUUUUUAUCUUCAUAAAAUGUAUCUGUGUCUUCUAAGCUUAUGGCAACUUUCUCUAUCGGUUCUACAAUUUUUAUUGAUAAUAGUGUACUGAAGAUUUAUCUGAGCUCUCCUAUUUCCUCUUCAGAGUGUUUUACCUUUUUACAACAAUUUUAUUUUAUGUACUGUAUUUCAUUUGAUCCACUCUGCUCUUUUGAAUUAAAUGCUGUUGCCAGCACCGAGACUCUGGAUAUAUUAAUAUUGCAGGCUUACAGUGCUUUUAUACGCCAGUUUAGCUGUUGUUUCUGCUCUCAAAAAAUCUUGGGAUCUGUAGUUUAGUGAGAGUGCUGAACAUUUUAUUAGAGACCUGAAUUUCCCACAUAGAAUUACAGCUCCAAGGAUUCCUUUGGGAAAAGAAAUGGCUGUUAAACUUUAUCCAUAUUAACAAAGCAUAGGUUGCUCUGUUAAUAAUUACAAAAAGCACAGAAUACGCUAGUUUGAUGGGGACACAGUAAGCACUGUGCUUCCAUAUGAACCUGCGGGAGUAGAGUAUUCUGAUGGUGAUGAUGCAAUGCCUUUAUUUCACAUGACUUUGAGCACAGUUGCAGUCUUACCCCAUGAGCCAAUUUGGAGAAGGUACUUGUGUGCCCUAAGUUGAUGAUCUUGCCUGGUGAAAGAGAGGCCAAAAUAUCUUGGUUGAGAUUAACUCUUUUUCUAAAAAUAAAAUGCCAUAAAACAGAAGGCCCUGGCCAGAAAGCAUAUAUUUUUCAUCCUCCCAUUAGGAUCAAAAUUAAUGGAAGCUGAUGGUUGCUUGUCAACAUCAGGCAUACUGGGAAAUAUUGGUUUACUAGGUCCAUCUUGGGACGCGGGUGGCGCUGUGGUCUAAACCACUGAGCUUGCCGAUCAGAAGGUCGGUGGUUCGAAUCCCUGCGAUGGGGUGAGCUCCCGUUGUUUGGUCCCAGCUCCUGCCAUCCUAGCAGUUCGAAAGCACGCCAAAAAGUGCAAGUAGAUAAAUAGGUAUCGCUCCGGCGGGAAGGUAAACGGCGUUUCCGUGCACUGCCCUGGUUUCGCCAGAAGCGGCUUAGUCAUGCUGGCCACAUGACCCGGAAGCUGUACUCCGGCUCCCUCAGCCUAUAGAGCAAGAUGAGUGCCGCAACCCCAGAGUCAUUCGUGACUGGACUUAACUGUCAGGGGUCCUUUACCUUUACCUUUAGGCCCAUUUCAGGUUGGUUUCUCUUUUUGUGUUAUUGGCAUUGAGGCUUCAAUUGUAACCUUGAUUGGCAACAUACACUUGCAGGUGAAAUAGGAAAAUUAUCCCUUACUGUGACAGAGGUGAAGGGAUUCUAAGUAUGUGCAGGUUCAACUUACCAAACACUAUGCAUUCACAUAAUGAGUCAACAAUUUCCAUUAUCUCCUAUGGAAAUGUUUCUAAUGUGGGAUUUGUCUGUCCCCUCUUCUCUUCAUGGUUUCUUCCCGAAAUGGCUGCAGCUCAGUCGCCAAAAGAGAGGCAAAGGGGGGCGGGGACUGUUUCCAACUGCUGCUGCUCUCCACCUUGUCUACACGUGAAACUCAAAAAAUUAGAAUAUCGUGGAAAAGUUCAUUUAUUUCAGUAAUUCAACUUAAAAGGUGAAACUAAUAUAUGAGAUACACUCAUGACAUGCAAAGCAAGAUAUGUCAAGUCUUUAUCUCAUAUAUUAGUUUCACCUUUUAAGUUGAAUUACUGAAAUAAAUGAACUUUUCCACGAUAUUCUAAUUUUUCGAGUUUCACCUGUAUUUUUUCCUGCUGUGCAGUCUUGCUCCCUCUCCCUCUUUCCAUGCUUUCUGCCUGAAAAUGGCUACCGCCAACCAGCAAAGCAGAAAAAACACAGCAAAUCUGUGGAACUUAUAGUAAGGUUUGGAUAUAAUUCUCAUUCUUCAUAAUUUUCAGAUAGUGAGCGUGCGAAUAGCGGGACCUGCAUAUAUUGCUGUUUCCCAUCCUCCUUCAUGGGAUUAGUGUUUCGACGGGGUAUAGGAAUAAGGCGGGGGGGAGCCAUUGUGUAUACCAUGGCACUGGCCAUGUUGAAAUAGUAGAUACCACAACGUGACAGCAGUAUAGACAAUAUUUGAAGAUGUUGAACCUGAAUGCAGUGCAUCGCCUAAGAGUAUUUAGUGGACCAUGAGUGCAUGAAAUAAUAAAUGAUUGCUGCAAGCACCAUGUAAGACAACUUUCUUUUGUACUGAGGGAGCCACCCUUUAUCCUUACUGAGACUACAAGAAACAGAUCAAAUUGAGUCUGAUAAUGAAUGAAAACUAAUGCCUUGAAUUAUUUGUUUAAGUGUAAACUGAGAUCAAAAGUCCUGAAAGUUUGAGUUUAUGCCUCCUCUGGUUUACGCCUGAACCUGUUUUAUUUGAAUUUUGUUGGUGACCAUUCACUUGCUUAUGUAAGAACCGUGUUGGCUGUCUCAUGUUGCUGGCAGGUCAUUGUAUGUAUGACGUAAGAAAUCAUACAGAUGAAUGAGCCUUUGUAAGGCUCAUAUUAUUAGCCACAUUCAUUUUCUCACAUUCUGUUGCUUUUCGUUCUUUGUCAUCCAUCAGUUUCCACUCCUUAAUAUUAUUGACUAUUUGCUUGCUGCUUUUUUUUUGGGGGGGGGGACACGUUAAAAAGGCACGCUUUGCAGAAUUGCAGUCUGGACCUUCCCCUUUCGCUGGAGCCAAAUUCAGCGGUGUGGGGGUUUUUUUGUUUUCUUUCCCCCUAUUCUGGCUCUCAGGCACAUAAUUGUGCUAUUUUGGUUCUAUUAAGCCUUUAUGCAAAGACAAAUGAAUGGCCCUGGGUGACAUUAUGCUGUGAAAAUGCAGCAACACACAAGGAGCUGGAGGUAGACCGGCCUCUCCAAGUAUAGCUUUUUAGAUGAGGUUUAACCAGCAAAAGGGGGAAUAGCUUUAAAGCAAAAUGUGAGCUUAUAUUUCCCAAAUACUCCCCUUCCCCUUUCUCCAAUCACGUCAAGCAAGAACUGAAGCUCUUUGUGUGCAAAGCUGUAGCAAUGACUUCAGAGCUGGAUUUUGAAACAAAAAAAGAAGCAGCAUGUUUUCUCUUUUCAUACUGGAAUAUUAAUAAAUAUCAGAUGGUAAAAUAUAAUUGAACAAAACCAACUAUUGAAUAUGUUACCUUAUUUUUAUCUCUGUUUUUGCUUGUGGUUUUGCCAACCCUAGCACUUAAUUAGCUGGCUUCCUUAAAGCUUUAGACAGUCGCUUAGCAUUGUUCAGUGUGUAUGUGAACACAAUUUCCCCUUAUUGCUGUUUCUUCCAUGGAUCUCAUUUAUUAGGUAGGUUUCUAAAGCUAUGGUGUUUUCUCCUUUUCUAUCUGCUGUGUGUAGAGUACUGACAACUGUGGAAAAUGAGGUCCAAAAUCUGUGACCUUGUUAUUUAUUUGCCUUCAUCCAUCAACAUCCUUGCUUAUUUUGCCAUAUGGAAAGGCCUAUGAUUGGCCUUGCCUUAUGCUUCUAUUUCAUUGUGUGCUGUGUAUGUGAAAAAGGUCAGGACAGGACCUGACUCCAUUCAAAAUUACAAGGAAGGCAUGUAUCAAAUUAGUGUACACUCCAGACCCCCCAACAGAAACUCCAGUGGGAUUUUCCUCAUGCUCCAAUCGACUGUUUCAGUUUUCAUUAGAAAGUGGUGCAGUUCCUUCCCCAGAGGAAAGAACAGCUCUGCUAUUCCCACCACCGCCACAUGCAAGUGAACACACAGCUGGGUUAAACUUCGCUGUUUUGGGUAAGCUGGUCAUUACGUGUUGGAUGCAAGACCUCCAUGGGAAACUUACAAGGUUGCAAAAGUACUACUUUCUAUACCUCAGAACCACGUCCUUUGGAGCCUGAGUCAUUCGCACACCAUCAGAGCAUCACAAUUUGUUACUACUCAGAACUUGGAACCACACAAUCAAAGAGUCCUAAUAAGUUCCUGGGAACUGUUUGUGCUCAGGCUGCAUGCCAUGUUGUUGUUUAGUCAUUUAGUCGUGUCCGACUCUUCGUGACCCCAUGGACCAGAGCACACCAGGCACUCUGUCUUCCACUGCCUCCCGCAGUUUAGUCAAACUCAUGUUUGUAGCUUCGGCAACACUGUCCAACCAUCUCGUCCUCUGUUGUCCCCUUCUCCUUGUGCCCUCAAUCUUUCCCAACAUCAGGGUCUUUUCCAGGGAGUCUUCUCUUCUCAUGAGGUGGCCAAAGUAUUGGAGCCUCAGCUUCAUAAUCUGUCCUUCUAGUGAGCACUGCAUGCCAUAGAAGAGGACAAAUGUUUUCCAACAAGCUUCCUUCAUAUGGGGUUUCUUGCAAAGCUUGAUAUAAAUACAGUGGUACCUUGGUUUACAAACAGUCCUGUUUAAGAACGAUUCCGUUUACGAACUCCGCAAAACCGGAAGUAGAGUCCCGGUUUGUGAACUUUACCUCGGUCUAAGAACUGAAUCCGAACAGUGGAAGGGCACCGGCAGCGGGAGGCCUCAUUAGGGAAAGCGCGCCAUUUAAGAACGGACUUCCAGAACGGAUUAAGUUCAUAAACCGAGGUACCACUGUAUACCUUCUGACCUUGCUUGGUUAAUAAAUUGGUAUCUUUUGCCUUCUGCACUACUGAGGUGGCCAAACCCCAACCACCAGAGUCCCAGGCUGCCUGGGGAAGGAAACUGGGUGCAACAGAGUGUACUGCUCUGCUUGCACCAACCCUUUGCCCACUUUGAUGUAUCCGACACCACCAGAUAAGAGGCAGCCUGGUAAAUAAUUGAUCCCUUAUCGAAAAGCCUCCAAAAGCUCCAUUGGAUCCCUCUGAAGCCUGCUGAAGUAGUAAGAGGUUAAAGCCACAGGUGUGAGGGUGCUGAAAUAAGCCAAGACCACACAGGAUUUCUGAAACAAGAGUUGAAUUUCCCAAUAUAAAAAGAUACAUAAACAACUGACAGCUCAUGCUGGACUAAGAAUCCCUUCACCUCUGUCACAAGAGACAAUUUCCCCAAGUGUACAUUGCCAAUCAAAGUUACAACUGAAGCCUCAUAGGAUCAUAGAAUUGUACAGUUGUACAGCCUCAUAGGAUAAUAGAAUUGUACAGUUGGAAGGGACCCCAAGGGUCAUCUAGUCCAACCCCUGCAAGGCAGGAAUCCUUCACCCAAUGUGGGGAUCGAACCCCCGAUCCUGAGAUUAAGAGUCUCAUGCUCUACCCAUUGAGCUAUCCCUCAGUGCCAAUACACAGCAAGAGAAACCAAUCUUGGAUGGACCAAUGCUACUUCCAUUAACUUUGUUCAUAAUGAGAGGAUGAAAAAUAGGUUGUAGCUGGCCAGGGGCUACUGUUUUGUGGCAUUUAGCUUUUACUUGCAAUCAGCAGCUAGCCAUGUUGUCAGCCACCAUUAUGAUUAUGUCAGGUGACUGACAGGUGGGUGGUGGUCUGACAAACCCUUUUGAGGUUAAGACUACAGUCCUGAGCUUCUUAACCAAUGUGGCUCCUCUGAAUUCCAGUGGGUAAUCUUGGGGUAAACAGGAUCCCCCCCCCCGUUAAUGCCUUCAUGUUUUCAAAUACAUCUCUGCAACCAGAAAGGCCACACAUUUGCGGGGCAGGGUUGAGGGGUGGAAAGGGAAAUUAAGACUGAGAUUCCCAGGAAUCUGGAUUUGGCAGCAGAUAACUGGAUUCCACCCAGUAAUCCACAUACGUGUAUGACAAAUAGCCUUGCUAAUAGAUUCGGAAGGCUCUUAAUGGCUGAAGUCUCGGCUGAGCAAUUAAGUAGAGUGACCGCAUGUGAGCUGCAUGUCCUGGAGAGAGGCAGAUGAAUUUCCCCUGAAUUAUUGAAAAUAAUCACAAUCUGAUUUAGCAGUGGGAGUGUGUGUCAUGUUUCAGCUUGAUACAAAAUCCUGGUAUUUGGGGAUUCUUUCAGGAAUCUUCCAUCCAAUGUGGGAAAUCAUAUUGUCAGACUAGUCUUCAUCCCAAGAGUUGCCAUUGUCUUAUGACAAUGCGGUUUUUGAGUCUCUCUCUCUCUCUCUCUCUCUCUCUCUCUCUCUCUCUCACACACACACACACACACACACACUGCUUAGACUGUGUGUCCUCAGCCAGCAAAAUGUAUUAUUUUCUUAGACAAAAGAUUAAGGUUUUGAUUGGCUGCUUUAUCAGUAGACUGAGGUUCUUACUUGCAGCUGUCCUGAGAGGCCUUCUAUAAAAUUGCAGGUGUUCAGUUUUAGCAAAUAGUUGUUAUUAUAUGGCUCCACUCUUGGCAGCUAGUAACAAUGUUUCCUGAAAUUGAAAAAUGAUUUUCUACCUUAAGCAGGAGUUUUACAUUACUAGAAUGCUGAAGGGGAGCAGGGGGAGAAAGAAAGCAAGGAAAACCAAACCUCUCAUCAAUACACUGGAUUUGGUUUCAUUGCUUGUGUGUAUUUCCCACUUUUGCACAUAUUUUUCUACACUAUAGUCCCCCCCUUUUUUUUACUGAAGUGAUUACACCUGAAGCUUUUGCCAAAGCAACUCUAACAAUGGUGAACUAAUUAUCAAGAGUUAGAUGGUGUCCCCACCUCCCCCACUUCUAAGAGAGGACCAGCACUUGCUUCUAACCUUCCAGAAAAGCCCCUUUUGCGCUUAGAGCGGCAAAAUAUAUUAUUCUCCCAAAGGUUUACGUGUCGCAUGGCCACAUGAUGAAUGUCGAAAAUGCUGCCAACACGUAAGCCUUCGGAAGAAGAGUCCCUGCUCUGCGGUGUGCAGGUGUGGGAGGAUGUUUUUUAAGCCAUGAGAAAAGCUCACUCAGCCACCUUACUGGUUUAUUACAGUAAAUGGAAACCACGCUAGCACCACCCCUGGAAAGUUCAACAAAGUUCUUCCCCCCUCCCCUGCCUCUUUGCUUUGAUUCACACCCACCUACCUUGAAGUGCCAGGGGUGGGGAGAGACACUGCGAAAGGUUUGUCACAGUACUCGUUACAGCCAGUUGGCGAGUGGCCAUAGCUGCAGGGGACAGAGGUAGGAGAUGUUUCCAAGCAUAGCCACCUCCAGUUUUUCCUCCAACUGUCGCUGUUGCUUUACUUCAGCUGCAUUUGCACCCACAAGCACAUCUAGAGAUAGCUAUUAGAGUUUGAUAAGCUCCUAAUGUGCUCUAAUUUGGCAUCUGAUAAAGGAACUGCCACCAUGUUCUGAACUGAGAGUUCAGAAGAACUGACCCUGAGGGUCAGACCAAGCCUGACACAAGGAAGCUGAUAUGUAAGCAUUGGAGAGAAGAACCCCGCACUACAUUGUUUGGGAAUAUGUCGUGAGCAAUAUGCUGAUGACACAUAGCUCUGUUUCUCCUUUAGAUCUUCAAGUGAGGCAGUGCGUGUGCUGGACCGUUGUCUUGCUUUGGUAAAGGACUGGAUGAGAGCCAACAAACUGAAGCUUAACCCAGAUAAGACUGAGACACUGUUAGUGGGCGGUUCCCUAGACCGGACGGAUGGGAGGUCACCUGCUCUUGAUGGGGUUACACUCCCUCUGAAGGAGCAGGUACAUACCUUGGGUCCUUUGCUGUCACUUGAGGCUUAGGGGGUCUUGGUGGUAAGAGUGCCUUCCAUCAGCUUCAGCUGGUGGCCCAGCUGCACCCCUAUCUACACAGGAAAAGCCCAACUUCUGUUGUCUAUUUUCUGGUAACCACUAGGCUGGAUUACUGCAACGUUUUAUACAUAGGGCUGCCGCUGCAGAUAGUUCAGAAACUUCAGUUAGUGUGGAAUUCAGUGGCUAGGUUGCUCACCGGGGCAAGAUGGUUUGAGCAUAUUACUUUGAUCCUGACUCAACUGCACUGGCUGCCAAUUAGUUUCCCAAUUCAAAGUGCUGGUUUUGACCUAUAAAGCCUUAAAUGACUCAGGACCACAAUACCUCAAGGACUGCCUCUCUUCAUAUAAACCUACCCAGACCCUGAGAUCACCCUCUGAGAUCCUUCUUUGUGUGCCUCCUCCACAUGAGGUGUGGAGGGUGGCAGCAUGAGAACAGGCCUUUUCUGCAGUGGUUCCCCGUUUGUGGAAUGCUACCCCCAGGGUCGUUCAGCUGGCGCCUUCCUUAGAUACCUUUAGGCACCAGGCAAAAACGUUUCUCUUCAACCAGGCAUCUGACUAAUAUUCUACAGCCUUUUAAAUAUGUCUAUGGGAAGGGAAGCGUUAUUGUUUUGUUGUUUCUGUUUUAACUAUUUAUUUGUGCUUUUAUCAUGUAUUUUUAUCUUGUGAACUGCCCUGAGAUCUUUUGAUGAAGGGUGAUAUAUAAAGCUAAUGAAUAAUAUAAAUAUAAAUAAAGACCUCCAGGCUACCACACAACCAUAUUUAUUCCAAUUAGAGUAAAAUGUACAAAACCUAUAUGGUUGGAUCCAGAUUUUAGUAACAAACACACACCAACCAACCAACCAACCAACCAACCAACAAACCAGAGCUCUUUAUAAGUUAGAGGUCAUGGAGAAAAGUGAAUUCCUUUUACUUUUUCCUAGGAAAAAAAAUGGACUAGAGUGGCGUAAUCUACUCUGAAGACCUGUGCCUGCAAAUUUCUUUCACUUUGGCCAAAAGGGGAAAACACUAUAACUGUUUUAGAUUACCCAUUAAACUGAAUGGAGAAUCCAGGGGUUUUAUACAGAGGGAGCACAGAGUGAUUCAGAAACAGAUUGGAAUUUUUAGAAAUACAGAGAUACAGAUAAAAGGCAAAUACUGAAUGAAUGAAUGUUCAUUAUUACGGCUAAACAGCCAGCAUAGAAGAACCAGAAUUUCAGUAUAAUCAAUAUACUUAUUAAAAUAUGCAUCCAAGGAAAUAUAAACUCCAUUAAAAGUUUUUUUUUUUUUUAAGAAUUUGACUGUGAGCUGUGUCAAUUUAUGACUGUUUGUGGAGCUGAAUAAUAUUUUGCUUUAUCUGACUUAUGGCUAUUGCACAAAAUCUAGCCACAUUUCUGGUGACGUAGGAAUUCCAGUCGGACAAGAGGUAACUUAAAUAGUAUUCCUCUGUCCUCCCUGGUACUUUUCAUACAAGCGGCGUUAUGAGGGAGGCUCUGAUAUCUGAAAAAAUCUGUAGUAGAAAAGAACAUGACCCACAGUUUCAAUUUGACCACUUUUACAUGGGCAGAUCCUCUUGCCGUCGGGAGUCCUUUUGUAUCGUGCACAUGGCAAGACAUUAAAUUUGGCUUGCGUCAAUGCCUUUCUAAAUUUGGGGGUGGUCAAGUUUGUCAAAUAAUUGGGAAGUGCCAGUGCCAUUCUGUUUGUGCAAAGCAUGGGAUAUAGAGCAGCUUGGGCUAAUGGUUUUGUAGUUCAGUAUCUCUAAUUCUCUGUGAAAUGUUCCUUUUUGCUGUAUUGCAUCCUUGGGUUAGGAUGUUCUGGUGGAAAAACCCAAGUAUAAUAAUUUGGUGUUCAGUUUUCCCCCCAAUUGGAGGUAAAUAUUGAAGUUCAUGCACAGUCUUAAUAAAUCCUGUUGAUAUAUACAUUAAUACAGAUAGAGGCAUAUACAUGCAAGCCACCUGAAUAAAUGGAGUAGAAAAACCUAACUUCAGGGUUUAAAAAAGAGAAAUUAAAGUAGCAUUGUAGAUAAUUAACAAUGCAAUCACUUGAUAUCUUCACAUUUUGCGGGGGGGGGAGGAGUGUUGCAGGAAUAAGAAGGUACGGAGUGCUCUGCAAACAUUAGCACCAACCUAUCUGAUGCUUAUUAUCUCUUAAUAAUAACUCUCUCUCUCUCUCUUACAGACACAGGUUACAGCUGAUGACAUAGAAUGUUCAUUGUAGAGAUUUCCUUUUAUCUCCUUAUCUGCCCAUUUCUCACUCCCAUUUGUAAAGAGCUCUCCAAGUUUACUCCAUCACACAAAUGUAUCACUUUCAAAGACUUUGCUUUUCAGGCCCAUGUCAGUCUCACAGAUUAGAAUGUGAUAUGAAUCCGAGGCUGCAUAGUUUCUUUAAACCUGAGCCAGUAGCACAGCUACACCCUUUCAUCUGGCAGAACCCAGGACUUUAAAGUGAAAAGCUUGUUGUUGAUUUAAUCCUGUUUCCAGUCUAUGCAGGUCACCUGAACUGCAUUGCUCUGAAUUUAAAUGUUCACACAUGAUUUUGUGUUGCAAAGUUUGUUUGUUUGUAAAAAACACGGGAAGACCACACUUACAAAUAUAAAAUAUUACACGAGCGGAUUGACUUUUUCCAGAUUCCAGAUAUGUUGACAGAACAUUUUCUGUCAUGUAAAGAUCAGGCAUAUAUAAGGAUUUUUCAUAAAGAUAUAUAUAUAUAUAUGAAACCCACAAGGAUAGUUUAGGGUUCAUACUCUUAAAAUGGGCAUUUACUUACUACUUGAAAAUGCUUGGAAGAAUUGUUUACAUUUUUUCACAAUGUUUUGAAAAGUAGUAAUACAUUAAGGUGCUUCUAAAUUGACUGAAGAUAGUGGGACUUACCUGUUCAUAAAUUAUUUGGCCCAAGGACAGCGAUUAAGUCCCAGGAUAUAUCCAGGAGCAGUUGCAGCCUUGUCACUGCCAUUCACUGGGCAGCAGUGAGAUAGGGAGGAAGUCAGCUGUGUGCGGGUGCAUUGACAGGAGUGCCAUAUUGGCUCUGCGGAUGAGCUAGCAAACCUCCGCACCACCCCCUUACCCCCUUCUGGCAAGCAGUAGCGACUCCACUGCUAGGAGGCCAGGUGUGUGUUUCAUAGUGUCUGUGCUCGUUUACAACACCCCAGUCUCUCAUAAAUCAAUAAAUGUCUUUAAUUUGGGAGGAGAGCUGUAGCUCAGGGGUGGAGAGAUGCUUUGCACACUGAAGGUUCCUCGGAUUCUCUAAGUAGGGCUGGGAUAGGCUCCUGCCUGAACUCCGAACAGCAGCUGCUGGUCAGCAUCAGUGAUACUGAGUUAGAUGGACCACUGGUCUGAGUCAGUAAAAGGUAGAUUCCUAUGGGCAGAUCUACACUUGUGGUUUAUAACGUUAAAGAUGCGUUAUUAAAAUAUGACACCGGAGGGCGAAGCAGAGCAGUGAGCCACCGCCAAAUGGAAACUGCCAUUUAACAUUAUUGAACGGUAUAUUUAAUAACGUUUAGAAGUUCAGAGGAGAUCCAGCCUAUGUUUCUAAUCACAACACCUUAACUUUGGGCUCCAUUAAACACACAGAGUCCCCUAGAGCAAGUAAGCUUCCCUCUUGCCUACCAACCUCAGCAGGAGCACUAGGCCCAGUUUCCAAAUGACCAGUGCAAGUACUGAUUGCUGGCCCCUCACCAGAGCUAUGUGGAAAUGGACUGUGCAUCAUGUAAAAAGGUUGCAAGCAUGUGAGGAGACCUAAAACACUUCAACUACAGUAUCAUGUCUCUGCUAAAUUCUCAGCAAAAAUGGAUCCUAACAUAAUAAAUGCAACUGGUUUUCUGGACUCCCCAGAUACAGUCAUGACCAGCAUUGAACAAACAUAAUUAUGCAUGUCAUUCAGAUAUCAUUCAUUUGGUGCUCAUAGCUGCUUCAUAGCUAAUUCUGGUUCAGUAGAAACACUCUUUCUGUUCUCACUUUCUCAUCCUGUCAGAUAGCACACAGCAUGUUCUCUGGGUUAUUGCAAUUAUAGAUGACAAGCUGAAAUAUAUUUCAAAGGUUCUCUGCUACAACAGGUUAUCAGUGUCAUGGCCUGGAAGAAGUGGGAAUGGCCAGUCCAGGAGCAGCUCAGUUGAGCACCUGGUUGAUAAGUUGCUACUCCACUCUUCCUUUUCACCUUCUGGAAAGGUGGCAGAAAAGAUGGACAAUAGUGGUGGACAAGAUCCCUUGAAAAACAGUUGGACCAAUGAGCACAUUUUCCAGAGAUUUCUGCCCACCUCUGGUUCAUCCAUUCCAUUCUAUCCGUGAUGUUCCUUUACAUAGGAAGCAUCUCCAAAUGCCAUUUGUAUUCCGAGCUACACCUGCUCUUUGGGGACGGGGUGUGUGUGAGGUGCCCUUGUCCUUAAGUAAAUACAUAAUCUAUAGAAAUCUGGCUCCAAAUGAAAGACGCGUCCUUUAUGUUUGUGUUGUCUGUUGCGUGCGUGUUUUUCUUUUCUCUUUGUCAUUAAGGUAGGGCAUCUGCUUUGAAAAUAUCUCUUAAGAUUCAUCUGCUCCUUCUUUUGUUCCCUUGUCUGAAGUUUUAAUCCCCCAUCACUCAUAAUUAGUUGCUGUGGAAAUAUUCCCACAAACAUCAACAGGUCAGCAUAUAAGUACCACAUGAUUACCAAAAAACAAAGAUUGUUUUCAUGUAAGUGGACUAAAACAUCCAGCGGUUAGAUGUCUUUUCAAUGCAAUGUCUUUUCAUCUUUCAAAGUGUUGCAUCACAAAUAUUAAUAUAGAACCUAGCACUGCUUUGAAAAGUAACUCUAUAAUAAUAGCUUGCUUGUUUUCCAGCAGACUCCUGAUCAAAUAUGCUCAAUUUACCAUUUGAGGUUUUGGUUUUUUUUAACAUCUUGGCAAUUGAAUUUGAAGUGACAGGCUAUCCCUUACAGUCAUACUUGAAGGUUCUGCAAAUCAAGAUAUGCCUUGCUUCAACAUAUGCAAGGCAAAUGUUUCUUGAAUGUGCACAUCACUGUUAAAUGAAUAUGUUUCUACUUACGUUUCUUUGAUUAUUGAACACCUUUUACCUUCCAUCAUUUUUCACAUCAUUCCAUUGAUCCAACAUCUGAGCUAACCUGUUGCUGUUGAUAGAGUAUCAAAUCCAGAAGACUGUGUUAUCCUGAAUGAAAUGACAGACGAUAAUUCUUUGUGAAUCAGUUCUUAAAUCUACAAAGUUUAUGGGUACAUUGAGAGCAAGAAUGCAUUCCUUGGGAAGUCUUUUCCUCUUCUUUUCACAUAGACCUGAGAAAGCAUAGAUUCUUACAUUGUAAAUAUUAGUAAUUUUGUUUAGAAUAUUUGGAAUAGACUUUUUUUUGGCAGUGAUUGUAUUAGCAGAAGGAAACAGAACAUCAGACACUGUGGGCAGAUGAAGAAAUAUGGGCCAGGUGUGCACAUAACUCCCUUCUAUGUUGGAAUUCGGUAAUGUGAGAAAUAGCCCAUUAUUACAGUCAUAUGCAAUGCAGGGAUCUCUGCUAAAGCAUCCAAUCAGAGCAUAGCUUUGAAAUGGAGUCUAUAUUUCCUAGAGAACCUCUAAUUCAUGGUCCUCUCAAUGUUUGGGUGGUUCACUGAAAUUGCUUGCAGUGUCUAGUGAGCAAGCAAUCCUGAAUUAUCUCCUAGAACAGACUUUCUCAGCUUGCUGGCAGCGGCUGCUGAGAGUUGUUGGCCAAAACACAUGGAGGGCGCCAAGUUGGGGAAGGCUGCCAUGGAACCAUAUGGCAGAAUUAUCCCCGCUUGUUUCAAAAUGAUGGCAUUAUCUUUCAUAUGUCAGCAUCAGCUAUUAAAAAUGCCUCUCCAGGGAUACUUACAAGGAAGUGAUAUGAUUAAAUUGAGUGGAGCUUACUUCCAAGUAAACAUAGAUAUGAAUCUAUGUUUACUUGGAGGUAAGCUCCACUUUUAACUGUAGAGUUAAAAGGGACCCUGAGGGUCAUCUAGUCCAACCCUCUGCCAUGCAGGAAUAUACAGGUGGCCCAUAUGGCGAUUGAGCCAGCGACCUUUGUGAUAUCAGCACCACACAUGAAGAUCAGGCUUACAAGCAUACUUUGCUUAUGGGGUGUUUUGUUAGUUAUGUUUCAUUAUUAACUGUGCAAGUCUAUGCAUGUGGGUGGUUUGGGGAAUCAGGAUGCCAAUUGCCCUCGUAACAACAUGUGAAUGAAUUUUUCCCCAUUGAUGAAAAUCUGAUAAACAUUCCUACCCACAUAGGUUUUAGCUGAAGCACUAGGCCUCAGCCUGGCUUUUCUUUCAGCAUCAGAAGUUACAUGAACCUCUGAGCAGCCUUACAACAUGAAAUCAUCAGCUGCUCACAUCUGCCUUUGGAACUGUGCUGUACAGUAGUAUAUUUUUCAUUUUUAUAUCAAGAUGCGCCCACGACAAGUUUAUAGAAGUUAGAAAUUCAGCCGGAGGAUGCAUUAGGAAUAGCAAAAGCUCAUGCAUAGUUUUUAUAUUAUUCACACAGCUGGAAUGUUUAUAGUUAGAAGAGAGUGCAGCGAGAGAAAAUGCUGAACCCACAUCAAGAGGUUCCCAUGUCGUGCAUGUCGUUUAACUAUCAAUUCUAUAAGGGCGUUUGCUAUGUUCUUCGCGCACAGAAAGACCACAACUAAGUGCCUAAAAAUAUCCCAUGAGUUUUUAAAAAUGUGGACAAACAACCCUUUCCUUUUGAUAAUUCAAAUGCAUUGUUUCGGUCAGAUGGCUCUGCAACAUCUGGUGUUCCAGAAAGCAUUUUAAAAUGUCAUCUCACUUUUCCUUUUCUGUUCCCUUUUUCGAGUGCACCUUUGGAGGAUUUGGGGGAAGAUGUCAUAUUCUGAAGAAACAUAUCCAAAGUGCAGAGGAAGGGAUCUAUGAAUAGCAUUUUAUGUAUGGAUCUAAUAAAAUACGGAGUUGAUGGCAGAGAAAGAACUGCAAGUGUGACACCAAAGCUGUUUUGAAAAAAGCCACAACUUACUGUCCUAAGCGUGAACUUAAUUUUCCAAGAGUACAAGCUGCAGGGUGUAUUUAGAUCCUCAACUGGAAAGCUAAAAUAUUUGUUCCAUCAUAAUGGACUUCACAAACACAUUUUUAGUUUGAAAAUGAACCAACCAUUUCAGCCACUGGCUGGAAAAAGAGCAAAAAUAUAUUCAAAUAAAAAUCUACCUCUAACCUUGUAUGGCCCCCCAUUCUUUAAUGUCAUGAAAUAGCUCUUGCCUUUGUUUUUUGUAUCCUGUGGUAUGAAACAGCACAACUGUUGUUGAUUUUUAUACUGCUUUUCAGCCCCAGGAGCACCAAACAACACUUAAGAUACAACAUUUAUGUGAAGCUUUGCAGACUCUACCAUCAAGUACGGAAGCCAAGUGAAAACCCUAGUUAAAGCUGCUGAUAUUUACCUUUUGACUUCAAGCAAUGCCCUGUAGGUCUAGGAAGAAAACUCCUGUGUCUGAGGAAGCAGGCUUUUGCCCAUGAAAUCUCAUACCACAAUAAUCCUCUUCUGUUGAUAAAUGUUUUUUCUUUUCCUCUGUUACCUGGUGAUAUGCUGGGUUGAUUGGAGGCCUCCAUCUUUUCCUCGAACCACAACUGGAGCAGCAAGGAAGGUGGGAUGAAGGAGCUCUUCUACAGCUCAGAUUAAAAUCAAUCUGGAGAAUAAUUUUUCAGGGCUUCAAUGCUUGACUUAUAUUUGAGGUAAGAACUAUAUACUACCAAGAUACAGUGGUACCUCGGGUUACAUACACUUCAGGUUACAGACGCUUCAGGUUACAGACUCUGCUAACCCAGAAAUAGUACCUCGGGUUAAGAACUUUGCUUCAGGAUGAGAACAGAAAUCGUGCAGCGGUGACACGGUGGCAGCUGGAGGCCCCAUUAGCUAAAGUGGUACCUCAGGUUAAGAACGGACCUCCAGAAUGAAUUAAGUUAUUAACUAGAGGUACCACUGUAUGUAUUUCCAAACUGGGAAAUACGGAACUCUGAAAUCUUACUGUGAUGUUUAUGACGGACCCGUUCUUUGUUCCAAAGCCACAAUUUCAAACGUCCCUAGGUUAAUCACUGGCAAGUCCAUUCCAGGACUUACACUAAACCGGAGGGCCAUGGGGAUUUUCGGAAGGAGGAGUCUGGUGAUGCCCUGUGUGCAGGAAGGAACCUAGUUGUUCCUUAUUUUAUUCCUAAGAGUCCCAAACUGUGACCGCAGCAUUCACUAAUUGUAGGGAGGGAAUAGCAGGGGAGUGGGGCUCUGCUUUGAAUAUCAGGUCUUCGGUUUGGAGGUGCCAACAAAAUGGAGCACAACAAUGGCACCUUCCUAAAAGCACCUAUGAGCAACUUUUGUUUUUGCAAAGACAACUUGAAUACAGAAUACGGUUGAGCCUGUUAGCGGCUGCUCUAUGCAGCGGUGAGGGCUGGGGAAUGCACCUUAAAAAAGAGGCAGCACAAACACACUGCAGAUUUCGGAUCUCCUGGCAGUUUGAAAUCCAUUCAGUUGUAUACAGAAGUUUUCAAUCUUUCUUUCGUUUAGAUUCCAGAAUAAAAGGGGGAAGGAGUGGAGAAGUCUCAGUGGUAUUAGCUUGUCCAAAUGUCUAGUGAACUCUUGCUUGCAGCGAUAUGGACUAUGUGAAAUGUUGACACUUGGAAAAUGUUUGGUAAUUUGUGCUCUUAAGUGUGCAUCCCAGCUGUCCUUCAGGCAUUUCUGCCUGUGUGUGUUCUUUCUCUCUCUCGAAUCCCUGAAGCCACUUCUUGCUUGGCGAUUCCUCUUCUGGCUUCCCUGAUGUAUAGGCAACAAAUGCCCAAAGCUCAGCUUUGUGCACUGGAAAUCCUAUUUAUGUGCAGACCAUACUCCUGUUAACAUCCUGUUAACAAUACAUUUCUGGGGGUGCAGUGUGGGGAAAGAUAAAUGAAUGGACGUUCCCAUAGACAACGAAACAUAUUGCCCCUCCCCCAUCUUGCAUGGCUUAGUCCCUCAUCUAUGCAUAACUCUCAUCUGGGAUUUUCUUGGCUAUUGUUCCUCCUUUUUCCAGUUAGCUUUUAUUUCACACAUCGUUAUGUGAAGCACUGUUCACAGAGAUGCACUGCCCUUGUCACAGCAGAUCUCUGUUGCGUGCACCUGCGGCUUGAAGCGUUGGGUUGAGGGAAUAUUCUGAAAACGUUAGAAUCAUUCACUUUAAGUGUGUGAUUGUGCGUGGUGCCAGUUAUUUAUUUAUUUUUGUUCGCACACUCACCCUCUGAAGGUGUGUUUCUCACUUGAGGAAACAGAUGUAGUGUAGAGCUACAAGCUUUCAAGAAGAGAUCCCAGAAUAAUUCAUUAUUCCUAUGAUGGCCAGUGCCGUGAUACUCGGAAGGAAGAGGGACAGAUGAGCCAUUCAGUGAUGAUGGUAGGAGGGUGUCAUCACACUUUUAAAGGGCUGUCUUUAGAAAAGGGGUUUGGACACUGCCACAAAAUGUAUCUAAGGUGGUUUCUGGAGCCUGUUGGUCACAAUCUGAUUCUGUGUGGGCUGGAUUUCAGUGCAGGGGUCUUUAUCUACUGCCAACAGUGACUGUGGGCUGCUAAAGGAGCCAUCCUACAAUUGGUGCUUCACUGGGUGCGAACACUGCACAGAAAGAAGGCGCAGGACCACUGUCCUCGCUGGUAGGGUCUUCUGGAACCUCUAAAGCAUGAACAGUGGGUGACAGUGGAGGCCCUACUCCACUUCUGAACCUUAGUAGUGAGACAUGCAGAGGAUGGUUGUCCAGGAAAUAUCGGGGGCAGUUCUGCAAUAGGAGGGAGGCAGAAGGAGCUGUUGACCCUGCUAGAGAUCAGUGGCUUAGAAGUCCCAUAAGGGUAUAAAGAAGAGGUCCUGUCACCGUUCUAUAGGACAUUCUGGCCAGGAGAGAAGCAAGAGGGGGCAAGGGUGCCUUUUUUCAAUCUCCUCAUCUCCUUCCUGCUCUAGGGAUUCAUCAUCUGCUUGAGCAUGCUUCAGUCUCCCCUGCCAAUUGAAGGUAGGGACAAAAAGAAAGGAAAAGGCCUGUAGGGCCUCUGCCAAUGCCACUCUGGCCAUGACAGGGUCCAGGCCUGGUGAUGCCCAGUCUAUGAGUCACUGUCACAACCUCUCUGGCCAGGUCUGAAGAGCCCAAUGAAUCUGAAGAUGGGGGGGGGGUUGUCGGCAGAGGAUUUGGAUGCCGCCUUCAUGUGUCAGGAUACCUUUUAUACGUUUAGUAUUUUCCUGCUCUUCCAGACACGGCAACACACCCUCCUCUUUUGGUUCUGGCCCUGCAGUACCUCUGAAGAGAAAGCUUCUCAUCUACCCUCUAGUGUUCUUAAAGGAAUUUCUUGACUCCCUGAGUUUCUCAACAGAGAGCACAAAGCAGAGCUUCCCAUAGCUAACUUUACAUGCUCAUGAAGAAAGUCUCAAACUUCCAGUGGUAGACCCCACCUUUGCAGCACUUUCUUUGGCCUUUGAUGGUAACCCCUGGCUAAGCAAUAAAGAUUUAAUUGGCUAACUUUCUUUGGUUAAGUCAUUCCCAAGGAGGUCCAGAAGACUCUUGUGACAAAUGUAUUGAGGUGUUUCUGUGCAGAGGAUUUGAAGCAUCAAGGCCUUGGAUACAGUUCCAUUUAUCCUUAAAGGAUGACAGUGUCCAUUUGUCGAAAGCUGUAUUUUGUAAUAAGCACAAAUGCAUUCAUGGAGAUACGAUCACUUUCUUCCUCCGUGCAAUGAGACAUAUAAUUUUAGGCAACCAAAGCAGACAGAGGAAACAACCUGUUGGCAAACCGAUGCCUCUAAAGAGCUGUGCUCAAAAUGAGUAGAUGCCUUUGGAUAGGGUGAGUCCUCUGAGGGUACCUGCAGAAUUGUAUUUCUGCAAUAUUCCUUGUUGCUGCAGGGAUAACACUUCUGGUUUUUAUGGUUCCUCAAAAACAUUUCCAGUAACCCAUUAUUUUAAAUGAGCACAGUAUCUGCACAAUGUGCCUAAACUAUAACAUAAUCAUUUUCCUGCAUUUGCCCUGUACUUUGUUGUGCAUCAUACCCUUUAAAAGACAUGAGCUACAUCAUUUUCCCUCCCAAAAGGCUUUGUAGUUUGGUGGAAGGUUGAGUGUCGGUGCAGGAAUCGAGUUGCGGCAACACAGCUCAUGCUACAAAGUAAGCUGUGUGUUUCCAUGGCAUAUAUCCUGUGAUGAAAGCUUCUCUCUGAAGUAGUCACUUUUGGUAAGCAAUGCAUUCUUUCAAGACACAAAUGCCAUUUUGUUCUUUGACAGGUAAUUAUAAACUCUGUCUUGGGGAGUAGGAGUUGGGGGGAGAGCAGUUCCACAACAUGCCGGCUUUCAAGUUUAGUUUUUAGUUAAUCUGCUUUAAUCUCGUGUGUGUGUGUGUACCUGUGUAUAUAAUAUCAUUAUAACAUAUAUGCCUAACACAGCCGGCGGUUCAAAAAUUCUUUGAAAGCACUUCCCUCUCAAAAUUAAUCUUAAGGCUAGGGAGACUAGCUAAGCUUUGACAGUUGAAAUCAGUUGGGUAUACAGUGUCUAUGUAUCUCUAUAGAUGUCGGUAACUGAUAUUGCAGGCAGUCCUGACAAGUGUCAUCCCCUUAUGAGUCAUAUGCAUUUUUUAAAAAAAUCAGGUUAAAAUGUGCAUGUUUAUUAUGUGGCAUGUGACUGCAAAAGACACCUGUGAGUUUUUAUUCCUUCUAUUUGUAAGUUGUACGUUAUCCACAAAUCUUUACGGACAGUUAUGUAAUUCAUGUGUUUUUUAUAUACAGCAUUCUUUAAUGCAAAGGAUCACAAAACACUUCGGCCCUAAGCUAAAGAAAAUAGGAAGACUUUAAGGUGAGAUUGAAAGGGAGGAAGUGACUCAGUGGUUGAGGGGGAGCCUUCCAGAUGGACAGAACAGCGCAAGCAUGAGAGCGACACCCGACUGUGAAAGGCCAGGGGGAGAAAGCAGAGAGGAGGCCAAGACUCGGAGAGGCAGAGCGAGGGGAGAAAUAGGUGAACAUGAGGUCAUAGAGGUAGGGUGGAGUGAGCCCUUGGGGGAUUUGCGAAAACAAGGAAAGUAUGUCUGAGCUGAAAGACACAGAUAGGAAGUGGGGGGUGGCGCAUCCCCCCCUCCUGCGUGGCAGCAUUGCCUGGCUGCUGCAGUCGCUUUCAAGAAUGAUUGAUUGCCAAUUCAUUCUGCUUGCCAAGCUUUAUGUAAUGUUAUUAGCUGAUUGCCACACAUAUCAGAUCAUUUCCAGCAGAGCGCAAGCGUAGUCUUAAUUCACCCGCAUUUGCUCUUUCAUUCGUCUCCAUGAAAGAAAAGAAGACAACAGCAACGUCCCAGCUCCAGACAUUGUGGUUUUAAUUCCUAUGCGAACUCCACGCACACCCUUCUCCAAAUGUUUGCUCUUUUGUGGAAAAUGCAAGCAUGGCUUUUCAGAACUGAGAACUGAAAUGCGCAGGAGGCGAAUAAAGGUGGCAGCGUGCCAAGGCUGGAGAGGGGCUGGCCCUUUUCAUGAGAACGUCGGGUGGAUGUAGGACGAGGAGAGGAGACUCACUUGCCUCCUCUGUAUUUUUUGUCCCAUCAGAAUGGGGUGACCUAUGUACAGCAGGUUUGCAUAGUUAAAGCUGUGGUUUUCCCAGUAGUGAUGUAUGGAGGUGAGAGCUGGACCAUAGAAGAAGGCUGAUCGCCGAAGAAUUUAUGCUUUUGAAUUAUGGUGCUGGAGGAGACUCUUGAGAGUCCCAUGGACUACAAGAAGAUCAAACCUAUCCAUUCUGAAGGAAAUCAGCCCUGAGUGCUCACUGGAAGGACAGAUCGUGAAGUUGAGGCUCCAAUAAUUUGGCCACCUCAUGAGAAGAGAAGACUCCCUGGAAAAGACCUUGAUGUUGGGAAAGAUGGAGGGCACUAGCAGAAGGGGACGACAGAGGACGAGAUGGUUGGACAGUGUUCUCGAAGCUACCAGCAUGAGUUUGACCAAACUGCGGGAGGCAGUGGAAGACAGGAGUGCCUGGCGUGCUCUGGUCCAGGAGGUCACGAAGAGGCGGACACGCCUAAACGCCUAAACAGCAACAUGUACAGCAGCAGGGGUGCUGAUGAGUGCUUAAGACUCAGGGCACAGGCCCAUGGCACAAACUUGCACAACCUUUGCACAUAGUAAUCUGUAUGUAUGGAUGCGAAAUUAGGUUGCCUUUCAGAGGGGAAAAACAAAUUCAGGCUUUCUCUGAACUAUGGGGUGCUCACAAAAUUAUCUGGGCUCAGUAUACUGUAUGUGUAUCAGGCCUCUGCCCCUGUGGCUAUUGGCAAGAGCUGCUAUUUUAUGUACAUAUUGAAACUAAAAAGUGCCUCUGGGCAAGUUAAGAUCGCUGGUGGCUGGGGUGUCAUCUGCACUGUACUUUUUUGUGUGCCCAAUAGUUUUGUUCGCGUCUCCGCUCCUCCACAUGCAGCUGCUGGGUGACCUUGGGCCAGUCACCCUUCUCUGAAGUCUCUCAGCCCCACUCACCUCACAGAGUGUUUGUUGUGGGGGAGGAAGGGAAAGGAGAAUGUUAGCCGCUUUGAGACUCCUUAAAGGGAGUGAAAGGCGGGAUAUCAAAUCCAAACUCCUCUUCUUCUUCUUCUUGUAAGGAAAGUUUCUUAAAAGGCAGAAAAGGGUAAGAGACCUGGGGCCUUGCACAAAAAAAGCCAGGACUCGUGUCCCUUGAACCUCCCCCUAGCCACACUCCUGGCUCGUCGCAAUGCAUCCAGCCCCUUGCAGACCCCUUCUUUGUCAUUCAAUUUGAAUAGCAUUCUGGAUAAGCAGUCAAGCAAGAAGAAAUAAGAGAGGAGGCAUGACAUAUAUAUCAUAUAUCAUGAUAUAUAUCAUCUAUACAGUGAGCGUUCAAAACUUGGUGAAUGUCAACAUUCACCUGUGAAUGCUGACAAUUCCAGAUGAAUUUUGUAAAUGCCCCAAAGUAAACACAUAUUUUCCUACCAUUCAGGCAUACACAAAGACAUUUAGUGAUGAUCAACAUUUAGUAGCAUAUUACUAAGCUUUUAGUUAUUCACCAAAACUUUGUGAGGUUGUCAACAUUUACAUUUGAAUGUUGACAUUCACCAAAUUUUGCGCAUUCACCGUAACGUCUUGCAGUGUAGGAGGGUUUUUUUUGGGGGGGGUUUCCUUGUUUUUUGGGUGGGAUGUGUGGUAGAUGUAAGGCCGUGCAAUUCCUGUUACAGAACGCAAGACUGUGGCAGAGAAGGCUGGGUGGUUCCUUUUAUGCUCCUGUAGCAGAACAGACUCCUGAAGUCUUCUUUCUGGUCCACCUCAGAAGCCCCGUCUCCCGGGAGCCCACCAAUGAGGUUAAUUGGCUCCCAACUCCACCCACAGACUCCGCCCUAUGAGUUGCAUGAAGGGCCACGCCUGGGGCGGGAGGUUCCUGCCCUUUCCCCCGACCAACAUGAAGCUGGAAACAGGGGAUGUCAAGACAUACGAUUCUUGUUACAGAAUGUAACCCUGGGGCAUUAUGCCAUCAUAUCUUUGGAGCUAAUCUAACAAGAAAGAAGGUGUGACAAUGCAAGUCUGUGUAUAAGAAAAGAUUAAAGGCAUUAUUAGUACUAGAACUUGCUCAUAGUCUUCAUAUCAAGCCAACAUUUAACCAAAAGUGUUGGUCUUAUUAGCAGAAUCUUCUUCAGUAGGCUGAGAAAUUAAGAGCCUGAUCGAUAACUAGCUUGCUGCCUUAUUAAAUUCAUAGUUUCUUGAGCAGCCAUUAAAUAAAUGCUAACUUUGGAAUGUCUGCAAAGAAAGGAAUUGUUGCAUUUUCUCUGUAAUAAUUUUCCCAUUCCGAUGUGUCUGUUAACUUGGAUGGAUUUAGUCCCUUUUAAAUCACAGGUCUAUCCAUGUGCAGGCCAAAUGUUUUGAGUUGGAGAUAUUUCACACACACACACUAAAUAAAUAAAGGCGAUUUUAAGGCGUUCGCUAACAUCUUUUCCUUGAAAACGUCUAGGACGCACUCAGACACUGAAAGAUAAUAAAGUGGUGGGACAUUUUAAAGAAGUGCUAUUAGCUGUUUCUUAACACCGUUGGCUGGAAAUGACAUUUUCAUCCAGAACUUGCUUUUCUUCCUUCCUUCCACAUCCAGACAUUUUGUCGCAACAGGAUUUAUAGUUGUAGCUCCAGAAGUCAGGAAUGAAUUGAUUAUCUCUCCUGGCAAAAAAAUUAAAGUAAAAGACUCUGAAAACACAGAGCAUUCCUUUUUAUGCAUCUGAAGAACACCCGAUUCUUUAUCUAAUUAUCUUUGUUUAACUUCAGUAAAUGCAUUCUUCUGUUGAGCCACCUGACAUUGGGCAAUUUACUGCAAGUUGGGUUUCUUGUGAGAUCUAGUAGAGAUGGCUGAACUCUAGUAGAGAUGGCUGAACUCUGGAGUCUGAAGACUCCAGCGAGAGAUGGUGGACUCUCCUUCCUUGGAGGCUUUUAAGCAGAGCUUGGGUGGCCAUCUGCCAUGUAUUAUCUAGUUGAGAUUCCAGUGUUGCAGGGGCUUAAUAAUAAUAAUAAUAAUAAUAAUAAUAAUAAUAAAUUUUAUUUAUACCCCACCCUCCCCAGCCAGAGCCGGGCUCAGGGGGCUAACACCAGUAAAAUUACAGUAAAACCAUAAUGGGGGGGGGGGGUAACCAAUUUAAAAUACAGGUUAAAAUGCAAUUUAAAAUGCAGCCUCAUUUUAAAAGUAGCCCAUAGAUCAAAACCAUAAGGGGAGGGAAACAUAAGGGUCAGAGUGAGUCUAAGCCGAAAGCCAGGCGGAACAGCUCUGUCUUGCUGGCUCUGCGGAAAGAUGUUAAGUCCCGCAGGGCCCUAGUCUCUUGUGACAGAGCGGUCCACCAAGUCGGGGCCAGUAAUGAAAAGGCCCUGGCCCUAGUUGAGACCAAUCUAACCACCUUGUGACCUGGGACCUCCAAAGUGUUGUCAUUUGUGGACCUUAAGGUCCUUCUCGGGGCAUACCAGGAGAGGCAGUCCCAUGGGUACGAGGGUCCUAGGCCGCAUAGGGCUUUAAAGGUCAAAACCUUUAAACUGGAUGACCUUCGGGGUCCCUCCCAACUGUACAGUUCUAUGAAUCUGUGAAGCUCACCAUGGAUUAGCUCAUGGAUUGAUGGCAUUCAGGUGCCGGCUCAGAAAAUGGCUUUUCGCCCAGCCUUCGGGGUGGAAGUGGUCGCUGAUGAUUUAGUAACUUCUGUUAUUUUGCUGCCGUUGUGUUUUUGUGAUUUUACAUAUAGAUAUGGUUGUGUGCCAACUUUCAGUUCUCGCAGGGACUAGGCAGUUCUCUCUUACCCCUGAGGGGGAACAGCCAGUGGGACGGAGGGAAGAAAAGCACAUUUUGCUCCUUUUUUCUCAUGGCUCCCCUAUUUGCUGUUCCUACCAUUGAAUAAAGGUAAGAAAAUGGGUGUGUGUUUGGGUGGACGGAUGGACAGGGAGGAGUUUUGGCAAUGGGGAAGUUGGGGCAGGCAGGAUUUUAUUCCAACCUAUACUUUUAUCUAUUAAGUAUUUGACAAAAUUUAUAGACUGCCGCAUCAAAAUAAUAGUGUAAAACAUUUUAGCAAAAAUACUGAUAAAACAAAUAAAACAUGCUAAAAUUAUUUUUAAAAAUGGAGAUAAAAGCAACAGGAUUUAAAAGCAAGUGUUCUAAAUUGCAGAAAAGUAGUUUAAUCACCGCUAAUAAAGAGGACAUAACGGAAGUAUUUAGCACAUUUUAGACCAGGAGGGAAAGAGGCCGUAGGGUUCACCAUAGACACUACUUUCAACUUCAUGUAUGAUAUUUUUUAUUCAAGCUUCCUAAUAUGUAUUCAAUGAACAAAAUUACAAUUACACAACAAUUGCUGUAUGCAUUAUGUAAAUCCAGGCUGAAGUUUCCAAGUACUGAGUUGUGGGAAAGAAUAAAAUGGGGGAAAUGUCAGUUUACACAGCUGCCACUUUGGUCUUGGCAAUAUUCACCCACCUGGCAAGAGUUACGAGAGGCCAGUGGCACGUAUUGUGCAACCUCCUCAUCUGAAAACACGUGCAAAAAGGAGAUACCAAUACCAAUUUUCAAAAAAACCCCAACUUUUUAUGUUCUUUCUGCAUAAUGUUCUGUUUGAGGCAAUGAGUUUCUCUGUUAAUGUCCAGACUUUAUUCCACCAUCCCUGAGUUGUAACGCCAAUAAGACUAGGAAAUGUAUUGGGCUAUAAGGUUUUGCAGACUGGAGGCUCUUUAGUAGCAGUGAAUUUAAUCUAUCUGCUUAUUUUACAUAUUAAAAAUUUACAUAGUCUGACAGUAUUUAUUUUUAAAUAUGUCUCUUAGCCCACAGGGAAUCCUGUAUUUCCCACCCCACCCACAAAAAUGUCUGUGGUGUAAAUAUUUCCUUCCACUGUUAUAGAUAAUAGAUAUUACUGUAAAUCACUUUGAGACCUAGAUGGUGAGAAACAGAAAGUAAAAUUAUAAAAUAAAUAAAUCUUCACUGCUGGGCAGUAAAGGCCGGCCAAGAACAAAAAUGUGCCUCGUGCACAAAGAAAGAAGAAUCCAGAUGCAUUGAGUGGAAUUCUUUUACCAAAUGAAAUACAACCCAUUUUUACAUGCUCUAGAACAAAGGCUUGCUUUAAUAGAAUUAAACAUUAAAUUGGAUUAUUUGUGGAGGAUUCACUAUUACAAUUACAUUUUUAAAAAGUCCUUCAGGCCAAACUUUUUAGAAAAAAUCUAGAAACCAACCAGAAUGAUGUGAUGUGAUAAUUAUAACAAUUAUUUUUGGAGAAGGAAAUCAUUAAAAAGUUAGUCUGAAAGGCCGUACAACUGACAUAUGAUUUUCUUCUUCUCUAUGGAAUCUAUUUUAUGUGUGUUUGGCAACUAGAAGAGGAGGAAAAAGUUGUUUUUAUUGCAUGGUGCUGAAAUCCAAAUUCAACUUUUCUUUAAAACUCAUUGAAAGCGGGAGAUUUUGUGAAGGCCAUGAACUACUAUAAUACAUAUUCCAUCAAUCUAUGAUGCUUCCCCCCCACCUUGUUUGUAUUCUUUCACCGUACACCAAAUGAUUGAGAAUCCAGCUACUGCUAGCAUAAGGUCCAUUGUUAGAAGUGAAUGGUCAGCGGUGUGCCCAAAAGCCUUUUGGUCGGCCUGAGGGUAGCACAUGGUGGGAAUAGCUGGGUGAAUAAGUAUUUUUUUUAUGUCUACUGUACUUCUCCAGUUAGCAGUGGAUCACAGAUUUCUUAGUAAAUCCAGAAAUAAAUGGCCUUUCCAACAACCCUACAAGAAAUAAAAAUUAUAGCUUUGGUAGAGGAAAGUCCAGGGGUAGAAUUUACAUAUUUAUGAGAAAAAUGAGACCGCUGUUAAAAUGGAAUCUUCAUAUUGAGCUUUCUCCUCAUACCCAUCACAAGAUUGCAACAACUUAGACAGCUUUAAAGGUGUACGAGGCAAAAUUCAUGAAGGAUAAGGCUUUCAGCAGCUACCAGAGCCAUAGCUACGUGAUCUUGCGCCCCUGGCAGAACCGUCCAGAUCAUGCCCCCUAGCCACUGACAAUUUUUUUAAACCUUUUCUUAUGAGGCAAUAAUCAAUAUUUUUAUUUAUGGACAUAUUUUUAGCCAUUUUUGCAUCCCGCUCUUGCUUGCACCCCUGGUGGGGGCCCACCUCACCACCCCCUAGCUAUGGCCAUGACAGAUACAAGUCCUUAUGGCCAUGUAUGGCCAGGACCAGAGGCAAUAUACCUCCAAGUACCAGAUCUUGGAAGAACAACAGUAGGAGAGGGUGAUUGUAUCUGGCAUCUGGUUGGUCAACUGUGGGAAACAAGAUCCUGUUCUAGAUAGGCCUGUGGUCUGAUCCAAGAAAGCUUCUCUUACGCUCUUCUGUUAGCUGUGUGGGGAAAAACAUAGUUAUGUCAGGAUGUAAGUAAGUUGUACUGUAAGUCAGAGGGAAGGAGUCAACAUGGGUUUGCAAUUUUUCAGCAUCAGUUUGCUUGAUUUUUAUCAUUAUUAUUUGUAAUGUGUAGUUCUGCCCUCAGGGGAAAAUAGGCAUUGCUCAGUUGAAAACAGAUGUCCAUUGCCCCUCUAAACAGGAGGGCAUUUUUUCUUCCUUAGUAUCUUAUAAGCUGUAUGGUACCUAUGACCGAUCCCUUGCACAGAAUCCUUCACUUAAGAAUAAGUGCUGGGGUGGCAGGAGAGAGAUAGAGAAAGCCAGAUUGUUGUUGUUGUUGUUGUUGUUGUUGUUUCGCAUUAGCUGUAAAUACUACUUUUCUUAGGAUAACACUUUUUAGAGGCCUGCGUUUCAAGUCUGAGCAAUAAAUUGGCAUUGUAAAUUACUUACCACUUAAUGAGGACAGCUCCUCACGUCAGAAAUGGAAAGUAUUCCAACAGAAAAAGGAAAUGGAUAUUUUUCUUUCUGUUUUGGGAGAGAGUUGCUGAGGGUGGGAGUAGGAACUGAGGCAUAUGUUCACCAUACCACCUGUGUGUUUCUUCUUUUUUCGUUCAGCUUUUGAGGAAUUUAUUUAUGCCUUGGCUUAUUUGGGGCACCUUGGAAAAUGAACAAUAAUAUUUAAUUCUUCCCUUUUAAAUGCAUAUGAGACUGAAGUUGUGUUGUUGUUUUAUAAGUCUACAUCUUGGCAUAGAACCGUGGCUGAUUAAUUCCAUGGAAAAGCUCAUUUUUGGCAAUCUUUGUUAUAUUUUCUUUUAAUAAUACCCUGUCUUUCCACACGGCAAUCCCUUGUGCCCUGAACUCUCCCACCCACCCUACACAUGCAAACAAGAAGCUUCUUUUUAGGGAAUUAAAAAAAUAAAUCAGACAUCUGAUUGUUGUGUGUAUAGACAGAGAAGCAUGGGAGUAAUUUCUGCAUAUGUGAGAGUCUGUUCCUUCAUGGCUCUGUUGUGCCCUGUUAAAUUAUUGUCUUUCUCCCCAGAUCGUACUUUUCAUUGGCCUUUUGUUUAUUUAACCAACUCAUUUUUAUUGAUGCAGUUCUUUUUUAUAUGUCUUAUAAAUCAUGUUAAUAGAACAAUCUAUCAACAUCCAACCCCUGCUAUAGCUUUGCAGCCCUUGAAUUGCCAAUAGCGGAAUUACCAUUAUUAAAAAAUCAGUAUUUUUCACACACACACACACACACACACACUUCAGUAGCAUAAAAUGAUUAGCGCUUUAAAGAAUUCACUAAAGACCUGACAAAUUUCAGUUUUUAUUACAAACUAUUAAAAAACUGAGACCCUUGUUAAGUUGUCCCCAGUGGUCUUGCUUUUGUGCUCAGUACAAUCUUGAGAAAUACCAUUUCCCUAAACCGGUAGUUCUGGACAUAAUUUUAGAAAUUAUUUGGAACCUUCAAUCCCAUAAUUGGGGCACAUUUUUUUUUUCCAUGAUACAACCCGGAUUUCAUUAUUUGAUAAGUAACAAUCUCAGGGUUGCACAUUUAAAUGCAUUGGUCCUAAACACAAUCUCACAAAUUGAAGCUGCAUGUAUAAAUAAGUCCUGACUAAAUUUGCUGAGUGAACUAGAGAUGAGCAGGAAUGAGGUAAUAGGUCCCCCCCCCCCUUUUGAUAAUAAGGGACAUGAGCAGGAGGGAAAAUAUUCUCUUAUUCUGAGUGACGGUAAUGCUUCAUGCCAUCAUUCUGAAAUGUUGUUGUGAAGUAUCCAGACCUGAUUGGCUACAAGGUGUAAUCACAAAACCAAAUUCAGAAUGAAGACAAAAACCUCUACUGAGCUGGCCUUAUGACAUUUUUGCAUAGCCAAAUUAGUGGCAUGCAGCCAGCAAAUAUAGCACCGAAGAGUAAAGCAAAGAGUAAGGCAAAGGGUAAGGUUACCGUAACUUCCGUCAUAGAGCUUCAGUAUGCUGAUGACAAUGUAGUGUGCACACACUCAGAGGAUGGCCUCCAAACCAUCCUAAAUAUCUUUGCAGAAGCUUAUGAAAAGCUUGGCCUAUCACUCAACAUCCAAAAAACCAAAGUGCUGCACCAACAAGUACAAAAUAACCCCUCUACAGCACCACAAAUCCAACUCAAUGGUGUAACAUUGGAAAAUGUCAAUCACUUCUCCUACCUAGGCAGUUAUCUUUCCACAAGGGCCAAAAUUGAUGCCGAAAUCCAGUAUCGCCUGAGCUCUGCGAGUGCGGCUUUCUCCCAAUUGAAGUGCAGAGUGUUUGAGGACCGGGACAUUCUCAGGGAAACCAAAAUGCUUGUUUACAAAGCUAUUGUACUUCCAACCUUACUGUAUGCCUGUGAAACAUGGACCACUUAUAAACGCCAUCUCCAACUCCUCAAAAGAUUCCAUCAAUGGUGUCUCUGAAAAAUUUUACACAUGACUUGGGAAGACAGGUGAACUAAUAUCAGUGUACAGUGGUACCUCGGGUUAAGAACUUAAUUCAUUCUGGAGGUCUGUUCUUAACCUGAAACUGUUCUUAACCUGAAGCACCACUUUAGCUAAUGGGGCUUCCUGCUGCUGCCGCGUCGCCAGAGCAUGAUUUCUGUUCUCAUCCUGAAGAAAAGUUCUUAACCCGAGGUAAUAUUUCUGGGUUAGUGGAGUCUGUAACCUGAAGCGUAUGUAACCUGAAGCAUAUGUAACCCGAGGUACCACUGUACUGAUAGAAGCAAAGAUUACCAGUGUUGAAGCAAUGAUUCUUCAACAUCAGCUUCGUUGGACUGGUCAUGUUGUGCGGAUGCCUGAUGAUCGUCUUCCAAAACAACUACUCUAUUCCAAACUUAAAAAUGGAAAGCGUAAUGCUGGUGGUCAACAAAAGAGGUUUAAAGACUGUCUCAAGGCAAAUCUAAAAAAAUGUAGUAUAAACACUGACAACUAGGAAACACUGGUCUGCGAGCGCUCCAGUUGGAGAACAGCCUUUACCAAAGGUGUCAUGGGAUUUGAAGACGCUUGAACUCAGGACGCAAGGGGAAGACGCUUGAACUCAGGACGCAAUGCUAAGAGGAAGACACGCUUGGCAAAUCCACACCGUGAUCAAUUCCUGCCCGGAAACCAAUGUCCCCACUGUGGAAGGACGUGUGGCUCCAGAAUUGGCCUCCACAGUCACUUACGGACUCAUUGUUAAAACUGUGUUUAUGGAAGACAAUCUUACUCGGCUACGAGUGAUCGCCAAAGAAGAGAAGAAGAAGAAUAGUACUGAAGUUGUGCUGUGGAUUGCGCCAAACACAUGUGACACACUGGCCACAACUCUGCAUGGUCUGGAAACAGGGUUGCCACCCGUCCCUAGAAAAAAGUGAUUGUCCUUUUUCUUGAAGAAGUGUCCCCCCUGCUGUGUUUGGACUUUAAACCGGAGUUUGGGAGAAAGGUUUUGCACAGGCUGAGGGUGUAGAGUGAGAGAGAAGGUUUGCAGAGUCCUGGUCUAGUGCGGGAGAGAGAGUUUUUGCGUGAGCAGAAAUGAGUGGGUCGGAGACAGAGAGUCAAAGUCAGAGAACGAGAGAGAGUAAUAGAUUGCUUUGAAGUCAUUUCUGCACCAGGUAAUGUAAUUUUUAGCUCCCCAAUUUCCUACCUGCCCUGCCCCUCAUUUUGCCCAACCCGUCCUUUAUUUUGCCUGACCGAAGGUAGGCAACGCUAUUUGGAACUUACCAACUCCACUACUGUGAUAUGUGCUGUGUAGGCAGGAAGAGUCUCUGCCUUUUUUAUGCUUAUUGAACACCUUCCUCUUUACAAACAGAUCUUUACUGAAGUCUACAUGUACUGUACUGGAACUAUCUUAACUAUUUUUAUACAGCUCCUCCCUAGAAGUUAAAUACCAGCCUUAAAUUAUUAUUUGAUGUUGAUUUUCAUGUUAGCUGUGUUUUAUUAAUUAUUGUGAACUGGCCUAGGAACCUUUUCGAUGGCUGCUUGUUUUAGAAAUUUACUCAGUUAGUAUGCAAGUGCUUUUCUCUGAGCCAAGAAGGCUUCACGUAUCAGAAUUUAGCCGAGGAGAAUAUUGCCUGGGCAAACAGUGGGGUCCUUAUCAGAAGCCAAGGGAGAUUUAGAGGUGUUCUACCACUCACCCCAUUCCCAGUUAAAAACAGAUGCCCCACCCUCUUUCCAUAUGACUGGAUUUGGGAGAUUAUUUUCUAAUCAGGUUUAUGUUAGAGAGUUGCUUAUUCAAUAAGUUGAAAGGACUGCAAAUUCAUUCUACUUCUGUGGGCUGAAAGUAUAUUCAGUGAUAAAAGCUGUCCUCCAACAUUUGCCUCAGAACUGGCCCUGAUAUGCCCAUAUUGUUCCUAUUACUACAACAUCUGAGCUUCUGUAAGCAGAACAGUUUUUUAUUAUAUAAUUUACCCCAAAUGAUUAUUAAUAGAUUUGGUUCAGCACCUUGUCUGAUGAAGUGUUGCCUAUUGUCUUGCUUGGCACUUGUCUUCUCCCUUAGGACACAAGAGGCGACAGUCUUGAUCAGACAAGAAGGCGCCCAAGUGACUUGGCACAUCAACAGAUGCUCACAAUUUUAUGUGAUUCAGCUUAGCCAGAAGCUGGUUUAUUCCUUCUGGAAUAAUCUGUAACUUAAUAUUUUCUUUGUUUGUGAUGUUACAUUUGGCUGAACACCGUUCAUGGGAAUGAUGGUCCUUUGUAUGUGUGUGGGUAUGUCACAGAAAGUGCCUUGUUCACAUUGCGGCUAAGAGGGCUUCUUUCUUCUUUCCUUCUGAAGUUUGAUGUUGAUUAAAUCCUUCACUUUAAGACAGAACACUUCUUAUAGGAAAAGGGUUAGGCAUGGCCAGGAUGCCUAACUUACAGCUUGAGCACACUUCUCUAUUUAUCAUAUCUCACUACUGAUCUCGCAUCUGUUAUUUAUGGGGAAACAUAUGUUUCCACUGGGCUGACAGUAUUCUCAGGCCAGAAGUGGAGCACCACUAGAUUUCCAGAUCCUUCUAAAUAGCAGAAUGCAAAUAUGGGUUCUCGAAGUAUUUAAGACAGCACUCUGGUUAUUCACACAGGGCGCGUGACCCAGCAAGGUUUUCGCUGUUCUCAACCCUCUUUGCGCUCCUUGCGGAAGUUAUUAGAGAGUUUGGUGCUGUACAAUAUGUCACAUAUGCGGUGCCUGCUGGAAUAAACAGUGCACAGGAGACUUGUCAGAUGUGCAUCCAUUGGGGAACUAUUGAUCUCCAUGUGAUUUUUACACAUACUUUAGUUUAUUCAAAAACCCAAAUGUGAAAUCCAGCUCAUGAAGCUCUGUCACCAUCUGUAGCAUUCUUCUACUGCCUUAGCCUGCAAGCUCAUUGUUGGAUUGAAUAUGUGCUUAUGCUAGCAGAGUAUCAAAGGAUCCAUCUAGAAAUGCCAUAGUUUUACUGAAAAUGGCAUAUUAAAUAUAUGUUUUGUCACUUUGGUGGCCAGACUAUGGCACAGGUGUCAAAAGUGGCACCAGCAGUGGAAAACUGGUGUGCCUGGAGAGCAGCAGGGACUCUCUAACAUUGUCAGGCCUACUCUCCUUCUGCCCCCCCUCAAAAAUAGUCUUGCUGGCUCCUCCCCAGGUCAGCAGAUGGACCAUAAGCUCCUUAAGCACACACUGUUUUAUAUUCUACACUAUAAACACUAGCUAAAAAGGUUGAUGCUGCUUUAUCAGAACAUAACCUAUAAGGAAACAUAAGUCUACUUGCCAUAGAUGUGAGGUCUUGUUCCUUGACUGUGUAACAGAACUUGGCGUGACGAGCAUUUGCAUAGGGCAAUUGACUUCAAGGGAUGAGCCCCUUUGCUUGUGGAAACUGAAGCAAUUCCACCAUGAUUUCACUUGUUCUGAACUGAUUUUUGCCUGCUGUGAAUCAGGCUUUGGGUCCCCUCAGAAUCCAUGUCAAUUAAAUGGUUCUUCCAUUGUAUUUUAAGCUAUCAUUCAUUUUUCCUUAGUUUUUUAAAAGUUAUCUGGCCUUCCCUCUAAGGAGCUCAGUGUGGUAUAUAUGAUUCUCCCCACCCCCAUUUUAUCCCCACAACAACCUUGUAAUGUAGGUUAGACUGAGAGGCAGUAACUGGCCCAAGGUCACUCAGUGAGCUUCAUGACCAAGGGGGAUUUGAACUCUAGUCUCCCAGGUCCUGGUCCAUCACUACAUCAUACUGGCUCUUAUAUAUUAGGAACUUUUGAUUCUUUCAUUAUGGGAAUUAAGCGCAGUCAUAGAAUCAUAGAACCGUAGAGAUGGGACCCAAGGGCCAUCUAGUCCAACCCCCUGCAAUGCAGGAAUCACAGCUAAAGCAUCCAAGACAGAUGGCCAUCCAACCUCUGCUGAAAAACCCAGUAUGACAAGGAAAUCAGUUUGAUCAAUCAGUCAAUCAGUUACAAAUCCACCUAACAGUUACCUCAUCCAUCCACAUCUUACCAGCUUCCUCUCAAGAAUGGGGAACUUUGUCAAAAGACUUACUGAAAUCAAGGUACACUAUGUCCAUAGCAUUCCCCUGAUCCACCAAGCUUGUAACUCUAUCAAAAAAAGAAAUGAGAUUCAUCUGGCAUGACUUCUCUUUGAGAAACUCAUGCUGGGUCUACUAAGAUUAGAUUACCAUCACAGUAUCCUUUACUAAGUGCUCAUAGACCGAUUGUUGGAUUCUCUGUUUUUGCCAUUUCCUGGUAUCAGCGUCAAGCUCAGCAGUCAGUAGUUACCUGGGUCUCCCUCCCCCUCUUUUUUUGAAGAUGGGGGCCUGCCUUCGCUUUGCAGGGACUUCGCCUGUUUUCCAAUAAUUCUCAAAGAUUCAAACACACAACUUUUCUUCUGCCUAUGUUAUACAGAGUGACAGACUUCUGUCAUUAAUAGUAGACCAGCUUUUAAAUUGGUUUUUGGCCUGGUCCUCUUUGACCAGUGGAAGUUCCCUGCAGGUGAAUAGGUGUGCCCUGGCCCUGACACUGAUAAACUGAGCUCUGAUGGCAUAUUUUAUAGUCACUUAGGGCAGUGGCAUAUUUUUGAUAUUUCAAUCUUUCCCAAGAGCAGAAGACGGAAAUGAAUAGUGUAAGUGAUAUCGUGCAGCUUUCUCUGCCUUCCCAUCCAUCUCCAUCUCUGCAGCCUGAGUCAGGUAGGCUCCUCAGGGUCCAGCUGUUAUAAAAACCCUUUAGCUGCAGCUGUCAACUUUUCCAUCAUCGUAUUAAAAUAUUGUUUGCGGCGUUGAGUGCAAAAGCGAUGUAAAUUUAGCCUAAAGAUGACUACAAAUGUAUAGGGUGUGGAAGGAAAGAUGCUGAUUGAAAUGAUCAUUAUGUGAAAAUCAGCCUCUGAAAACCCCAAAGGGACUUGGCUGCUUGUGAGUGAUAUUCACAGGAAAAUAAAAUAAAAUAAAAUAAAGUGGUGAGGGUGGCAGGGGAAGGAGAGGUAUGUCUGGCAGAUGGGCAUAACAGUAUCCCCUUUGACAUGGUGUUUCAUUUACAACUGUUUCCUGUUGCCACACAAACACAAAAUGUUUUUUUCUCAGUAUCAUACCUGAACAGUGCUCUCAGGCCCGACCUGAUUUCUGACUCAUUAGACUAAGAGGUGUCACUGCCUUAUGGGACAUCUUGAGGAGUGCCUAAGAUGGCAUCUUGUAUAUCUUCUUCUGGCAACUCCUGCAGCCAAGCUGGUGCCAAACACCUUGCUCUGUUUUCCUUUGGGCCACACCAGCGAGGCUGAGAGGGAGGUCUUGUCGUCUGGGCAGCUCAUACACACUGCCCAAGCUUAUGCUCCGGGGAGAUCACUUUGGUGCUGCUAAACACAGCAAAAACAAUGUGGGAGGCAGCAGUUACAAGUUACUAGUCUCUGCAGCCACAGCAGGCGCUGUGAUUCUCCAGCCAUUUGACUUCAUCCCUGAAGUCGCACUCCAUUGCAUUCAUGGUGAAUUCCGGCACCUCUGUUUCUAGAAGAAUAGCAGUGCUUGAGACAGAUGAAUGGCAAUGAGACUUAAGAGGGAUCAAUUCAAAAAAGCCCAAAUGGGUAAUAAAGAAAAAUUAAUUUACAAAAUCUUAUUAGAGUGGGAGACUAAGGAAGAAAUGACGAAGGCUUCUGUGAUUCAAUGGGAAAUUGAUCUGGCACACAACAUAGACAUGAUAUCUUGGGAGAGACUGUGGAAAACAACAAUAAACUUUUCAGCAUGUUAUACUCUAGAAGAGAAGGUACUAAAAAUGAUGUACAGAUGGUAUCUCACCCCAAGUAAACUUGUAGAAAUGUAUAAAAAAGAAGCCGUUCAACAGUUUGGCUGCUGGGUUGGUGAUUUGUUUUUGGUUUUUUUUGAAGUGGGUCUUGAGCCCAUUACCCUACGGAUGUGAGCAGUGGGGUUUUAUGUUUCUCACUUAUAUUAUGGCAAGGGUCCCCCCGAUCAAGGGCGCAGGAUUUCUUCUGCCAACUCAGCCACACUGCAGAGUUGAUAUGGGGCAGGGUGGGAAACGUUCCCUCUUGAUCUUUGGGAACAGUUUCCACCGCUCCCCAUCACAGUGCUGCCGAAGUCUUUCAGAGACAGGGGGAAAGCACUAUGCGUGUGUGAGAGAGAGAGGCAUCACCUAUCCUCUGGAACUCCCUGCCCAUUGACGUUUUGGCACCUGCCAUAAAGACUAGAGGGCUGGACUAUGGGUUCGAAUCCCCAGUCAGCCAUGAAGCUCACUGGGUGACCUUGGGCCGGUCGUCCACUCUCAGAGAACCAUUGAAUAGUAGAGUUGGUCAGUAUCCUGAGGUUCCUCUGAUCCAACCAAUGCAAGAAUCUCAGCUAAAGCAGCCAAGAUAGAUGGCCACCCAACCUCUGCUUAAUAACCUCCAGUGAAGGAGGAAGUCUGUUCCACUGGUGAUAAACUCGUACAGAAAGCUCUUCCUGAUGGUUAGUCAGGUAACUUGAAGCCAUUUGUUCGGGUCCUGCCCGUCAGAGCAGGAGGAACCAAGCUCACUUCAUUCUCUGAAGCCCUUUAGAUAUCUGAAGAUGACUAUCAUAGGGUUGCCAUAUUUCAAAAGGUGGACAUUCGGAAACAAAAUCUGUUGAACUUUUGUUGCCCAGAUUUUUGAGCUUUCUUUAGUUUUAUCCAAAGUUGUGGAGCUUUGCUGACAAAAUGGCAAUUUUUUUUUUUUGACAUUUUGGAGCUAUUUUUAAGAAAAAUUGACCCAAAAGACACUGCUGACAUGGGUUGCCAUACCUCCGGAUUUUCCCGGACAUUUCCCUGCUGAUUUCCCACCAAAACACUGCUUCUGACUGCAGUAUUCCGGGGUAUGUCUGGGAAAUUCUGGACAUAUGGCAACCCUGAGUAUCAUAUCUCUUCAAUCUCCUCAGCCUAACCUACCUCACAGAGUUGCUGUGGGGAUAAAAUGGAGAGGAGGAGAACCAUGUUUGCCACCUUGAGCUCCUUGGAGAAAUCAUAGAAUCUUAAGAGUUGGAAGGGACGCCAAAGGUCAUCUAGCCCAACCCCCUUCAAUGCAGAAAAAUGAUAUAUUAAAUGUAAUAAAUGAAUUAAAACUUCAAUGUUUAGAGAAGCCUAUUUAGAUACGCUGACAAACAUUUUAAUAUCUAAUUUUUUAUCAUGUAUAUUUUAACUGCUCAUUUUAUUAAUAUUUCCACAUUGUUUAGGUUUAAUUGUCUUUAAUUUCUGACUUUUUGUAGAUAUUUUUAAUGUGUUAUAUUUUAUGUAAACCACUCAAAAUCAAGGGGGGGAAUACAUCCCUAAUUAAAAACAUACAAAAGUUAAAAUACUAAAUCAGAUUAGAAUUGCAUCAACUUUCUGACCUUGUCUAAACAAGAAUGCUAAUAGCAGGUGCCAAAAAGCGUACAGUGAAGGUUCCUGCUUGAUCUCAAGAGUCAGGGAGUUCCAAAGGGCAGGUGCUGUCACACUAAACAAUUGAGUUCUUUCAAAUAAAGAGCAGGUAUAAUGUGGCUGAUGAUUAGUGAGUGUUUAUUCAAAUGCAUCCUGCUAUGAGUUGCAUUGAAAAAGUAUUUGGAGGGCAAAGGCAUAAACACAAGAUAAUGAUUAUUCUUUGAUUUAAAAAAUAAUUAAAACAAAUAAUGCAAUAAAUAAUAAAUAAAAUGUAUUGCUCAGACAACUGAAAAUUCGGGGGGGAGGGAGUUCCAUUUGAUUUUAAGGUGCUUGUAGCAUUAAAUUGGUUGCAUUGCUCUGAAGAUCUUCAGUUAACAUGUUCAACGAUAUGUCUUUCAGUCUUCGUACUUCUUCAUACAUCUCCAUUUCCAUCUUUGCAGUGUGUGCACUUCAUUCUAGCUUCCCCGCGCCCUUUGUAUUUGCAAGGGAAAUGUGCAGGUAUUAAAUUUAAACCCUAAUUUUUUAACAUGCCUUCAGGACUGAUUCUGAAAGGUUAUUCUUCAGGGACCAGAGUACCAUCUCCCCUCUCAAAACAUAAAGAACCAAAACUUUUAUUCAUAACAUUUUCCAUGAUCUGUUUCCCAGACUCAGCUAUACAAAUAGUUUCCUUUUCUUGAAAAAAAAACACACAGGGAAAAAAAACUUUGCUGUCUUGCAGUUCAAUUUCCUGUAACACCAGUUAUGCUGAGAAUCACAGCCGCCGUAUUAUCUGAAAAAUUCUGGGUUGUAAUGUGCAAACUAAGCUGGGGAAGGGUAAGGGAAAAGAGGGAGGGAGAAAGUUCCUUCCGUUCCUUAAAGUAAUUGUCCUGAUGUGAUGGAUAUUGCAGUUACCUGUCUGGGGCUGGAAUAUCUCUAGGCAGGGCAGCCCACAGCACCAUCACUUCAUUACUGCGCUCAGUAACUUCACGCUGGGCAGCCGUUAAAAUGAGAGGCGAUUAAGGCAGCGCCUUGCAACAAUAAAAGCAUUUUGAGGUCACAAGAUAGCGCAGACCCACAUGCUCAUGUUAUUGCUCAAAUGCCUUUGGCUAGAAGGGUUUUUUUUCGGGGGGGGGGGGAGCAUGGGAAUUGAGAAUGAUUUUCCUCUGUAAACCAGUUAAUGCCAAUUGAAUUGCUUUCUUUUCUGUUCUUUUUAUUUGUGUCUCUGUGUUUAUUCAAGGAAACUUGUUUCCAACUCUCCUCUGGAUCAGGGCCAAAACAGAUGUGAUGCGGGAGACCUGUGAUUGGAUCUCCCUUUUUAUUUCUGUAACUUCUAAGGCUACGGUCCCUGUACCCUUUUGCCUGGGAUUAAUUCCCGUUGAAUUGAGUGGGACUUGCUUCUGAGAAGACAGCUGCAGACUUAUACAUACAAAUAGCUGUAUCUUCUUUUCACCUAUUGCUUGGUGCAGAGAGAAAGGGGCAAAUACCCCCUCUCACCACAUUUGCUCUCAUGAAAAUUGCAUCCCCUUCUCACCUGAUGGCUUUAACUUAAAAAAAGAAGAAGCUAUUAUUUAAUAUCUGCUUUGGCUGUUCUCAUUUGGUUGUCACAUAUAGAUUUCAGUACAAGAUAUUAACAGUUGCUUUACCGAUGGAAUUUUAUUUCAUUUUGAAAACGCAAGCGACAGAAAACACAACAAUACAGCAAAAUCACUAAGGGCAUAAAGAAACUCAAUUGCAAUCCUUAACAGAUCAUGCUUAUGGGACAACCAGCGCAUGCGUAUUCGGUAUACACAUCAUACACAGAAAAAAUACAGGCACCUGGAUUUGACUGCAACCUGGAAACCACGAUGCCAUAGACUUUUUUUUUUUUUUAAAGAGAAUUCCUUGCUUGCUGAGUGAGUUUGUACAUAAUCAUUGUAUUCCAAAUUGUAUUAAUCCAUUGAUAUUUCGAUGGUUGCUUUGGAGACUUCCAGUUAUGCACUAUACAGAUCUUCAUCGCAAUAUGCAAUUGCUUAAGAAUAGGUUUAAAAUGGUGACACAGCAUACUUUGGGAGAUAUCUGUGGUUUGAUGUGAAUAAAUUCCUGGUAGUAAUCAGUGACCGAAUCACUUCUAAACAGUUGUGCUGUGUUAGCUUUUACAGGUCACCUUGCCCUGGAAUCAUAUAGUUGGAACAGAGCACAAGGUCAUCCUUCCCGCUUCCAGUUGUUUUUUUCUAUUUAUGGCAGCAUUUUAUUGAAUACAAAAAGGAAGAGUGGCCCUAUUAAACAUUUCCCAUGAACAAACUAUUGGACUAUUGACCACAAUGCUAAACAAUGCUGCAUGAACAAAAAGAUGAGUAAGCUGUGUCUCUUCCUUCAACAUAAUUUGAGCAGGUUGCCUUGUUCACUUACCAGCCAUUUCUCAUGGUUAAUAUUUCUUAUGUACAGGAAUUUAAGCAGCUGCCUCAUUGGUCCUUCCAGCUCAGUACUCAGGCUGCAGAUGUUUUGGGAUAUAAAGCUUUCUUGGCCAUGCAUGGAGGUGCCAGGAACAAAACCUGGGACCUUUUGCGUGGAAAGUUCUGUCUGGGUGAUAGCUAGCAUUUACCAUGUCACAAUUGGUUUUCCCAACGACUUAAAAUUACUAGUAGGGACAGCCUAAGAGGGAAUGCAUUAAUAAGAAUUAACCACCACAGGAAACUGAUAAAGCCAUUGUGUGAUUGUUGCAAUUAGACAUGGGGUCAGCAAACUUUUUCAGCAGGGGGCUGGUCCACAGUCCCUCAGACCUUGUGGGGGGCCGGACUAUGCAAGGGGGGGGUGAUGUAAGAGCAUCACAAGCCCCGGUGGCUGCUUACCUAUGUCUUGGAAGCGGCAGGGGCUGGUGGCAGUGGCGGAGGGAUGAUGAGGGCAUGCGAAAGAGCUCCGGAGAGGGGCUGCUUAAAAUGGCGGCCACUCAAGUGCUGCUGCUACUGCUGCUGGCACCAACAAAGCCCAGGCCCCUUUCUCCUUUAGGCAGGGCGAGGAGAAGCCAGGAGGAAGGAGGGAGGAGGUGGCGGUGCCGUCGCCACCAUGUGAGGAAGAGGGAAAGAACGUGCACGCUGGCGAUCCACGCGACGAUUCCUGGACCGUCUGUGGGCCGGAUCCAGAAGGCAAUGGGGCCUGAUCCGGCCCGCGGACUUAGUUUGCUGACGCAUAAAUUAGACCGUACUUUCUGAUCCUAAAUGCCUCACCUAGAAGUAAACACAAUUCAUUUUAUACAAAUAUUGAUAAGCUGCUCUGGAAGGAAUUUGUGGGUAGGUGUUCACUGGAGAUGAUGUCUUUUUGUGUCAACAAUUAUUCCAAACCUGACGCAUGGAACUUCCUUCUUGGUAAGAGUUCACAUUACACAGAAGCUAGCAGUAAAUUGGAAAGAAAACGUUACUAAGAUGUGAACCCAAUGGCACUUACAUCUUAGGAAAAUUCAUAACAUCUGGUAACAUGCAUUGGAAGGUUUGGUUUUGUCAAGAUGAUGGAUGUGGUUUUAUACACAUGGGGGAGGGAUCAUAUUCUGCCUGUCUCUUCACCUGAUGACUAGGGUUAAAGAUGCUUCCAUAGGUGAAUAACAGGAGUUAUUUUUAUGUAAGUUCCUGUUUGAUUUGUCUUUGGAAAUAGAGAAUAGUUGCUCCAUGUUUGGAAAACAACAAAACUUGUGAAAUUCACUACCCUUCUGAGAGUAAAUUGAAACUACAAUCUAGGGCAGGGUGGUCCGACAUGCAACCUGGGAGUCACAUGUGGCAAGCAAUGCCUUUUUGGCAGUUUAUGCUUCACCCAGCCUUUGUGCUGCCUUCCCAAAGCUGGAUAAGCAAGGUGUAAGGGCUCUGACAGGGUCCUACCAUCCUCCGUCCUCCUUCCCAAAGCCUAGUUAGCGCUUUCCCAGCUUUGGGAAGAAGGUGGGAGGGCUCUAGGACCCUGUCAGAGCCCUUAAGGUAAAGGUAAAGGGACCCCUGACCAUUAGGUCUAGUCAUGACCGACUCUGGGGUUGCGGCGCUCAUCUCGCUUUACUGGCUGAGGGAACGGCGUACAGCUUCUGGGUCAUGUGGCCAGCAGGACUAAGCCGCUUCUGGCGAACCAGAGCAGCACACGGAAAUGCCGUUUACCUUCCCGCCAGAGCGGUACCUAUUUAUCUACUUGCACUUUGAUGUGCUUUCAAACUGCUAGGUUGGCAGAAGCUGGGACCGAGCAACGGGAGCUCACCCCGUCGCGGGGAUUCGAACCACCGACCUUCUGAUCGGCAAGCCCUAGGCUCUGUGGUUUAACCCACAGCGCCACCCGGGUCCCUUACACCUUGCUUAUCCAGCUUCGGAAUGGCAGUAUGUGUGUGUGUCAAAUUUUGGCCUUGUGUUCCCCCACCCAUGCGAUAAGGCAAUGGGUUUCACACGGGUUCUGUGUCAAAGUAUUCCUGCGGCCCACUUUGUAUGAAAGUAGGACUGCCCUGAUUUAAGGAGACCACUUAUGUAAUAUAUGAUAAAAGAAUACAAAUCCGAAGGCAAAUUCUUAUGUUUGACUUCAUUCACUGUAUUUGAAGUCAUCCAAGUUUAGCCUUCGUUUCUAAAACGUUGUAUGACUCUUUAUCCCUGUCCUGUUGAGUACUGUAUUCCUAAUUCUUUGCAAUAUGUAUAUUACAGUGUUUUGUUGUAUUUUUAUUACUAUCUGUCCUCUUUCUUUGUGUGAUAAAAUAUUUUUUUUAAGAUUCCACACCAUGUAGAAAGAGUAAAUGAAGAAGAUUCAUCGUAAAGUUAGGGCAAUCAUCGCUUGGUUUAUUAAGCUGAGCUAUAAACAAGAGCAAUCCAACAAGGAACUCCCCAAUUAAUCAUAGUUUUCCAUUUUCUCUGAACUUUGAAACUAUGCUGACCAAAGUUAGAACAAGUCAGGAAUUUAAACUAACUUCAAACCAUCCAAAUGUGGUUAUGGACUAGGUGUGGACUUAUUGUUGCUACAAAUAUACCAGUGUAAUGCCAAUAUAUUUCACACCAAACUAAGCCUCCUAGUCUAUUAUUGCUCUAGGAGGCUUACAGUGGUACCUCGGGUUAAGUAGUUAACAGUGGUACCUCGGGUUAAGAACAGACCUCGUUCCGGAGGUCCGUUCUUAACCUGAAACUGUUCUUAACUUGAAGCACCACUUUAGCUAAUGGGGUCUCCCGCUGCUGCCAUGCCGCUAGAGCACAAUUUCUGUUCUCAUCUUGAAGCAAAGUUCUUAACAUGAGGUACUUUUUCUGGGUUAGCGGAGUCUGUAACCUGAAGCGUAUGUAACCUGAAGCAUAUGUAACCCGAGGUACCACUGUAGUUUGGUCAGAAUUGAGUAUACAUUUCCAGAGUUAAUGCUAAAUACAUGACUUCUGAUAAAUGAGUCCCCAUAGCUGCUAGAGGGCUGUGAACAUUUUUGUCCCAGGCUUUUUAAUCUCCUCUACCCUUGUGGCGCUGUGGUCCAAACCACUGAGCCUAGGGCUUGCCGAUCGGAAGGUCGGCGGUUCGAAUCCCCACGACGGGGUGAGCUCCUGUUUCUCGGUCCCUGCUCCUGCCAACCUAGCAGUUUGAAAGCACCUCAAAGUGCAAGUAGAUAAAUAGGUACUGCUCCGGCGGGAAGGUAAACGGCGUUUCCAUGUGCUGCUCUGGUUCGCUAGAAGCGGCUUAGUCAUGCUGGCCACAUGACCCGGAAAAACUGUCUGUGGACAAACGUCAGCUCCCUUGGCCAGUAAAGCGAGAUGAGUGCCACCACCUGAGUCAUUCAUGACUGGACUUAAUGGUCAGGGGUCCUUUACCUUUACCCUUGUACUAUCUGAAACCAGAGGGUGCAUUGGUUGCCAGGUGUGAAUUUUUUUCAACUCUCCUACCCUACUAAUGUCAUUGUUAAAAUUUUCAAUAAAACAUUUUUUUUACAAGACUUUGGACACAAAAUGUUUGAAAGGAGGAAUCUCACACGCACAGAAACACACUGGGUUGACUCCAGACUUAGGUGAGUGAGCUGAGGUCCUAUUAAAAUUAAUGGGACAAGUUAGUGAUUGCUUACUUUUCAUUGAAAUGUGUAACGGGAUUUAAGUGCAACUAACUUUGUCUGGAUCCAACCAAUUAUAUUCCGUACAUACUUAAUUAUUGCAUGAAAUGUAGUCUUGGCUGGCAGCGGCAGCUGCUCACUUACUGUAAUGGUAAGAUGGAAGCGCAGAUCUUUUGCAUUUGUUGAGAAAAAGAAUACUGGGAAAAACCAUGAUGACUCUGAGAAACCCACUUUUCCAAAAUGGAAAAAGAAGUAGAAAAAGUUUCCCACAUUUAAUUUAUGAGCAAAGAAAAAUAAAACAAAUUCUAAAAUUAUCCAAUUUGCCCCAAGCUUUGUGGAGAAGAAUGAGCAUGUAAUUAUCAAUUAGCGAAAAGGAACUUGGAAUGCAAGGGGGAUAAUUAAUUGAAAGAUCUUUCUGAGCUUGAAAAAGUAACUUGAAAAAGUGCCAUCUGAAAUGGUUUUAAGGCUAGAGGGCUGUCUAUUACGGAUGGGCGGGAGACUGGCAUGCUGCACUAAUGAGGUUAGAGGGUGGAUUAAAAUCCAAUAUGUUACUGAAAAUUAUACAAGAAAUGAUCAGAGAGAGAUAGGAAGGAUGAUCAUGUGUUUAGCGUCUGAGUUGGGUUCUGCCACUGAUUUCUUCUGUGAUCUGUGAACUUGAAUUUAAAGCUGUUCUUGCACUGGCUUAUGUAGAAUGCUAAAUUUCUUUAUACACACACACACACACACACCUGAUAUCUUUCCCAUUUAUCUAUAUGUUUCCUGCCCUAACAAAAUCAGAGUGGCUUGUGAUUCUCACAGCCAACCAUGGGUUGUAAGAGCACUUGGUGGGAUGUGCCUGGGAGGAGAAGAGCAGGGGGAGGCCCAAUUACAGUGGUUCUGGGUAGAGGGAGAUAUGGUGUGGAAGGAGGGGCAGGCCAGGUGAGGUGCAUGUGGGCCAGCCCCUCCUCCAGCCUGGGGAAUUGUGGUCGUCAUAUCAGCCAGCCCUCAGGUCUGCGACUGCUGCUGUUGAAUGCCAGGUCAGCCCAGAAUAAAACCCGAUUGAGAUGGAUCCAGAAAAUCAGUUUCUUCCAAAAGUGCCUGGAUCUGCUCUGCAACCGCUCAUCCAUGAUCUGAUUAUGGAUGAGGAGGCUGAUCUGGCAUGUAUUGCUGAAACCUGGGUGGGUGAACAGGGUGGAGUUGGUCUCACCCAGCUGUGCCCACCGGGGGUACUCAGUGCAGCCUCAGACCAGACUCAAGGGUGGGGGAGCUGUUGUAGUCUAUAGAGAUUCUCUAUCGCCAGGCUCUCUGUCCAGUUGGCGGGAAGGGGAAUCUAGAGUAUGUGUUCCUGGCAUUGGGCAAUCGGGACAGAUUAGGGAUCCUGCUGGUUUACCACCCGCCCGCCUCACUGUCCAACAGUCUCCCUGCCUGAGCUGACAGAGCUGGUCUUGGAGGCGGUGUUGAGACUGCUGGUUCUGGGAGACUUCAACAUCCAUGCCGAAGCAGCUGGCUCUGGGGCGGCUCAGGACUUCAUGGCCGCCAUGACAACCGUGGGGCUGUCUUAACAUGUCACCGGCCCAACACACAUGGCAGGCCACACUCUGGACCUUGUUUUCUCGACUGGGCAGGAAGAGGGUAAUCUGAAGGUGGGGAACAUUAACAUCAGUCCCUUGUCAUGGUCAGAUCACUUCUUGUUGAGAUUUCGCCUGUUGACACCUUUUCCUCCUCCACAGAGGUGGGAACCUAUUAGGAGGGUCCACCCUCAGAGGCUGAUGGAUCCACUGGGAUUCAAAAUAGCUCUGGGGGGUUUUCUGGCUGAUCUGACUGGCACCCCUGUUGAAGCCUUGGCUGACCUCUGGAACACUUACUGACAUGAGCACCCCCGAGUGUCCUCUUCCAGUUCGUGGAGCCCAUUUGCCCCCUGGUAUACUCCAUGGCUUAGGGCAAGGAAACAAGUUGGGAGACGGCUCAAACGCAAGUGGAAGAAAGAUCCAAAUGAAUGCAGCCGAACACUAGUUAAUAAUAAUACUUAUGAUGAUGGAGGGAGCUAAUGAUCACAUAUCACUCCUGGAAUUAUUUUUUAUUGCUAUGAAUCUGUUUUUCUAUCUAGUCUUAAUGUAAUCUAGCCUUAAUGAUUUUGUAAUGAUGCCCAACUAGCAGUAUAAAGAUAUAGGAAGAAAUUUCAAAGAUGGCCAGAACUUUGGAACAACUGACAUUAUAAUUGAAGAUAAAGAAGUGUGGGUGCUGGUGGUGGUGAUGAAUCUUUCUGGACACUUCUGACUGACUCCCAGCAAUGCUAUUCAGAGUUGCUAAGUGCUUAGCACACUUGAAAAUCAGGCCAAUUAUUGGAAAUUCUAAAUAUAGGCCUUGACUAGCUUUUGAAACACCCUUCCAAAACCUUGCUUCCAAUUGUUUAAGCUUCUUUACAAUAAUUUAGAGCCAAAUCCAAGUACUACUCAAAUCAAUAAAUGUGUUAAUAGACUUUGUAAAGACUUGGUUUACGUUUCCAGGUGUCUAAAUCGAAGUGUACACCUGAAGUUCUGUUUUAUUUCCUUUUAUAUGUUUUUAUGUGUUUUAAUAUUGCUCUUUCACUGGUUUUAGGCUGCAUUUUUUAAAAGAAAUUAUAUACAGUGUACAGUGGUGCCUCGCAAGACGAAAUUAAUUCGUUCCGCGAGUUUUGUCGUCUUGCGAUUUUUUUCGUCUUGCAAAGCACAGUGUCGGGAAAGUUUUGGAAAAGCUUCAAAAAUCACCAAAGUCUUUAAAAACCUCAAAAAAGGCUACCACACCGCGUUCUAUGAGUUGCUCCUCGAAGUCAAGUCGCAACUGUAUUAACAGUGUUAAGAAAAAGGAAGCAAACUUGCAAGACGUUUUCGUCUUGCGAAGCAAGACCAUAGGGAAAAUCGUCUUGCAAAGCAGCUCAAAAAACAAAAAACCCUUUCGUCUAGCGAGUUUUUUGUCUUGCGAGGCAUUCGUCUUGCGAGGUACCACUGUACCUCUGGUUGCGGAUGGGAUCUAUUCCAGAGGUCCGGUCGGAUCCCAAAGUUUCUGCAACCUGAGGACCGCUUCUGCACAUGCGCGCGCAGCGAAACCCAGUCAAAUACUUCCGGGUUUGCUGCUUUCGCAUCCUGAAGUUUGCGUAACCAGAGGGGUAUGUAACGGGAGGUACUACUGUAUUUGGUUUUUUUCAGACUAUGCAAUGGGGUGGGGAACCUUUUUUGGCUCCAGAACCUUAUCCGCACCUGCCUCAUGGGCCAAAUUUAACAGGUGAGCAAGGUUUCCCACUGCCAAAGUCCAUAGUGCUCCAGACUUAAAUGGGAAGCACGAAGAGGCUUGCCAAAAUCUUGGCCCGUCCUCUGUCCCUAUUUAGUCUCCAGCCAUGGGCCAUCUUUCUCCAGUCUUUAACCUUCACUCCUCGGUUGAUGAGCAGAGAUCAAAUCCUGCUGCAUGGGAACAGGAUCACACAGCCAAAGCAAGAUUAGACCCUGUCCUCCUGCCCAUCAGAUGGCAUCACUAGUGACAGGAUCAACUCUCUUUAAUGCACCUAUAGAUACAUGCAAAGACUUCCAUUUGCACAACAGCUAUUGUGGUCACUUCUUUGCGGGUGGUGUUUAUAUGGAGCAUUUUGCAAAAUAACGGAAAGUCCCUGCAGUGUAUUUCCAUGGCAGGUGUUAUUGUGUGUGCUGGUGGAAAUUUUUCACAACCACAUACUACAUACACACAUACACAUGCGGUCUUGACUAUGCUACCACUCAGUGGAUUUGUAACUGGCUGACUGACCGAACCCAAAGGGUGCUCAUCAAUGGUUCCUCUUCAUCCUGGAGAAGAGUGACUAGUGGGGUGCCACAGGGUUCUGUCUUGGGUCCGGUCUUAUUCAACAUCUUUAUCAACGACUUGGAUGAUGGACUCAAGGGCAUCCUGAUCAAAUUUGCAGAUGACACCAAACUGGGAGGGGUGGCUAACACCCCAGAGGACAGGAUCACACUUCAAAACGACCUUGACAGAUUAGAGAACUGGGCCAAAACAAACAAGAUGAAUUUUAACAGGGAGAAAUGUAAAGUAUUGCACUUGGGCAAAAAAAUGAGAGGCACAAAUACAAGAUGGGUGACUCCUGGCUUGAGAGCAGUACAUGUGAAAAGGAUCUAGGAGUCUUGGUUGACCACAAACUUGACAUGAGCCAACAGUGUGAUGCGGCAGCUAAAAAAGCCAAUGCAAUUCUGGGCUGCAUCAAUAGGAGUAUAGCAUCUAGAUUAAGGGAAGUAAUAGUGCCACUGUAUUCUGCUCUGGUCAGACCUCACCUGGAGUACUGUGUCCAGUUCUGGGCACCACAGUUCAAGAAGGACACUGACAAACUGGAACGUGUCCAGAGGAGGGCAACCAAAAUGGUCAAAGGCCUGGAAACGAUGCCUUAUGAGGAACGGCUAAGGGAGCUGGGCAUGUUUAGCCUGGAGAAGAGGAGGUUAAGGGGUGAUAUGAUAGCCAUGUUCAAAUAUAUAAAAGGAUGUCACAUAGAGGAGGGAGAAAGGUUGUUUUCUGCUGCUCCAGAGAAGCGGACACAGAGCAAUGGAUCCAAACUACAAGAAAGAAGAUUCCACCUAAACAUUAGGAAGAACUUCCUGACAGUAAGAGCUGUUUGACAGUGGAAUUUGCUGCCAAGGAGUGUGGUGGAGUCUCCUUCUUUGGAGGUCUUUAAGCAGAGGCUUGACAACCAUAUGUCAGGAGUGCUCUGAUGGUGUUUCCUGCUUGGCAGGGGGUUGGACUCGAUGGCCCUUGUGGUCUCUUCCAACUCUAUGAUUCUAUGAUACUAGAGGGAUAAAUCUGCAAUAUGGUUUCUGAAGCGUGAUUAAGGAGGCAAAAUUUUAAUGUGAAUGCCAAGCCACAGUGAGAGAAGAGCAGGUUGGAAGUGGUGAGGUAGCAUGAGUGAUGGACAACAGCUGAUGUAAGCAGGAAAUAUAUGAUAACCAUUGAUGGGAGCCUUGUGUGAGGCACCAGGGAUGUACAUGUGAGCUCAUGCUCUAUGGCUUCCAUGACUGCAAAUCCUUCCUCUUUUUAUAUGCAGCUGCAGCAGUAUUCAUUCAUUUACCAUGUGAAGAAAGUGAGGGGUCUGCAGAACCAGAGUGUGAGAUGACCUCUGUAGAUGCUAGGCAAGGAAGGAUAGAUGGAGAACCACUGCCCCAGAAAUUAUUUAAUUUUGUUCACAUCAAAAAAUAGCACAAUAUUUUUAGUAAAAUAUUUUCUUGGGGAAAGCUGCCAUUUAUGUCUCUACAGAACACCAAGUGAAAACCUGAUAUGAAUUAUAUGCUGUUAAGAAUGUUAUCUGUGGACAUAUAUACAGGGGUAACCCCUCGGGUUACAAACACUUCGGGUUACAGACUUCGCUAACCCGGAAGUAGUAUCUCGGGUUAAGAACUUUACCUCUGGAUGAGAACAUACAGUUGUACCUCAGGUUACAUACGCUUCAGGUUACAGACUCCACUAACCCAGAAAUAGUGCUUCAGGUUAAGAACUUUGCUUCAGGAUGAGAACAGAAAUCGUGCUCUGGCGGCGCGGCGGCAGCAGGAGGCCCCAUUAGCUAAAGUGGUGCUUCUGGUUAAGAACAGUUUCAAGUUAAGAACGGACCUGUGGAACGAAUUAAGUACUUAACCCGGGGUACCACUGUAAUUCGCAUUCCAGCGGCACAGUGGCAGCAGGAGGCCCCAUUAGCUAAAGUGGUACCUCAGGUUAAGAAUGGUUUCAGGUUAAGAACAGACCUCCGGAACGAAUUAAGUUCGUAACCAGAGGUACCACGGUAAAUCUCACUGAGUUAGGGUAGGAACGAUAAGUGAAUACAAAUAAUCAUUUUACUACAGGUUUAUUUUAGCGCAUUGCUGAGAGCCACAAGGCACUGGGAAGGAGACUCAGGCUGUGCUCAUUUACGCAUUUCUAGUGCUGGGUUUUUAAUCUGUAUUCAUGCAACAUUAUCCAGAAUGCGUAUGUAUCCUGCACUUUGUUAUAAAAUGCUACUGUUUGAUGUGUUGCUUCUCAAACCAGCUUCACAUCAAUUGAAGCCCUCAAGCCAUUCCUAAUUCAUCUUUAGCCAAGGUGUGAACACCUUUGCAUGGGGUAAAGGCAUCUGCACCCGUCAACACCCAGUGGUGUAAGCACAAAUAGAAAUGAAUUUGACACUAAUGAAGCCAUGCUGAUGUGACUAGCUCUGUGAAACCCACCAAGUUUCACUGCGCUCUAGGCAGUAAUGUGAACACACUCCUUUUUUUUUAAUCAACCAGUUCCUCAGCCACACUGAGCGAAAGUUGAAUGGCACAAUCUGAGGGAAAGCUUCUGGAUUUAUGAAGGCAAGACACGUCUUAAAACAUGUGAAUGGCUUUCCUUGCUGACAGAAUUUAGUUAAAUCUCAUUAUGGAAAAAGGUGUUAUGAGACAAUUUUAUAGAGUGAAUGAGUUUUAUAAACUAUAUGCUAAGGUUCAUACAGUUUUCAUUUAAUCCAUCAGUUUUGCCUGCAGCGGUAAUGUAAAUUUCAUGGUGGAUUUGGGGGAAAACAAAAAUGAAAACCAUGUGCCCAUUUUCUCUCUUAAACCUUCUUUUCUAUUUCUCCUUCUGUAUUUGAAGGACUUUACUCAAAUUUAUCAAAUUAAGGUCUGCAGAGAACUGAUAAACUCUUAUGUUGUUAUAUAGUACACUUUUACAGGUGCUGAAAAUAUUGAUCAAACUUCGUCAGAUCCUUUCCCUGGAAGCUGUUGAGAUGUUAAACCUAUCCAAUAGUGAAUGUGUGGCUGUUUCUUAAAUUGUUACUCUAACUAUAUUGACAUUAUAUUAAUGUAAGCCUCCAUACCCUUUCGGCAUCUUUCAUAUCCUUAGUUCCUAUCAGUGGUAGUCUGUCUACCUGUGACAACCGAGUGGAGAAAGGUGAAGUGUGAGUGAAUCCUGUUCAAAGUGGGACUCUCAGACUUCACCUGCAAUAAGAUCUGUGACAUCUUAAUGAGUGCUGGACCUAAUGGGCCUUCACCAUGAGUAAAUCCCACUUUGGAUAUUAUAGCAGAAGCAGUGAAUAGGCAUGGAUAACCUUUGUUAUGUUAAAAGGAUCUCUUAGAUCAGUGGCUAAACUGUGACCCUCCAGAUUUCGCUGAACUGCAACUCCCUUGGUUGGCUGAAGAUGUUGGACGUUGGGAGUCCAACAGCAUAUGGAGGGCCAAAGGUUAUCCACUCUUAGGUAACCUAGUCUUUGGUACAGUGGAAUGGAGUGGCAGAGCCCUGUUCCUUGCAUUCAGUCCAAGGGUGGCAGUGAAAUGAGUUUGGUGGGGCAGCAGUACAAACUCCUUUCUGCCAUGCAGUAGCCUCCUCUGCAAACUAGGCUCAGACAAACAUGUUAGAACAUGGAGUUGGGUAUGAGAUGAGUAGCAGUUUGUGCCAGGAAACAUUGAUGAAGAUCCUUUUUAUGAUACAGCUUUAAGACACGUCUUUGCUGAAUUGAUUACAGUGUGAUGGGAACCUGUCACCAGGGUGUCAAGUCUGGCUCAACCACACUGUUGUUGGAUGCUCAGGAGAUGGCAGUAUUUAACUGUCAAAAAGGUUUUCUACCUUGUAAGAUUUUGCUUACUGAGUAGACAUAGAACCUUCUUUCUUCAAGAAUUUCAGCAGAGCUUUGAUGCAAAGCCUGGCUUUCCCUGCAAUAGUUCUGUGAAUAAAUGUAUAAUGUGUAUACAGUUGGCAAUGAACAGUUCAGUUUUCAAUUUUACUGUCCUUUUUCUUCUUAUUUCUGUUUCAUUGGCGUAUGUUUAGUCACUUCAUCAGACUUCAUGAUUAACCUUAUCUUCCUUGCUUGGCAUUUAGCAAAUCCAAUUCAAACAUUUUCCCAUCUUUGGGAAAUCUAAUGUUAUGAUGCACAGUUUAAAAAAAACCAAGAUGUACAUUUGGUAACUUCUGAAAAUUCUAAACUGUAUUAUAGUACAAAUUUUCAUAUCUUGCAUACAUCACUUUUUUUGCUAGCAAAUAUGUGUACAGCUUGGGGGUGAGUCCUCCACAUUAUUAACUGGUGGUUAGCAGUGGGUUUGCAACACAAAUGUAUACAGCAGAGAUAGUCAACAUGGUGCCCUCCAGCACAAGCCAGCAUGAUGAUUGUUGAGGGACGAUGGGAAUUGCAUUAUAGUAACAACCAGAGGCCACCAUUUUGGCUGUCCAUGGCAUAUAGCAAUUCAGAAAUGUAACUGUGCAAUCCUCUACAAUCCUAUUCAGAAGCAAUUUUAUUUGUUUGUUUGUUUAUAUGCUGCCCAUUUGACUGGGCUGCCCCAGCCAACCUGGAGGGCUUCCAACAAAUUAAAACAUCAAACACAAUAUAAGAUCAAACAUAAAAAACUUCCCUAUACAGGGCUGCCUUCAGAUGUCUUCUAAAAGUCAGAUACUGUAGUUGUUUAUUUCCUUAACAUCUGAUGGGAGGGCAUUUCCACUGAGAUAAUUACGAUACUUGAAUGCAUUUUGCGUUAGUUUAUGAACACCAUACUUGCAAGCACUUUGCUGCUCACAUGCUUUAUCCAAAAGCAAGGAUAGGCAGUGUGGAUUUUUCAUGCUUAUUCAUUUGUAAAACGAAUAAAGCAUCCCUAUAAAAACUAAAAGGAAUGAUGGUUUUAAAACAGAAGGACAACUCCUGUAGCGUUGAACUACAUGCUUAGCCUAAGUAAGGACUGAGAAGAUAGUUAUUACUUUGCAUUUAUAUAUUCUUUAAGGAUGGGAUUAAUGGGUGAACUGCACUGCUGAUUUUUUAAAUGUAUGGCUUGUGUGUAAAUUCUAUUUUAUGAAAGGCUGCUGUUUCCAUGGCUUGCUAAAUCCAUUAAUGGUCGCUUUCUAGGCUCAUGUCUUCUGCUGUCUUCAUUAGAUAAUGUUUGUUAAAUCAUUAUGAUGAUUUAGGAGAACAUAUUUAAUAGAUUGUAAUACAGCCAAAAUGGGGGGAGGAACAACAGGUAUAUGUGGUAAUUUUCCCAGUAAGACCAUAUGGUUUUAUGCCUUCGCUCCAAUUCAUCUGAAAGUUUUGGCAUUAAUUAACAUAAAGGAAAAGAACAUCAGUCGAAAGUCGACACAAGCAGAGAGCAGUAACACGAGACUGAUGUAUUGGUAUGUGUUGUGUUUCUGUGUAAACAUAUGCAUUUUCAAAAUACAGUUGUAGCAUUUCUCCAAAUUGUAAUCCAUCAAAAAUGAUAUGUUUUUUCCCUCUUCUGAAAAAUGAGCUGUUAGCAUUUCUGGCUUGCUUCCCAUGAUUGCAGAAGGAAGAGACUGCUGUUUCGGCUUUACCAACUAGUGUUUAGUUGUUUUCACUUAUAUAAGUGGGACUAAAACCUACUGAAACUUUGCCGGAAUCAACAGGAUCUCACUCUCUCUCUUAGGCUGUAGAAAGAUGUGUUGCUUGCAGAGCUCUUGAGAUGCAGUCACACUAGAAUCGGUCUGUGGGCCCUUUGUGCACAAUAUGAUCGCCAGCCUGCUGUCAGUCUUAAGGAUUGCAUUUUAGAUGGUGUGAAAUGUCAGUGUUGAACCACAUCCAAAACAAUGCUGCCAGAGGCCACACUGUUUUCGAUUAAAGAGGUCCAGUCUUACCAUCACAAUUUCGCCUACACUAGAGCUUGGCAGGUGCCAAAUUUUAAUUUGAAGUCACAAGUCUGUAACUGGCCAGAGUGUAGCGGUAUAUGUUUAUUUUAACUUGACUUGGACCUAUGCUUUGACACUUGCAGGUUUGUAUUGGCUGCACUCAACUUCGGGGGCACUCCCUAGGGAUGUUGAAGAAUACUGUUUGUGUGAAUUCUGAUUAAAAACUGCACUGGUUCGCUCCUCUAGAUUAAUGUGCAGAUUGGAAAAUAUCCUUUGGAUUUUACACUUCUUAAAAUUUUGCGAUUCAGUUUGCACUGGAAAAACACACAUCAAAAUGCAUUAAAAAUCUGUAUGUUAGGAUAAUAUAUGUUUAGAAAUAUGCACCUUCAGAUAAAAUGUAUUUUGUGAUAAAACAUGAAUUUAAAAAACAUUUUAAAUUGCUAUUUUAAAACAUUUUAGUGCCUUUUUGUAAAAAGAAAGAAAGAAAUCACAGUUGAAUGCAGAAACAAGAUGGAGCAGAUUUAGGAAUACUUGUGAAAUGCAUGUGGAAUGGAAGCAGAAUUAUUCAUCCCUAUACUCAGCUCACUGGGAUGCGGGUGGUGCUGUGGGUUAAACCACAGAGCCUAGGACUUGCCGAUCAGAAGGUCGGCGGUUCGAAUCCCCGCAACGGGGUGAGCUCCUGUUGCUCGGUCCCUGCUCCUGCCAACCUAGCAGUUCGAAAACACGUCAAAGUGCAAGCAGAUAAAUAGGUACCGCUCUGGAGGAAAGGUAAACGCCGUUUCCAUGCGCUGCUCUGGUUCACCAGAAGCGGCUUCAUCAUGCUGGCCACAUGACCCGGAAGCUGUAUGCCGGCUCCCUCGGCCAAUAAAGCGAGAUGAGCGCUGCAAUCCCAGAGUCAGCCACGACUGGACCUAAUGGUCAGGCGUCCCUUUAUACUCAGCUCAGCCAUAAGCUCUGAAUUAUUAUUUUUUAAGUAACCGUGUCAUAGGUUACAUUAAGACUUUUGAAAUACUACUACUCUAGUGCAAGCUGCAGAAGAGGUGCAAAACCCUGUGCUGGGCAAGGAAGCAGUCAGCACCAGAGCACUGGAAGACAAGGAAGAGAGCCGGUCUCCCUCUGUACCAUAGCUGCUCCAUUAGGCCAUAUUGCUCCUGCCCAGGCAUGACAUCUCUGACUCUCACGUUGCCUGUUAGCCACUUGUGGUGUAGUGAUCCGUGCCACUUCUGAACAUGUUAAUGGCCAUUAAUACUGUAGAAAUAUGUGCAUUGUUUUUAAAAGGCCUUCCUAAGUUCUGUGCAAGUUUUGAAGCUGAUGAGCUCAUGUUUUACACUGGCUUGCCUACAAAGUUGCCAGAAAAACUUAAUUGCCUGAAGGACCUGACGCUGUUAGGUAUUUAGCUGCAUAACAACUUAGGCUGCCAUCCUAAACUCGCUUACCCAGGUGUAAGCUCCACUGAAUUCAGUAGGACUUUUUUUGGAGUAGGCAUGGUUAGGACUGUGCUGUUACUUUUUUGGAUGUCCUUUAUUUGUAUAAUAAAUGGGCUUUUGUCGUGGUGCUUCUCUAAAGGACCUCUGUAUCUUAGCAGCAAACUCUGCUCUGUUGGGUGCAAGUUACCAUAGGUCCCCGUUACUUGUCACUAUGCAGAAGAGGUCUCUAUCAGCUGGUUCACACAAGGUGCUCCCUCUUCCUACACAAUCUUUCCCAUAUACAAAUUAUUUAGAGAAUUCUGUGUAAACCGGGCUCUCCAUGCAGGCAGAACACAUUGAUGUGCUUGCUACAUGCCAAGCACUUCCUGCAGCCUUCACAUUCUUAACUGUGAGCUCCGACGUGCACAAGCCAAUUCACACGGAGCUUUCCUCAUAUUAGCCUGUGCAUGAAAGGGUUGCAUGGAAAGAUGGGGCAAAGCAGCUGGUUUGCAUGUGUGAACCAGGCCUGAAUAUGACACAUUUCCCAGUACGGAGGGGAUACUCAGAUUACCAAAACAGAUGUGAAGUGGGAGAUCCCUGAUCACAUCUCCUGACUUAAAAACAGAAAACUUGAAAGCAGCUACCAGGAGCUCCAAUUUUAAGCAAAGAAGUGUUGUUGGGGAAAGUGGGAUUUUUAAUCCUUUCCCAGCAUGCCAUUUUACUGAUAUAAAUCCCCACCCACACCCCCCACAGAAUGCAGAAUGCAGACACUGUAGCUCUGUUUUGACUCUAACCUAUCAUAAUAUACGUAGUAAACAUCAUUACUAAAGGGUAUAUUAGAGAUUGCUGACCACUUUAUUUUCUCAGAGUUUCCUGUUCCCUUGCUGAUAUUUUAAAGCCUUUAAUAAUUUUGCUUCAUGUGGUUUUAAACUUUGUAACAGCAAUGAAAGAUAUAGAAGAAACUUGAAAGUGCAUUGUGUUGCUAUAUUUCCCCACUAUCCAUGCAUACUCUGAGAUUCCUCAGCUAACAUUAAAUACAGGUCUAAGGCCCAGUUUUCACUUUUAAGGUCAUCCCGAGGUGACAUGUGCUGACAUUUGAGCAUUUUGAAUGUGUUGUGUUGAAUUACAAUUAAUCCUGCCUGACAAUCAGGCUUUCUGUCUCCCGUUUGUGAAGCUGAGGGCGAUGAGUGUGUUUCCUCAGUACACUGAGGAACAGUUGCACUCUUAGAGGCCUGCCUGUCUUUAUUUUUACCUCAUACUUUCCAGGAUCGAUUCCAGAUAGUGAAAAACCAAGCCCGGGAUUGUGGAUUCAACUGUAAAGAAUUAACACAUGACCAAUUUGCUAGGUGGUAAAAUAUUUAUUAAUUUGGUCAGUGUAAACAGGGAGUCACAGACCUAAAUUUCCCUUGUAGAUCAGCUUCCUUAAGGCCCUCACCCUCACCUUACAUGACACACAGAGGCAGAUUUUGGGCAGGGCGGCCAUUUCCGCCCCUCUGGGCCCCGACACAAGAAGGUGCUGCUGGGCUUCGCAACUGUAACGCAGUGAAAUGAGCAGAAUGGAAGGCGAGAGGCGGGCGCACAUCAAAUGUUGUCCGUGCACUUGUGUCCACUGUGACACAUGUUGGUGGCCUGUUCAGUUGACAGAACAGGCUUUCUCCGUAGCUUAAGUGUCGGGGAGAAGAGUCUGUGGUAUGAUGAGCAGAGUGUUGCGUGUCGAGGUCCCCAAGCCACCCCCCAAUAAUUCACACAUCAAUUUUGGUUUGGGUUUUUGGCACGAUUUUGGCCACAACUUUACAGUGGUGCCUCGCAAGACGAAAUUAAUCCGUUCCGCAAGUCUCUUCGUCUUGCGGUUUCUUCGUCUUGUGAAGCAUGGCUAUUAGCGGCUUAGCGGCUAUUAGCGGCUUAGCGGCUUUAAGAAAAAGGAAACAAACUCGCAAGAACUCGCAAGACGUUUCGUCUUGCGAAGCAAGCCCAUAGGGAAAUUCGUCUUGCGGAACGACUCAAAAAAUGGAAAACUCUUUCGUCUAGCGAGUUUUUCGUCUUGCGAGGCAUUCGUCUUGCGGGGCACCACUGUAUUUAAAUACACACAAGUGAGUGGUUGCUUAGGCAUUGGUUCUGACUAUCUGUCCUUGCCCAGGGACAGAACUGACUUCCGGCUUCCAGCGGAAGCCAGUGAGGGAAACAACUUUUGGGGAGAAAAUGAAGCUGGGCCUCAGUCCCUCACUUCUCACCCUCAUGCUCCUGGUGGCUUGCACGGCCCAAGUCUGAUGCCAGGGACAAGGACGAAAAGAAUGGCAAGCCCCUGGAUUCCUUUAACGGAAUUCCCUUUCCGCACCACCAUUGGAGGGGUAGGCACUUACCCCCUCCAAGAACCAAUUUGAACCAAUGCCUAACCCCCAACCUUACAAGUUGUGACGAUUUGCUACGCAGUAGGCAGAAACCAAAUGGCAACAGCCAAUCAGCCAAGUGGACAAAAUUCCUACCAGGCCCCUGCCCCAAGGCAGACGACCCCAUGACAGGCAUAGCAAGGUCAGAGGACAACAACCCCCCCUUUUCAGGGAGGGUGGGCGGGUGAUCCGGUGCACGCAGCCCAAGAGAAGGCCCCAGGCUGCGAGCCCUGUACAGUGGUGCCCCGCAAGACGAAUGCCUCGCAAGACGGAAAACCCACUAGACGAAAGGGUUUUCCGUUUUUGAGUUGCUUCGCAGGACGAAUUUCCCUAUGGGCUUGCUUCACAAGACGAAAAUGUCUUGCGAGUCUUGAGAUUUUUUUUUGCUUUCCCCCCUUUUCUAAGCCGCUAAGCCGCUAAUAGCCUUUUAGCAGCUAAGCCGCUAAGCCUUUAAUAGCCGCUAAACCGCUAAUAGCGCUAAUCCGCUAAGCUGCUAAUAGGGUUGCUUCGCAAGACGAAAAAACCGCUAGACGAAGACACUCGCGGAACGGAUUAUUUUCGUCUUGCGAGGCACCACUGUAUUGAAGACCUCUGACCCCUCCCACACUUUAGCAACAUAACAUUCUCCCCAGCAACACUCCUUGCCCAAUCACAGUAUGUGGCCAAUCUGCCCAACAACAGUGGGGUGGCCUUUUUGGCCCCCACCGCAACACGUGCUCUCUAUUAUGGGAACAUGCUUUACCCAAUGCUUUGGGGGGGUACACAGGGGCACGCAUACCCCUAAACAUUUUGUGACUCUAAGUUUGGCCUCAUUGAGGGGUAGUAUUUCAAUAUGAGUAGGAAAAUGAGAGUACCCCUAAACAUUUUUUAAGAAAAGAAAAGCACUGGUGUUACCAGUUUAGAUCAUCCUGUGUUGAACUGGGAAGAAAAGGUGUGUCUCUGUGCUUGCUGUCCAAGACAAGAUCAACUAAGGCAAAAAGGGUGGCUGUAUUUAUGGAAGGAAGUAAAGUUUUGCAGCAAGGACGUAAAGGGGAGAACUAGGGGUGGUGAAAGCAGAUAGGGAGAAUUGGGUCCCCCCCCCCUUUCCCUUUGUUUUGCAUUUUUCGGUCUCUUGAUCGCACUUGGGCAUGACCAAGAGCCACUAGAAUAUAUUACAGAAUCAGCAUGAAUUCAAAAGACUGAUUGUAGGAACUCGUGUCCAGAACUCAAUGCAUCUGUAUAGCUUCAUAAUCCCAGCAAAGUGUCCAGUUACUUCUUAUAAAUAUGGUGAGGCCAACGAUUCAACUAAACUUGGACAUGGAAACAACUUGUGAGUCCAGCCCAUCUCUGUGUAAGUGUGUGAGAAGUCUGAAUAGAAUUCUGUUCUGUCUCCUCUAAAUCUAAGCAUUCCAUGCAACAAGGCUUUCAGAAAUCUUCUCACAGGAGACUAAUCUAUUAAGCUUAAUGUAUCAUGGAAAAAGGAAGUAUUUACUGAUAUUUCAUCUUUUCCCACUCUAGUUCAUCCUAUUUCUUAGUUAUACCCUCAUGCAUCAAACUAAAUAUUUCCUCUCUACCUGGAUGCUGACAGCCAUUAAAUAUUUCUAAACUGCAAUUUCUCUGUGCCUGCAACUUAGCCAGAAAUCUGUAUAUAAACUUGUUUUCUUCAUUCUUCAUAAGUCAAUCACUGUAAUUUUACAUGAAUGGUAUGGGAUUUUGCCUUCUCGUCCAAGGUUGUGAACAGGAAUUCCACUUGAGCUAGGAAAAGGAAAAUAUUAACUACUACAUUUUAAUAAAAUAUUAAGUGCUGCCAUUUUUGGGCAACAGAUACUCACAGAGGUUUGGAAACAGAAUGAGUCCAUUUUGUUUUGUCUCAGGGGUUGAGAAAAGAAAGCUUUAAAAGCUGGAGAACAAGAAUUUUCCAGUGUUGUAUUCUAUUCCUCUAAAGAGUUUUAUUUCUUAAAAAGGUGGUGGAAUAAGCUGACCAGGGGAAGGGUUGUAUCUCAGUGGCAGAACAUGUCCUUUGCAUGUAAACAGUUCCAGAUUCAAUUCAUGGUAUCUGACAGGGUAGGAGAGAUCAGCAUUUCCUGUUGAAAACACAAUGGAGGGGAUUUUUUUUUUGUAAAAACAGUUUUAUUUUGUGUUUCACAAGUAGGGUAUCCUCUGCAAACUCUUGACAGAAAUGUAUAUAGUCUGAUAUGAUUUAUAUAUUGUAAAAGAGUGCAAGAAUUAAAAUGAAGGACCUUGACAAUCUUUGGAAAAAAAAUCAUGAUACCAUUACUGAUUUUUCUGCAACCAUCCAUCAGCAAGUAGUCAGUGAGUGUUCUUAAUGUUGUUUUCCUCUCUUCUGGAAUAAUUUUGCUGGAGUUCCUUGGCGUGUGAGUUUUUGUCGACAUAUUUUUGGCUUUGUUUCGUGGUGCAUUAAUUUUUGUAAAUAUCAUAAAUAGGCCAAGAGCUCAAUUCAUCUGCCUUUUGAGAAAUAAAAAACUGGGUGUAGAAAUAUUUAAACGGUCUCUUCUUCUACAGCCAGGGUUUUACUGAGGUGCAGUAAUAGCAACAGAAGUAGGACUGAGCCCCUGGAGGAUCUAGUUCAAAUCCCACUGAAAUCAGUGAAACUGUCUCCAUGUUAGUAAAGAUACUCUUUUUAGAAGAUGUUAAGUACUUGUUAUGGUGAUUUCCCCUGGACAGAUUACAGAAACAUUCUCCAACAAUGGGCUUUUUCCGUAAUGGUUUGUGAGGUUCACAUUUGCAAAGUUUUGAAGGAACUGAAUGUGCUAAUGACUCUAAAAUCCCCACCCUGCUUCCUAUAAUCUAAAGCUGUGGCUUUCAUGCUUUCCUUUGAGAAUUGUAGUCUUUGUAAACAGGUGUAGCAAACAGCAUAGAUUUGUCCCAUACACUGCUUUAUGGAUGUUGCUUAAGCCUUAAACCUGGAACCACAUGCAGAGGUUUCUACACUGCGGAAACUACAGGGCGAAGACAGACAUUUUAGACCAGUGGAACUGGUUUCAGAGUGUCCUAACUGUACCUUUUGGGACAAGUUGUGAAACCAGCAAACCUCCCACUUGUGGAAGGUACCAGUUGGCUGGCACCUGUGAUGGUACAAAUUCUUCUUUGCUCUUGUGGAGUCUUGUCAUUGGAGCAUUUAUUAUUUGUUUAGUAAGUUUGUAAGCCAUAUUUCAAAAGCCAAUGUUUUGCCAUUUAAUCAUUUAAAUAUAUUUGAUUUUCCAUUGGGGGGGGCAAGGUGAAGCAGCCUUAUGCAAGGUCAGUUUGUUCCACAUGGGUAUGGUCCUGUAGCCAUUUCUUGCAGCUGUCUUCGCCCAAACUCUGUAUGCCAUUAAAUGGGACUUAAGAGUGUGUCCUCUGUGCUACAGAGUUAAACCAGUGUAAGGUCUACUUAAUCAGCAAUGCUCGAAACUAUAGUUCUGUGAAGGAGGGUUCGGCUCUUUGUCAGUCAUAAUAAUUCUCAACCUCUGUAAUUCCCAGGCUUCUAUGGGAGUGCCUGCAAUAUUUUAUUCUAGUUCAAUUUUGUGCCUAAGAGAAGGCAAUUGAUAUGAGUGAACAAGUCAUAUGUAGGCAUUUAGGCUUUGGUGCAUACGUAGCUUUUUAUAUUGUCUGCAGAGGAAAAAUGGAUUGGAACACCAGCGAGGAAAAUUGUUCAAGACAGUUUAAUAAAAAUAUAUGGGCUUUCAAAUGUAAAAUUUGUCAUGCUGUGAGACACUGAUAUAGAUACAGUAGUUAUGUUCCUAUGCUGUGGUCCCCGUAUGGAGGGUGAUAAAAUAGAUUAUAGAGGUAGAAAUGGAGGUGGAUUAUGGGCUGGAUGUUCAAGAUCACAUGUUUACCAACUGUUGGAACUGAACAGCUUGUAAACUUAACUGCUUUCUUCUGCAUUUUUAUAUUAUCCACUGAGCAGUCCUAUCUGCAUGAAUGGUAUCUAACCUCCCAUGAGUAACAAAUAUUAAAUUUCUAGUUAUAUUUCUUAUUUAAACAUGCUACAACUAAAAAUCAACUCCCAGACAAGCCAGGGAGGCAUCAUUUCUUCUUUGUCCAAGUUGUACUUAUGCUCUAUCUCAAUAGCUGGGGUGUUCUGAGGGGGCACAUUUGAUGGUUCCACAUGCCCCAGAGGUUUGGCUGGCCUGUGCCAGGGGCCAAGUUUUUAGAGUGGCAGAUUGUGUCCUAUGGAACUCCUUGCCAGUAGAUGUUCAGCAGGAGUCAUUCCUGCUCAUUUCCUGACAUUCUUCUAAGAACUGUAUUAUUCAGGCAGGCCUUUCAAACCUGAUAUUCUCAGCCAACUACAUUUUAUUGAUGUGUUUGACAUUUUUCUUCAGGAGAAGGACCAAGGAGUGAACCCUACAUAUAUAUGCAGUGGAGUCCCUAAGACUGUUGGAUGGCACCUUGUACGCCUCCUUCCAGCAGCUCCUGCAGCCAAGCUGGUGCCAAACAUAUUGCUCUACUUAUCUUUGGACCACAUCAGCGAGGCCAAGAGGAGGCUCUUUGCCUCUGGGCAGCCCAGGACCUCCAUACACACUGCCCAGGCAUGUGCCCUGGGGAGGUCACUUCGGUGCUGCCAGCGCAGCAAAAACAACAUCAGAGGCAGCAGUUAUGAGUUACUGGACUCUGCAGCCACAGUUGGCACUGUGAUUCUCCUGCAAUUUGCCUUCACCCCUGGAUGUGCACUCAAGACAGACAGAUGCCAACAAUAACAGUUGACUUAAUAAAAGUAUUGCUCUAACAUGUAUUAUUAGGAAAGUGAAUCUCCUACAGUUUCCCCACAAAAAGUCCCUGGACUUAUUUGUCUAUAAUUUGGCAGAUAUAAUCCACUCUGACUCUUGUCAAUAAGAUUUUAUGUUCCAUGAUAGAAUUCAUAGACAUUUCCAGCACAUAAUAGCCCAGAACACAUGUUGCCUCUUAGCUAAAGAGGUACAAACCUUUUCAAAAUGCUUUUUUAAAUCAUGGUUCUCGAGAUCUCCUCCCACUAGAGUUAAUUUUUAUACAGUUAUUUUUGAAAUAGGUAACCCACCACAUUGGCUUUUAGAAAGGUUAAGUCCCCCAGUUAGUUUUAAUAUUGGAGAAGUGUGGAGAUAUGUUAAGGUUAAUAUUAUUUCUGAUACUCCAAAGAAGUUAAGUUACAUAUUCAGAGAAUACCUAUUUCUAAGAUAGCAAUAACUCAUUGUUUCUAAAAAUUUAUUUUAAGAACAUAAUGGCUAAGUUCAGACAUAGUAAGAAUAUAAGGUUCUGAUCCUGGGUUGAUAUUCUGAGAUUAACAAAUGGUGGUCUGAAUGAGCCAUAAUUUGCCAAGGUUUGUCCUAAUGUCUGAAUUAGCCCAUAAUGUUCUAAAUGCCUGUAAAAGUAAAUUAUUUAAGAGCAAUUUGAAGAAGAAAAAACGCGUUCAGAGCACAAAAAGGCACACACCUUCUAUUUGCAGGCCUUAAAUAGUCAACUGUUCUUCAUUAUUUUACACUUUUGUUUUGGCAGAUUGCGACUUGGAAUAAAUAUUUACAGCUAUGUAAUAAAGUCCAAAGAAUUAGAGGUUUAUGUCGCAAAAUGAAGUUUUUAAAAACCAUUAGAAUUGCAUGAUACUAUUGUGCUACUGCUGCCAGAUGAAUGAUAGCAGAAUACCCUAAAGUUUAUGAAGGAAAGAAUUGCCUGACCGCAUCUCCGCAAGGAGGGUCAGGUUGGUCUGUCACAGGGGCUGCAACAGAAGGGAAAAGGAAGUAAGCAUGAAAGAAUGGCCUGGAUCCAAAGAGCCAAAUGAAUGAGCCCAGCUGAUUCCUGUCCUACUCAGGGGUUCUCCGCAUUUCCCCUUGUGCAGCAGGGCAGUCUUCUCCAAAGGGACACCAGACUUUUCAGGAUGGCUUUUCAGGUGCACUUGGGACUUCACUGACAAGCGUUCUUCAGAAACCCCAGUCCCCCUACUGCUCACUGGAUCCUAUCCUAAGUUUUUUAAAGGCUUGGAACCAGUGGUUGGUUAAUGCACUUCCCACUCACUCCAAAUAUGGCCAGGCAUAAGGGACACCCUGAAACUGAUAGACAAGCUUCAGCACAAGUGUAAUUUAUAUAUAAACAAGCUACAACACUUAAUGUGGCAGAUGAACGAUGGAUGGAGUGCUUAAAGGAAGACUCUUGGGAGCACACUAUGGUGUUGGAAAAUGUGUACCGAACAUAUACUUUUUGCACAGGAAAACAGGUGAGACCCCUGUGGACUGGAAAAAGCAAGUGACAUGAAAAUGAAUGAUACCAGGCUAUUGUUAUUGGUUCUUUCACUUGCUUCUAGGUUAGGCGGUUUGUUGGUGAGUGUUCGAGACUUCCUGGCUAUUGAGAUUUGUGUUUCUUUUACAAAGGGGUAUUUUUAUAGCAAGCAUAUAUACAAAAAAGUUUCACAUGAUUUCUUUAACAGAAGAGCUAUCAUAGCACGAUUCUACUAAGUGGGACUGCUCUGUAUUAGCAAGGGGCAUGAGCUCAGAGACACAUAUGAUUACAAUUAUUCUUGUGUAUAUAGGCAUGGGAAUGUGUACAAUGACAAGGGUGCAUGCUGGCAAGAUGCAUUGACAUACCGUGUCCAUGGGUGCAUUAUUAAACACCAGCAGGUAUCUAGCAGGGAAGAGAAAGAUCUCUCCCACUUUUUGUCUCCUUGCCGCAGCAAAGAGGGGUUCUUUUUGUAUCAUACAUUCAUCUGCUCACCAUUCAGCAUUGGUAGAAAAGUGUUAAUCAAUGUGCUUCUUUGUAAGGGCCAUAUCUCUGUGUCAGAGAACAUAUGCUCUACCUGCAGCCAGCGCCAGACUCUUUCCCUAGCAUCUCCAGUUAGAAGAAAGACCCCUGCCCAAGACCAUGGAGGGUGGCUGCCAGUCAGAGUAUGGCAGCCUUCUCCAAUCUGUUGUUGUUUAGUCGUUUAGUCGUGUCCGACUCCUCAUGACCCCAUGGACUACAGCAUGCCAGGCACCCCUGUCUUCCAUUGUCUCCCGCAGCUUGGUCAAACUCAUGUUGGUAGCUUCGAGAAUACUAUCCAACCAUAUCGUCCUCUGCCGUCCCCUUCUCCUUGUGCCCUCCAUCUUUCCCAACAUCAGGGUCUUUUCCAGGGAGUCUUCUCUUCUCAUGAGGUGGCCAAAGUAUCUAGUGCCCUCCAAAAGUUUUAACAUAUGAUUCCCACCAUCCCUGGCCUUGGGCCAUGCUGGCCAGGAUGGAUGGGAGUUGGGGACCCAACUUCGGGAUGGCACCAAGCGGGGGAAGUCUGGAGUAGACAGCCCUCGACUAAAUGCACCAAUGGCCUGACCGGGCAUAAGGCAGCUUCCGGCAUUGCUCUUGCUCUUGAAAUUCUCUCCACCCAAAUUUUCCCCUCGAUACUGAAGUUGCAAAUUACCUAGUUUUGUUUCUGGAAUGAAACAUUACAUUAGGAAUCCUCGGUUGUUCAGGUUUUUAUUUCUGAAUUCUGUGGAGACAAGCAUGUUAAAUGAUUCUCUUAAAAAGAACUUUAUCAUAAUAUUAUGUUCCACAGAUCACAAAGUAUAAGCACAGGUUUGUGAAAUAUGAUCUACACUAGGUCUGUGAAAUGAACCAUUCCAAAUGAAGCAGAUACAUCUAAAGACAUUGACUUUGCUCAAAGCAAUGCUCAUUUAUUGCCAUAAAAUGCAUGACAAAUGUGAGUGUAAGCACCUUGAUUGGGUUUUGUUCUAAUAUUUUGUUUAUUAAAAAGUGAGAGAACAGAGGGAGCAGCAAAGGUUAAAUUAAGCAUGCAUUGUUCCACUCUGAAAGUUUAUAGGCCUAUGGGACUUCCAUAUUGUUAAGAGAAAAUGCAGCAAGCUUUUAAACAUACAGGGAGGAAUUCCAUGUCGUGCUAUGUUAAACGUUCCAUCGCUGCAAGAUUUUCAGUUUGCCAGAUGGAAUGACCCCCCUCAUCCCCACUAGUGCUGUUCUGGGGGUUCUCCCAACAUCCCUCUGAUCCAAUUUCAGGGUGCAGGAAGGAAAGGGGGAAGCCCCAUUGUGUAAGUGGAAGACCUUGCACAGAACUUCUGCUGAUGGAACUGCUAGGUGAAUCCCACUCAAAGUCAUUAACUUCGUCAAAAGAAGCAGUAAAAUUAGCCUGUGACAUUGUUAUUCCCCAGUCAUUUUUUUUGCUUAAAGUAAUGUAUUAUUCCAGAAGGAAAUGAUGAAACACUUGAUGGCACAUGCAUGGUGAAAUAUAUUGCAUUGCCUUUUGUGCAUCAGUUAAAGGAUAAGGCACAUGAAAAUAAAUAUUGCAUGGAGUGAAUAUAAGUCGUAUGGAGGGAAGUAUUGUUUGCCUUAAUUUAAUUGCUGAUCUCUUGAUUAGUUGGAGGAGUCCGGGCACAAGAAUGACACAAAAUAUGCUGUCAUUUGGGAGUAGAUACUGUAUAUGGAAAGUUAUCCACAAGAUGGUACCCUACUUGUACCCUAUGUAUGAGGAAAAGAGGGAAGCAGGGAGGCAAUUUGUUUCCCCAUCAGUCAGGGUUCAUCUUGGCCAGGGCUCAGCAACCCUUUUCAGCAAGGGGCCAGUCCACCAUCCCUCAGACCAUGUAGGGGGGCCGGACUAUAUUUUAGGGGGGGGGAAUGAACAAAUUCUUAUGCCCCACAAAUAACCCAGAGAUGCAUUUUAAAUAAAAGCACACAUUCUACUUGUGUAAAAACACUGAUUCCCGGACCAUCCAUGGGCCGGAUUGAGAAGGCGAUUGGGCCGCAUCCAGCCCCCAGGCCUUAGUUUGCCUACCCCUGAUCUUGGCAAUAUAUAGGCCUCAGAGCUGAGAUGGCAACAGAAUUGUCUUUGAAAACUCAGGCUGUGCAGCACCUUGUGUCUAUGUCAUAGUGAGAAGAAUCUCUGCAAGAUCAGACCAAAGCUCCAUCUAGUCUAGCAUCCUGUUCUCACAAAUCCUUAUUUCCAAAUUUUACCAAGGCAUUAUGGGGCAAACUACCAGAAAAUAGUGGUUUAAUGUUUACGACUAUUGAAGAAACUGCUAGAAAAAAAAUAGACUUAAAUAAAAAAACCCCAACCCAUUUAGACAAAGAGGGACACAUUUUAUAGAUUGGUAGAUUGAACAGUAAUGAUGAUGAAUUGAAAAUGUCUUGCCAUUUUCAUCUAGAAGCAAUCAAGGGGAAAUAGUGCAUGACUUAGAAAAUAGGGGGGGUGGAAUCUUAGCAAAGUAUAGAUGGCAGAGGGAGUAACAGAUGAAGCCCAAUCUUACGCUGUUUUUACAAAUACUUAUACUUCACUUAUUGUUCUAGUUUGGCAGGCUCAUUAUUUUUUUAACGUAUUUUUUAUUAAAGAUUUCUUGGUUUACAAAAGUAUGUGCAAUGUCUCUUUUUUCAAGUUACAUUUUCUACAGAUCAGUUUCAUUUGUUGUGACAUUAGUAUUACAUUAGGAAGAAAAGGGGGGAAGAGGUGGAGGGCCAUGGUGGGUGGGGGUGGGGUCGGGUGGCAAUGUUUCUAUUUCACUUAAUGUAUGUGUGGGGUUUUGUGUCAGUGUUGCUUGUGCGGAUUCUCUUUACUAUUCACUUGUGUUCCUUUGGUGGUGAGAGAGGUUGGGGUUGGUCUAGGGUGUGGUUGUUUGUGAUUGGCUGUGGUGAACUUUGUUUUCAAGUGUGAGUGGGGUGGGUGAGUGUUUUGAAUCAGGUUAGCCAUAUUGAUUCGUAUGCUGUUGGUGGAUUCUUGUCGUUGUCUUGUUGGGCUAUGUAUGUGAUAAAAUGGAGCCAUAUCAGGGUGAAGGUGUCUUCUGCCAUUUGUCCCCGUGUCAGUUUCAGUUUAUUGGUUAAUUUUUCUAAUAAGGCUGUUUCCCAUACUAUUUGGUACCAUUUGUCCAUGCUUACUCCUGACAGGUCUCUCCAGUGUCUGGUUAUGAUGUUUCUGGCUGCUGAGAGUAGGUGGGUUAUGAGUUCUUUGUGAUGUGAGUGGGCAUUAUUCUAUUGGAAGAUGUUUAGUAGGGCCAGUUAUGGGAUGACUUCUAAUACUUGUUUGGUUAUUUUGCAUAUUUCUUGUAUGGUUGUUAUCCAGAAUAGUUGGAUUUUGGGGCAUUCCCACCACAUGUGGAGGUAUGUGCCUGUGGAAGUGCAUCCUCUUCAGCAUUUUGGUGAGGUUCCUGGGUGUAUUAGCGCUAGUUGGCAGACUCAUUAUCCGAUAGUAUUGCAAGGAAAUCAGGCAUCCAGUGAGGUUCAAUUUAUUUUUAAAUUGUUUGAAAUCUUAAUUGGGGAAUGAAAUUUCAGUUAGAUAAUUUUAUUUCAUGUACAUUGUAUGUAGAUGAUGCAUUGUUAAUUCCUGCAACUCCCUGUACAAUAGAGUUACAAGGCAUCUUUCUUUAGUUUUGCAGGCAAGCAACCUGAAUUUAUACAAUUAAAAAACGAGAAAAGGGACAGUAUCUAUGAGCAUAUCAACAGAAAUAUAUCUGUAUGUAGAUCAAACAAAUUAUUUUUUUAAAAGCAGAAUAAACAAUUAGAUUGUCCUUAUAUGGUAGGAAAUGUAGUUAUGGGGGGAUUUUUGUCUUUCUGCAAAGAAACAGUAAUAAGGGUUUUAAUGCCAACAAUUAGAGUUUCAGGCUAAUGUUGUCUUUAAGAAAUCUAGUGACCUUGCAAAUAAACAACAACAACAACAAAAAACAUUCAGAAGUUAAACUGAUGGACAUCUCAGUUUUGUCUUGGGGAGGAUAAUUAUGAAAGUUUAUUUUUCUAACAAGCCACUAAAAUUUAUGCAUGUUAAAUUCAUGUAGCAUAUCUGAGUCAAGAAGUGAGGAGAUUUGCAGCAUGGUUCCAAGAGCUUCUCUUGGAUCUUUGCAAGACUGAAUUGUAGAAAAGAAGUAUAGUAUACAUGGAGGGUUCGUUGUUUCUUUUUUAAAACACACACGCACACCCCUCACAAUAACUACAGCAAUAUUCCAAGACAGGUCUGACACAUACACCACUUUCUUUAUUAAGAGAAAAGAUUUGUAUCUUGGCAUGUAUAACUAGCACACAUACUGUACAUCAGUCCACUGAAUUACUUACUCUGUGGCUGAGAUCCAAAGUGUCCAAAUGGAAAAUAAUUGUGCAUGAGCACAGAAAGCUGCUGAUUUGUCUUCCCAGCUGCAGCUCCUUGCACCUUCUCCAAAGAUAUUUCUGAAGGCUGGCCUGCCCCCCGCUGCUCAAUUGAUUUUCAAUACAGUAUGGAGGGCUGCAGCUAGCAAAAGUCAGUAGGAUAUGCAAUGGGUUCGGAUGAAACCUGAACUGCAGCAGGUUAAUUUAGUGAGAUUUAAGGCUUGUCUGAAGCAAAGUAGGUGUUCUCCAAAAGAGCUCAAAGUAGUCUUCCUGAAGUGCUAAGUCCAAGACAAGGAUGGCAUGUCUGAAGAAAUUGAUCACCCUACAUCCUGCAAGCUCUCUUGAUUCCAACCAGGGUAUAUCUUUACUUGGGCUUCUUUACCCCUUUACUUUUAGAAACACUGAUUUUUGAAAUUGUGCAGGCUACUUAACCAAGAGGCACCUCUAAGAUUUCCCAACAAAAGCAAAGCCUUUUCCUUCUCCCCAGAUUUUAAACGGGUGCGCGGACACCCCCCCCUUACACAAAUGCCCCUGCACCUUAUUUGGCAGAAUUUAUCCCCUCAGAAGGGGCAACUAUGGCUGAAAAUUUAAUUCAAUUCUGUUCAAAGUAUAAGGGGGGGAAAGCAGUUAUAGCAGUUACAAUUUUUUAAAUAAUCAAAAUGUAAAGGAAGACUUGAAGGAGAAAAUAAAUAAAUAACACCCUACACUUAAUUGUUUGAAAUUUGGGAGGCAUCACCCACUCAGAAAUGGCUUCUAUACCUUCGAAUUCUAUCUAGUUCUGUCAAAAAAGUAAAAUAAAAGAAAGGAAAAGUUAUAGGCAUUUGCUUGCUUGCCAGUGUAACUGAAUGGGAAGACAUACAAAGGCUCUAAUUUUCUAAGUUUAUAUGUCAAAAGCCUUACUGAAAUCAAGAUAUAGUAUGUUGGCAGCAUAAGUCCCUCCCAUUCCACAUAUUGGGUUUAAUUGUUCUCUGUCAUAAAAUAAAGGAUGAAAUUUCAGUGGCAGUAACAGGGAUAUUGAUGGUGCUAGAUUUUUCAUUCUUCUUUUGCAAUAAAGAGUAAUUUAAAAUAUUACAGCAAUACAAAACUGAAAUAACAAGCCCCACAACUCCAGUAUUUCUCUUUGACAAGUAAAGCUACUGCAUGAGAUUUGUAUUUGUUAAAUAUAAUUAAUCAUAUAGCCUACCUAGAGGGAGCCUGUUCAUGUAGCACAGAUUCUACAUACAGAGGUCCUUGACUAUUAUUUAUCAGAUAUGACAUUUGUAUUCAAAUAUGUGGGUUAUAAUAAUUGAAGCCAUCAGCAACAACUGUGAAAUACUGGACAACACAGGGACUUCUAGUACUCCAUGCAUAAAGCAAAUAUGUAUUGUCCUUCCUUAAUGGGGCUUAAUCAUGAACCAUACUUUUAGUUGCAGCUUUCUGUAUCACUGUGCGAUGCUUAUUGUUAUAUAUUUGCUUCUUCUUUUUUUUAGGUUCUGCACAAUGGGCUUGUCAUGGAGAUGGAUCAUCCAACAGUAGGGAAGAUAGCUGUUCCAGGUAGGCAUAUUUCCUUCAUUUUUUGUUUUCUUGAUGGAAGCCAGCUCCUGAGACUAUUGACCUGAAGCAGGAUUAUAUCUGAGCUAAGGCUGGGCAAUAUAUUGACAUAUCAUCCCAAACCGGUUAGAAGUCCAUAUGAUGAUAUUUGUUUCAUAAUUUUUGACCUGGCAAUAUAUUGUGAAUCAUAUAUUGUGUGUGUGUGUGCUCAUGCUAUGCCAAAAUCACGAUGUGUGAAAAACCUUGAAGCCAGCCAAUGCCUCUACAAAGCUCCAUCCUUAUUUCAGACAUUGUGAUAUAUAGGUAUAUCACGAUGUUUAGCUGGCAAUAUAUCGCAGUGUUGAAAACCAGAUAUUGCCCAGCCCUAAUCUGGGCUGCUUUAAGGGAGCGACAGUUUUCAAAGCUUGAUUGUUCUUUUUAACUCUCAGUGCUUCAUGCACAUGAUACCAAACACUGAAUUAAAUUAUGACACUAAAAGGAACCCUGUUUCACAUCCCAAAUAUGAGUUGCUCCUGUACCAUAGGAGGGAUGAGGUGGUUGUGAGAUCAGCAGAGUGUGAAUCCACCAGUGAAGCCAAUCUGGUCUCCUGCUGGUGUGUUUGAACCGUGCCAGCCUCCCUGCUGUCUCAUUGCUGACUCUCCUGCAAAACAGCAGUGGCUCACCUGUUGGGAGGUCAGGUAAAUGCCUCCACUCCAUCCGCUUCUAAACACCUUCCGAUUUCUUGGUUGGGUCUUGUAUGUCUGAGUAUUUCUUCUGGCUGAAUGGGCAUUAGAUUGUCAUAAGACCACCAGUGAAUUGCAUAUGUUCUGCAAUAUCAAUUAAGAUCUGUUACUUUCCUUGUUAGAUUCUCAAGAAGGCAAGCAUGCAUAAGCUGUUGCCUAGGGUGGUGUGUGUUCCAGCCUAGAUCAUUUCCUAAGGACCAGGGUCCAGAUGUUUCUGAAUGAUGCUAGAGUUAUGAAAGGUUGUUCCAUUUUUGUGGUUACAGUCUCCAGCUCUGUUUCUCCUUUGCGCAAAUGUUGUCCUAACUUGAUGCAUACAUGGACCAUGUUGCCUGACAUAAACUGGGCCUUUAUUGGGCAAAAUAAUUGGCAUUGUGCCUCAAAGGUAGUGCAUAUUCUAGAACUCUUCCAAAAAAUCUAUCUUCCCCAGGAAAUAGGCCACUGUACCUGAAACCUUCAGAAAACCAUUAAAGGCAGCCCAACAGAUGUGGCACUUUGUGUCUCGGCUGUCUUUCCUCUCAUCCUGUGACCAAGUCUCUCUGAUUCCCAGGGAAAGGCAAGGCAAGGAGGUUUGACUUUUGCUUUAUGAAAAGGCUCCCUUGAACAAAGUAUGGGGACCCCUGUCUUGAAAAAAUUCUUAGCGUAAGUUUGAUGAAAUGUUUGUGCUUUGUUUUUAUGAAUGUUUCUGUUAAACCAUCUAUGAAUGGCAAUCCUCAAACCACUUAUUCCACAGUAGUCCCUUUGAAGUUAAUUGCUUACCCUGGAGUCAGUUGGGCUAAUCUGGAAAAAAAGCAGUGUAUAUGUGCACAUCUGUGUUUGCUUUAGGUUUACCUUGAGCCGUACAUAAAUUGUGAACUUAUGUGUUUGAAAGAAAUGGAAAAAUAUGGCUGAACAACAGAAGGAUGGUAUUUUUCCUAGUGAUAUGAAGAAAGGGGGGGUCUCAAAAAUAAGGUGGGACUUUUUCUUGUUAUGUUGGUACUGUCACUUCUCAAGUUAAAAGUAAGCAUGUUGUGUGGAGCUGGAAUGAGAAAGGAUCUCUGAGAUAAAUAAUGUUUCCUUUCUUCAAAUAGUUUUAGUCUCAUAAUCAAGAUGUGCUCAACCAGGUGAAGCAUAUUGAGGGCAUACAGGAAGGAAAGAGAGAGGGAGAAGGCCAGCCUCAAAAUGGGGUUCUGCCAAGAGAGAUUAAAAAUCAAAUGUUUGCCUUUUAAUCCACUGAGGGAGGCAGCACUCUGUGGUUGUGCUUCAGUGGAAAUGUAAUUAAUCAAAAAUAUGAUUUUAAUUGGCUAACAUCCAGGUUAGAUUACUGCAGUGUAGGAUACAUGGGGCUGCCUUUGAAGAUUAACUAAAAACUUAAAUAAUUUCAGAAUGCAGCAAUCAGACUAUUGACCAUAAUUGCUUUUUGUUGCUAUAAUAUAUUGGCUUCCUGUGUGUUUCCAGACAUUACUCAAGCUGCUGAGUUUAACUAAUAAAGUCUUCUCCAGUUGGGGACCAGGGUUUCAGAGGGAGCACCUACUUCAUGAUGACCAUACCUGUUUAUUAAGGGCAAGUUCCCUCCAAGAACCGGGUCAGCAGGGAGUGGCUGAGGAGUGGGUUUGUCCUGUCCCUGGAUUCGGUUGCCUGCUGCCCCCUUUGCAGCGUCAAAGCCAUUGUAUCUGUCUGGUUUAAUGAACAACAUUUCCCAUGUAGUUAUUGACUGUAGGCUUGAUGCUGUGAUCCUUUGUGCACUUACUUGGGAGUAAGCCCCUUUGAGCUCUGUGGGAGUUGCUACCAGGUAGAAAUGUGCCAGAUUGUGCUGUAAUCCACUUAUGACAACAAAUAAGGGGAUUUGAACAUUUCUACCAACAAUUUUUAAAGUUGCCAUUUUGACUUGUGAAGAAGCAAACUAGAACCUGAAAUUCAAUUCUUUUAGAAGAAAAUAUUGGGAAGAAAUACCUUGCAGAUGGCAACAGGAAAAGUACAUAAACUUUUCAUGUUGUGUGCAGCCCACAAUCUAUCUUUUGGAAAGAAAAUACUCCUCAAGGGACAAGGUUAAACUGCAAGGAGAGGGAAGGGAUGAAAAGGAAUGUUCUAAUGGCUGUCAACAGAGGUAGGAAGAACAGGCAGAAAUGUGAGUUUUCGCAUAGGUAAACGACAGUACUACCCAAACCUUAGCUAACUUAAACUUGAUUAAAACUCAAAACCCGUGACAGUGCAUUGAAAUUAAAAUAAAUCAUCUUAUCCUCUGAUAAUUUCCCAUUUAGAGGAGCCUCUGUAAAUGGCUCCUUGCAUUGAAGCAGAUCGCUAAAUGGUACUUUUAGACAGUUGUACUGGAGAAGCACCAGUGUUUUCUUUUGUAACUCGGGGUAAAUAUGCCUGAAUAUAAUGCACUAGUAUAGCCAUGUCCUGAUGGUAUAAAGUACAGAAAUAGUUCACUUAGUGUUAUCAGCAACCCUUUAAGAGAAUUUUCCAUUUACACAUUCCUGUGCCAUAUGAUGAAGCCCAUGUCUACAAACUUACUGGCAGCCGCCAAAUCCAGAGUGACUGAUACUUUGCAUGUGCUUCCUUUGCCAACCUACAAUGCUAAAUCUGGAUCUAAACUCCAUAAUGCUAUGCAUAGGAAGCUGACUUGCUCUCCAAACUUGCUUCAUUUCAGAUGGUGCUUUUGGGGGAGCCAGAAAAUGGGUUGUAACAAAUUUUCCAGACAGCUGGAAAAGGAACUACCUUUUCUCUAUGGAAUUAUGUUGUUCUGUUGCCAUUAGCAUAGCAUAAAGGCAGUGUUCCCCCUAGAUCAGGAAUAGGGAGUAUUUUUACUCAGCACGUGUUUCGUAAUCCCAGUGAUGGGACUGAACAGGAAGAGUAGUUUUUCGCAGAGAUAUUCCAGAGUGUCAGGGCAGGAGGUGUUUAUGUCCUGGGCAGCAAAAGAGCCUCACUGGCUCAUCAUCUCAUGUCCAGCUGCCAUUUUGAGAUAAGGAUGGUGCUGAAGGAAGGCUCACAUUUAGCAGGAUUUUUCCUGUCUAGGCUCGUUAUUUGCCUGUUUCUAUCAGAAUGCGGGGACACAAGGAGGUUGAUAACAACCACAACUGGUUGAACUGCGCCAGAGAGAUCUAGGAGAUGAAGGAUGAGAGCAGCCAAGCAGCCACAGCAGUGGACCUCGUAAAACUCAGAUAUUCAAAUGGAGUCUGAAUUGUAGCAUCCCUUUUCUCUUGGGAUUUCUUACGUGACUUCUAUGAUUAUCUCUUCGUCCAACUGAACCUCUUCAGGGGGAGCAAGAGAAAUAAUUUCUACCUUCCUUCUAUUUGUUGGUGUUAGAAUACAAGACACUCUAACAUCCAGGCAAGACUGUUCAGCAGCCCCCAACACACAUUAAUUGCAUUCAUUUGCAUUUAUACCUGUCAGUCAUUUUGCCCCACCUGUCUACAUCUUUGUAUCUACAGCAUCUGACCAUCACCGCCAGGAGUAGCCCACACUCUGCUCUCCAGAGGUUGUUGGACUACAACUCCUGCCCUCCCUCACCAUUGGCCAUGCUGGUGCUCCUGCUCGGAGUUUGAAAUCCAACAUCUGCAGGGCACCGUGUUGGCCACUCUUGGCCUACACAGACACACACACACAGAGAGAGAGAGAGAGAGAGAGAGAGAGAGAGAGAUGGUGAUAAUAUUGAUACACUUUGUAGGAUUUCAUGAGACAUCUAGCCAUGAAGAUUCAUUAACAUUGCAUUUCAGUGAUGGCCAGCAGUGGCUCGUGUUGUUCUUAGCAGUCACAUUAAACUCCAGAAAGAGAAAAUAGACUGGGAAAUGGUGGUCAGGCUUUUAUUGGAUAGACUGUAAUGGAUAUACACAAUAAAACAUAAUGUUAGCUAUAGGCCUCUUUUAUCAGGCUGUUAGCAAAUGCGGUGGGGGGCAGAGUGAAGGGGGGGGAGAACUAGAUAUAUGGAGGACGACUAGAUAUAUGGACAGAGACAAAUGUUGCUUGAAAAAUGUUGCCUUCCAUUGAGGGAUUUUGCAGGAAAUUAAGGAACUCUGCACUACAUGACAUUGUUUCCUGCAGCUAGGAGAUCUCACACAAUAGGAACAACAACAACAGAAUUUGCGGGUUCGGAGGGGGGAUAUAUUCCUUUCCAUUUGCAGGGAGCACCUCUGCCUGAACUUCUGAUCCUGUCUGCUUCUCAUCACACAUUCCUUUUUUUGUGCAUAGCUGAUGUUGCUUGAGAAAUUUUAAUUUCGCUUCACUAUUUAUGGCACAUUGGAGACAAACAGCCUCACCAGCAUUACCAUUACUUCAUUCGUCUUUUUUAGUCAUCAGUGCUGACUGCUUAUGUCUUUUACAUUCACAGGGCUGAUUUCAAUUUUAAGGAAUUCGGUGCCUUUUCAGGAACUCCACAGAAAUGAUGCAUGUCAACUCAUUUGGCAGAGCUCUCAAAGCUGGGAGUGAGGGGGGGGGUCGGGAGAGAAACUUUAAUAAAUAUGUAAUAAGGUGACUGACAGUGAUUAGUGAUCAUAGAUCCCAAAAAGAGAGGAGAAGGGAGAAAGGAAGACAAAGGCUAAAUUGCUGAAAGGUUUUGUUUUUAAUUUGCUGCUUUCUAUUUUUUGUGGGUGGCAAUUUUAAGCGUGGCUUCUGUCUUUUGCAAAUAAUUUUUUAAUAGCUGCUUAUAGCUGCACUGUGGGUUAAACCACAGAGCCUAGGACUUGCCAAUCAGAAGGUUGGCAGUUCGAAUCCCCGCGACAGGGUGAGCUCCCAUUGCUCAGUCCCUGCUCCUGCCAACCUAGCAGUUCGAAAGCACUGUCAAAGUGCAAGUAGAUAAAUAGGUACUGCUCUGGCGGGAAGGUAAACAGCGUUUCCGUGCGCUGCUCUGGUUCUCCAGAAGCGGCUUAGUCCUGCUGGCCACAUGACCCGGAAGCUGUACGCCUGCUCCCUCGGCCAAUAAAGCAAGAUGAGUGCCGCAACCCCAGAGUCGGUCACGACUGGACCUAAUGGUCAGGGGUCCCUUUACUUUUAUAGCUGCUUUAUAUAACUAAAAGAGUCAUUGGGGACUCUUUUAGUUGAGAAUUAGAAUAAAAGAGUAAAAGAGGAGCAAACCUUUUUGAACUUGUAAUAUUGUAAAUUGGACCAUGGCAGGAUCUUUUUCUUUCACAAAAACGUGCAAUCAGUACCAGAAUUCCCUGGAAAUGGUACCAGUUCAGAUCCAAUUCUAAACCAUGGCAGGUGUGAAAAGGAGAUAGGAAGCAUCCACUUCCUGUUUUUAACCACCCAUGGUUUAUCAUUAUAUCCAGAAACAUCAGCGUCAACAGCAUAGACCAUAUCUUUAACUGGGCGUGGGAGAGAGGGCUGGGCUCAACCUCCCAAGAAGGUGAUCAGGACUAUUGCAACUAGCCAUUUGUGUGAGAUUUCCCGUUGAGGGCUGGGAACUGUUCAUUCUCUCUAGCGCUGCAUGCUUCUACCAUGCACAGCAGCUAUUUUGGUACAGGAUUUCUGACCCAAUAAGGAAAUGCACACGUAGGAGCCAGCUUCCAUGAGGCUGCUGCUUUCUGUGGUUUGGGAGCGAGGGAAGGAAAUUCUCAGAAUGCUCCUCACACAAAUUCAAUUUAAUUCAAAUGGGACUAGCAGGCGACAAGACUUCAGUGGAAUGUGGACUCUGAUUCCUUAGAUUUAUGAAAUUAUUAUUAUUUUACUUCUUGUCUUACUUACAAAUUGCGUUGAGUCACAACAAGGCUUACCAGACGCUUUAAAACUUUCUUGUGUUGAUCAUACUAAUAGAAAGUUGCUGCUGUUUAGUCACAUGGCAGUGUUGGGAUUCAGUCCCUCAAACAACACAGAAAGUCUAGUCUCUCCUAGGGGGGUUAGAAAAGAAAUGCAAUUGGGGUGUGCUUUCUCUUCCAGUCUGUGUCUCUAGUGUGUGUUCCUUCAUUUCUCCCAAGGGAAAAAUUAGUGUGCUUUAGGUUGCAAUCCUGUACCAAUUCACCCAGGAAUAAGUCAGUGGGAUGGACUUCUGAGUAGACAUUAUAGGUUUUCAUUGACAGAUGCAGAGACAGUUCACACAUCUCUGUGCUGGAAGGUAUGUGGGCUCAGGUUAGAGUUUUCUAAACAGGCAUGGGAAACACUUGGUAAAUUUCUCAGGUACUUCCAGAAAAGAACUUAUUGUAGAGUCAGUGCUGGUCAUGCACACAAGUGUCCACAUGAUGUUGUCUGCAAAAUACCCUCCUUAUUUCCUCUUGCCAAAGUAAAUCUGAUGAAUAAAAAUCCCCCAUUAGAUACCUGCUGUCAAUGUUAAAUGUGAAAGCUCAUUAGCACCCUAUUUUGGGGCAGUUUGUUGUAAGUGUGUGACAUUUUGGUGUGGUGGCCUCUAAAGCCACACCAUACUUCUGUUUGCUCCUCACCUGAGCACAACUAGCCAUGUUAUUAACUGCAGCCCAAGUGACAUGGAUGUGCCUUUUCCCACCAAUUGCCACAUUCAACCCAGUGAGGAAGAGCUGUUUUCUCAAGAAGAUCCACACAGUACAUAUCAGGAAUUACCAUGGGGACUAGUUGCAGUGCAUACAUUAAUUCUAGAUUCAGGUAGGUAGCCGUGUUGGUCUGACGCAGUCGAAAUAAAAAAAUAAAAAAAAUUGUCCAGUAGCACCUUAGAGACAAACUAAGUUUGUUCUGGGCAUAAGCUUCCGUGUGCAUGCACACAAAAGCUUAUACCCAGAACAAACCUAAGAUAAAGGGACCCCUGACCGUUAGGUCCAGUCGCAGACUACUCUGGGGUUGUGCUUUACUGGCCAAGGGAGUACAUCUUGCUUUACUGGCCAAGGGAGCCGGCGUUUGUCCGCAGACAGCUUCCAGGUCAUGUGGCCAGCAUGACUAAGCUGCUUCUGGCGAACCAGAGCAGCACACGGAAACACCAUUUACCUUCCCGUUGGAGUGGUACCUAUUUAUCUACUUGCACUUGACGUGCUUACGAACUGCUAGGUUGUCAGGAGCAGGGACACUUAGUUGGUCUCUAAGGUGCUACUGGACAAUUUUUUUAUUUAUUUCAACUGCAUACAUCAUGUUCAUUUUAAAGAGAGAGAGAGGGGGAGAGAGAGAGAGAGAGGCCUUCUGCAAGUCCUCUUUAUCAUCAUUGGGCAGGCCUUAGAUGGAUAAAUAUGACUUUCCUGCAAGACCACAGUAUUAAUGGUAUUAUGGGUAUGCAUACAUUUGUUUCUAGAGCUAAAGCUCAACUGAAGGGAUGUUUUCUUACUAAUUUCUGCAAACAGUAUAAAUUGUAUGUGUUCCUCUGUGUGUGUCUGUGUAUACAUAUGCACAUGCAUGCGCGCGCACACACAUGCACACAAACACGCAGAGUAAUUCACCUUUAGACAUUACUUUAUCUGAAAAAGCAAAUUCCUUCAACUCUUGAAUGGUAACAUUUAUUUUUCUCCAUCAAACAUGUGUUUCUGUCUGUUUUUGUUUUAACUGUAUGGUUUAGAUUCUACUAUCAACAUUUCCUGGGGUGCCAAUUAGCAAAGAAGAGCUGUUUUUACUUCAUUGUGUUUUAAAUCUUAAUAAAACCAAGGAAGCUGAGUUUGUUUGACAGAUCUUCCUGCUGAGAAAUAUGCCCACCAAAGAUGACAUGUUCAAUGGGAAUGUUUAUUCAUAGGAAUCCAAUUAUUUCAGGAGUAAACAUUUUUAAUAGGCCUGCACCUUUAUCCCAAACAUUUGUACUGGUGUUGCUGUCUGCAGUGUUAAUCACUGACAUUGUGUAAUCCUGUUGAGUUUUAUUGUUAUCAUGUGUUUUUUCAACCAUGUAUAUGUGGUGCAGUCCAGUCCAGCUAUCCUGUGCAUAAACAAACAAAAGAAGAGCAAUCCUUGUUUUAUCACGAUUGCCUGCCACCCUGACAUAUUAUCCCACAUGAUGCUCUGACAUCAUCAGCCACUGUACCUCAUCCUAGAUCUUAAUUUGGGCUGUUUCUGUGUUCCUGAAGUUUCACCAAGCGCUUUCCUCUUCUUCCUUGUGACAAACUCAGCCAGGUGCUUAGCUGAUCCUCAGUGGGCUGUUGUAAAACAUGCAUGCGGGCCUCGUGUGCAUUGUAAAAUAACCAAAUUACUUCAACACACAUACAUUUCAAGUAUCGUUAUGAUCUUUCAUAAUUAGUGAGUAGGAAAAAUGUUUUCCACUGCCUGCAGUGAAGCUCCAUACCAUUAAAAUAAGAACAUGUUUUCAAUAUUUAGAUAAUUUCACUUAAGUGUUAAAGGCACUGGAGGUUGACUAGAUGCAUUCUUUCAUGCACUCCCCACAUAUUUCUUCCAAAUGGAGACCAGCACAAACCCGUCCCCUAAGAACAGAAACGAGGCAUGGAAAUUUACAGUUCACGGAUCUUCGUGCAUUUGCAAAAUGUUGCACAGGCUUUUAUUUUGAUUCCCACCCUUUCCCCCCUUUAUUCACAUUAAAAGCUGGACUUUUAAAAUAAGUGUAAGAACUCAAAUAUAGUCAGAGCCUGUUCCAUUCAUUGCUUUUAAAUUAAUAUGGAACACAAAUUGUGCAAUCUGACCAGACCAGACCAGACCCACCCACCUCCAAAACCCAAUGUCAGCAACAACAUGUUGUCAGAAUCCCAUCCAUCUCAGAUUCGAGGGAGACCUCUGAAGAAAAGGCAUGGAAUUAUGUGUAGUACAGCUGGGGGACCUGGAAAACUCCACAAAACUCCCAGAAGUGCCUUGGCUCAGGAAACCCCUCCCAAUGACUCAUCCAACUACAGCCCAAGCCCGGCCUUGAUCCCCAGUUCUUCUUCUUCAUCACCCAAACCUCAAAAGCGAAGGUUACAACAGACUUGGUGGAAAGACCAGGUUCAACUCAUGUGCACUGGAGGAGGGAGAAGACUCAGCUGUGAAGAGUGACCCAUCAGAUGGCCAGAAAGUGGAGGAGCUGAUAGGAUAUGCACCUCUCAGAUGCUUCUGGACCCUUUUUGCUACUUUAACAGCGCCUCACUGUGCUCCUUAGUGUCCAGAUCACUUUCUCACCUCCAGAAAUCCCCUGCUCAGCUCCCGUUCUCACUCCAGUACCAGUGCUAACACCUUUACUAGGUCCUGGCUUUCAGGACAGACAACCAAACAAAAUGAGUCUCAUCCAAAACUGCAUUUCUUGCUGACUCACUUGCUAUGUGAUGAAAAUAUUUGUCAUUUAUAUAGCAAUCUUUGAUUGCUUUAACCUUCUUUGUACACUUUAACACUUACAAAAUAGGUCAGUGUUGUUUUCCCUUUAGUGGUGGGGGAUGGGCUGAAGUGGGAAGAAUAGUGACUUGCCUCAAGUCCAGGCAUAGGCAAACUCGGCCCUCCAGAUGUUUUGGGACUACAACUCCCCUCGCCCCUAGCUAACAGGACCAGUGGUCAGGGAUGAUGGGAGUUGUAGUCCCAAAACAUAUGGGGGGCCAAGAUUGCCUAUGCCUGCUUAAGUCCCAUUGUGAGUCCAUGACUGUGGUGAGUUUUGAAGGGGGAAUUCUCUGGUUCACACACUUAGCAGCAAGAGUGCAUCAGCUGAUGUCAAGCUGCAUGCAAGGGAAACACUGGCUCAGUAUGGACAUAUACUUGGAGAUGGUUUAGUGCUGUUUGAAUAAGCCUGCCUGGACCUCAAGCUCAAGUACUCCUCCCUCCAUUCUUGUCCUCUGCUCUGUUUCAUCUCUUUGCAGAAGCCGAUUGUCAUUUGAAAAAGAGAAAAAGCGAGCAAACCUAUAAUUGGAGGGAUGGGGAACUAUCUGAGGCAGUAGGUCUUUAAAUACCAGUUGCUGGGAAGAACAAGUAAGGAGAGUGCUGUUGCACUCAGGUCCUCUGAUGGACUUCCCCUGGGCAUCUGGUUGGUCACCAUGGAAAUAGGAUGCUGGACCAGAUGACCGUUGACCUUGUCUAGCUUGGCUCUUACUACAUGAGGGCCACACCUGUAGAUCCAAAUCAGAUCACAGCAUCUGAUUCUGACCAUGACCCUGGAGGAACAUGACCCUCUUGGGAGAGGCCAUGUGGGGCCAGUCUCAGAGCUCUGACUUAGUAGUGGUGCUACUGGCUCUGACUUAACUAUCCUUGAGGAAUUUUAUCUUCAUGCAUUCUGAAAUGAGUCCCCCUGAUACAAACCUCCCAGGCUAAUGUGUGGAUUGGAAGUUUCAUACUCCCUGAAUGUUCUGGUGCAGUUCUGGCAACAUAUUAUGACACAUAUAAAAAUGUGUAUUUUGAGAGAAAGUCAUUAAAAAUACAUAUUUAAAUGGAAAUUCUUCUGCAAGAGUUCACUUUCCUGAAAAUCAAUAAUAGCAGAUUAGUGCAGCAGUGGGGUGAAACAAGCUAGCAAUUGAAUACAUGCAGCAGUAAUAGACUGAUGCAUCAGUCCAAACUCUGACUUAUAUUCAUGGGAUAAAUAAAUGUAUCUGUUUUUAUUGACAGGGGCCCUAGUGGAAUUUUGUAGCCAUUCUGUGUUAAGAAGUUGCACAUAUUAGAUAACCUGCCCACCCCCACCAUGGUCACAUUUGGACUCAGUAAGUUUGCAAAAGGAGGGAUUCUGGCCAGCAUUCAAGAUUCUGUGUUUGUGGCCACUGUGGGGAACAUAGAAGGUAAGGAUGAGGCAUAGGAUUUAAUAGUGGUAAUAUAUUUACUUUUGCUACUUUCCUAGCUUGCUAGUCAAAGUUUAGUGGUGUAAUUCCUGAAAGAGAAUUUUUACUUCCUGGCUUUCAUUUGCUCCACAAAUCAAAGUCCCCAUAAACUCUGCUGUAGGAUCUAUUCAUUCCCUGUUUUUAUACCUGCAAAUGUUUUUAGUUUAGCAGGCAACUCUUGGAUGCCCCUUUUCCUUAGGAUUCUCUGACAGCGAUCAUUCAAGUUAUUGGCUUUGUCUUUGCCCCUCCAUUUCUACUGGGUCUACUAGGAUUUUAGAGAUCAAGGACCUGCUAGAUAAAGAAUGGUUCUGGUCUGCAGCGUAAGCAGUGUGCUUGGCAAUUAAGAACGGAGUAAUGUCUAUUUUGUAUUGAAAUGCUGUUUUAAAUUAACCAAUCACACAAUCGCAGGCAGGCAGUUAUAUUUAAUACCACAGUUAUUUCUGGGUAGACAGAUAUAAUUUGUGUACUAUUCAAACAGCCUUUGAAAGACUUAUGAGUUUUGAUUAUGUGCUGGCUUAUCCUCCAAGCUCAGAUUUCCAAUCUUUUCUAAAUACAGCAACUGUGAAAUGUAAUGACUGAGGCAUGUUGGCAUAAAACACAGAUUUGUCCUAAACUUCCUGAUAUAAUGGAUAUAGCCUGCUUGCCAGCUGUGUUCUCCCACUUUGUAACGUUUAGCUUGAAUAAAAAAAUAAAUUAUAAAAAAUACUAAUUUGGAGCAGGCACUAGCUAUAUAUUGAUAUAAUCAGUGCAAUGUUGUUGUUUAGUCGUGUCUGACUCUUCGUGACCCCCUGGACCAGAGCAUGCCAGGCACUUCUGUCUUCCACUGCCUCUCACAGUUUGGUCAAACUCAUGCUGGUAGCUUUGAGAACACUAUCCAACCAUCUAGUCCUCUGUCAUCCCCUUCUCCUUGCGCCCCCUUCUCCAUCUUUCCCAACAUCAGGGUCUUUUCCAGGGAGUCUUCUCUUCUCAUGAGGUGGCCAAAGUAUUGGGGCCUCAGCUUCACAAUUUGUCCUUCCAGUGAGCACUCAGGGCUGAUUUCCUUAAGAAUGGAUAGGUUUGUUCUUCUUGCAGUCCAUGGGACUCUCAAGAGUCUCCUCCUGCACCAAGUUAGUGCAAUAACAAGGUGCAAUAACUAAGGUUCUUUCCAGGCCCCUUUCACUUCACUGUUGCACAGUAACAGUGCAAUUGAGCCAAGUUCUUUUGAGAUAGUUAAGAACAUGUUAAAUAUCUCAUUGACAUCAGUGGGAUUUAUAUGUGCUUAGCUUUGGUUAGACUGUGCUAUGAAUGUGCAGCUAUGACUCUUCUGCAAGGAUUCAAAGAUCUUCCCUUAAGGUUAAACUUGCACUUUCCUAGCAUUCACACUACAGAUUUUUUUUGUGUUGAAAUGUUGACCCUUCCCUGUUUAGUGCAGUUGGUACAGAUGUGAUGUGCAGAGAAAUGCAGUCGCUCAGUUAUCAGGGUGCAAGGGGGAGACCCUAAUGUUUGUAAAUAUUUAGGGAAAACCCCUAUUGGGAUGGAGGGAACACCACAAAUAACCCAAUGAAAUCCGAGUGUGCUUAAUGUCCACAGAAUGCUGACUGGCUGUAGUGGGCUGAGUGUGGAGGAACAGAAAACCAGGGAGUAGAUGAAUGGAAUGGAGUCUCUGCAACAGGGAGCUGAGCUGGCUGAUAAGAUUUUGCCUCUGUCUCCAAGAUGCACUGUUAGAUGCUGCAUACAGACCUAGCCUACUCUCUCCCACUUGCUUGCCCAGUCCCGUCUCUCUGUACCCAAAACGUGUGAAUGGCUGCGCCUGCCCUGCUCUUCGAAAGGUGGGUUAACUCUAUCUAGCUGUGCACCUUGGAGCUGUGCUAUGAACUUCUGAACUGUGGAAUCUGUUACCUGAUCUAAGCUACUUAGUGAUUUUUGGACUAAAGCCUCCAGGAAUAAUUGAGCUGAGAAUUUGAGUCCAGGUGAUUUGAUUGAAAUCAAGUGAUACAGACAGCACUCUGAGAAGCAAAGAGCCACAGAGCACCCCCUCUGAUUUUGUUAAAAAGUAGACAUGUUGGGUGACUGCUGCAGACAGGGUACAGUCAUUUGGGUUUCCCAGGCUGUGGAUCCGCGGACCUGCGACUCCUCACCUGACCCCAGCAGCUCACUCUUGGUUGUGACCCUUUAAAAAUGUGGAAAAACAUUUUGGAGACUGAGCCUACCCAAAGCAAUAUAAAGUGAAACUGAUAAGUGGCGUCUGUGGACUUUGCUUGAAACUUUAACUGGUUCUCACAUGCAUCAAACCUGGCUUGAUUUCUUUGUUUGAUUAUGAUACACUUGAUGAUAAGCAGUUGAGUGUGUGAUGUUACCAUUGAAGAACAUAGCAAAAUCUGAGGUGAAAUUCACAUUUUAUCUGUGGUAGUAUACUGUGACGGUCAGUUUAUUUGCGUUAGGGAUGAAUAGAUUUUCCUUGUUCUCUGUCUUUGUUAUUCAGUGGGUGUGCUCUGCCUUCUAUGCCUUCUAACUAAACUCUGGUUUAACUAGGGUGAUGUCUAAAAUUAAUUCUGGAACUGAAGCAUGUAUAAUUUGCCAAAAUGUUCCACCCUCCAGUGUUAACAAUGAACAUAAAAAAAUGAGUUCCAUUUUGUUGAUAAUGCAUUGUAGAAUACCGUACAAAAAGUAUCUUAAUCCUUGGGAGAACAGAGGGGAGCCGCAGCCCCGGGACUUUUUUCAGAGCAGGAGUGAUGAUGCCGUUUGCCAGAACACUAGUGGAAUUAAUGGAACCGCCUUCCUCUGGUAAGUAAACCAGGUGGUGAGGAGGCAUUUAAGUUUGUUUGUGACUGAUUAGCCUAGAGAAAACUGGUGAAUGAGGAAAAUAGCAAGUUGGAGGCUUGCUACUUUACUUCCUUUUCUUUAGCAAAAUGAGCUGUUUAAAUGCUGACACUUCUUCAUAGGACUGUUUGCAUUUCAGCUGGCCAAAGAUCUUUUGUUAAAGUUCAGUGUGUUUUACGAGUUGAACCUAUGCAGUCAGAAGGACAAACAACAAAGUUUAAUGGAAUUUACUCAAGAAGCUCUGUACAGGAUUAUGGUCAUGCUGAUCCUAAUAAACUGGGUAUGAUGCUAAGUAUUGCAGCACUUUGGGGGGGUAGUUUAUAAUAGUGGAUCAAUACAGCUGCCUAUGUUUUUGGACUCUCCUUGGGGACAUGGAGAAGGGGGUCGUGAUGAGCUUCUGCAUUUCAACAUUUGCCACAACUGUAAAUGUCACAUCACAUCAAUAUGGCUUUUUUCCUGAUUCUUUUUUUAAAAAAUCAGUAGAGAUAUACUACACACCAGUAAUGAGUGGGGAAUUUUCUUCAGAAUAAACUGAAGAAUACAAAAGUCAAAAGUUGCUGCAGUGACCUGUAAUCAACAGCACCCUAUAGAAAAUUCAGAAAAAAAUAAAAAAUAAAACAGAGGAUUCCUACUACAUUGGUUCCACUUAAAAAACAAGACCAAUCAACUUGGAACGCCAAAAUCUUUUUUGGAAGUACAAGUGGAGCCAACAACAAAAUUUUGCAGUGUAGAAUGCACCCUGUUCAGGAUUCCAGUCCCUUCCCCUGAGUUUCCCCUUCCAAACUUCUGCAAAACUUGGGGCUUCCUCAAGGCUUCUGAUGCCUGCAUGGGUGGUGCAGUUUUGACUACAAAAGCAAUGGCGCUUUUAGCUCGAACUUUAGAAAUAGAAGAAAUGAUGUAAAUUAACAGAUUUAUGCGCUCUAAUGGACUCGUUUAGAAUAUAUAGCAGGUAGAAUGCAUUUUCCUUUCUUUGUGCUCCCAAGGUUUAAAAAACUGUAGAUGAUUCCCACAAAUGCAGAUGGCAACAUUUAUAUUCCUGGGCAGCCCAUCUCCAUGUCGUUUUGUUUCCAGAAUUCAGCCUGCAACACCCUUCCACUGGACAAUCUGUUUGGCUCUCCAGGUGUCCCCACAUGCUGUUGAAAUGAAGGUAGUGUAGAUUCUCCAAUUGACAAUACCACAACCAAAUGGAGCAAACAGCAUGCAAACCUAGUGGUGGGAGGAAAAAAUCCUUAAAUAAGAGUCACGGGGGAAUGAUUAAUGGACUUCAAUGUCUGUACACUAAUGCGCAAAGCAUGGGAAAUAAACAAGAUGAGCUUGAGCUCUUGGGACAGCAAACUAAAUAUGACAUAAUAGGCAUCACUGAAACCUGGUGGGAUAAGUCCCACGAUUGGAAUGUAAUAAUGGAGGGAUACAAUCUAUUUCAGAGAAACAGACCAGACAAGAAAGGAGGAGUAGUGGCGUUAUAUGUCAGGGAUGUGUAUAUCUGUGAAGAGAUCCAAGAUUUAGAACCUCAAAGCCAAAGUGAGAGCAUUUGGGUCAAAAUUAAGGGAGAGAAGAAUAACAGUGACCUCAUUGUGGGAGUUUACUAUAGAUCCCCAAGCCAAACGGAGGACAUAGAUGAUGCCUUCCUGGAACAGAUGGCCAAGCAUGCAAAAGGAAGGGAGAUAGUAGUAAUGGGGACUUCAAUUACCCGGAUAUUUGUUGGAUGUCAAACUCAGCCAAGAGCAUAAGGUCAAACAGAUUUCUCACUGGCCUUGCAGACAACUUCAUUGUCCAGAAAGUGGGAGAAGCAACAAGAGGAACAGCCAUUUUAGAUCUGGUCCUAACCAAUGUUGAUGACCUGGUUAGUGGGGUAGAAGUGGGAGGAUCAUUAGGCACGAGUGAUCAUGCUCUUCUGAAGUUUACUAUACAGCGGAAAGGAGCAGCCAAGCAUACUAGGACUCAAUUUCUUGACUUUAAGAAAGCCGACUUCAUAAAACUUAGGGAAGUGCUGGGUGAGAUCCCAUGGACUGUAAUACUAAAAGGAAAGGGAGUUCAUGAUGGCUGGGAGUUUGUUAAGAGGGAGAUAGUCAAAGCACAACUUCAGGCAAUACCCAUGAGACGGAAACAUGGAAGGUGCCUAAAGAAGCCAGGGUGGCUAUCUAAAGAACUUUUAACUGAGUUAAGAUUAAAAAGGAUGUGUACAAAAAAUGGAAAAGGGGGGGAAACCACCAAAGAGGAAUUCAAACAAAUAGCCAGCACGUGUAGACACAAAGUCAGAAAAGCUAAAGCACAGAAGGAACUCAGGUUUGCUAGAGAGGUUAAAAGCAACAAAAAAGGCUUUUACGGGUAUGUUCGUAGCAAAAGGAAGAACAAAGAAACAGUGGGGUCACUCAGAGGAGAAGAUGGUGAAAUGCAAACAGGGGACACAGAAAGGGCCGAACUCCUCAAUGCCUUCUUUGCCUCAGUCUUCUCUGAUAAAGAAAACAAUGCCCGACCUGAAGAAUUUGGAGCAAAUGAUUCAGCAGAGGAAACACAGCCCAGAAUAACUAAGGAGAUAGUACAAGAAUACUUGGCUAGUCUAGAUGUAUUCAAGUCUCCAGGGCCAGAUGAACUGCAUCCAAGAGUAUUAAAAGAACUGGCAGAUGUGAUCUCAGAACCACUGGCAGUCAUCUUUGAGAAUUCCUGGAGAACAGGCGAAGUCCCGGCAGACUGGAGGAGGGCAAAUGUUGCCCCUAUUUUCAAAAAGGGGAAAAGAGAGGACCCAAAUAAUUACCGCCCAGUCAGUCUGACAUCAAUACCAGGGAAGAUUCUGGAGCAGAUCAUUAAGCAAACAGUCUGUGAGCACCUAGAAAGGAAUGCUGUGAUCACCAAUAGUCAGCAUGGAUUUCUGAAAAAUAAGUCAUGUCAGACUAACCUGAUCUCGUUUUUUGACAGAAUUACAAGCCUGGUAGAUGAAGGGAACGCAGUGGAUUUAGCCUACCUUGAUUUCAGCAAGGCAUUUGACAAGGUGCCCCAUGAUAUUCUUGUAAAGAAGCUGGUAAAAUGCGGUCUUGACUAUGCUACCACUCAGUGGAUUUGUAACUGGCUGAGUGACUAGUGGGGUGCCACAGGGUUCUGUCUUGGGCCCGGUCUUAUUCAACAUCUUUAUCAACGACUUGGAUGAUGGACUCAAGGGCAUCCUGAUCAAAUUUGCAGAUGACACCAAACUGGGAGGGGUGGCUAACACCCCAGAGGACAGGAUCACACUUCAAAACGACCUUGACAGAUUAGAGAACUGGGCAAAAACAAACAAGAUGAAUUUUAACAGGGAGAAAUGUAAAGUAUUGCACUUGGGCAAAAAAAUGAGAGGCACAAAUACAAGAUGGGUGAGACCUGGCUUGAGAGCAGUACAUGUGAAAAGGAUCUAGGAGUCUUGGUUGACCACAAACUUGACAUGAGCCAACAGUGUGACGCAGCAGCUAAAAAAGCCAAUGCAAUUCUGGGCUUCAUCAAUAGGAGUAUAGCAUCUAGAUCAAGGGAAGUAAUAGUGCCACUGUAUUCUGCUCUGGUCAGACCUCACCUGGAGUACUUUGUCCAGUUCUGGGCACCACAGUUCAAGAAGGACACUGACAAACUGGAACGUGUCCAGAGGAGGGCAACCAAAAUGGUCAAAGGCCUGGAAACGAUGCCUUAUGAGGAACGGCUAAGGGAGCUGGGCAUGUUUAGCCUGGAGAAGAGGAGGUUAAGGGGUGAUAUGAUAGCCAUGUUCAAAUAUAUAAAAGGAUGUCACAUAGAGGAGGGAGAAAGGUUGUUUUCUGCUGUUCCAGAGAAGCGGACACGGAGCAAUGGAUCCAAACUACAAGAAAGAAGAUUCCACCUAAACAUUAGGAAGAACUUCCUGACAGUAAGAGCUGGUCGACAGUGGAAUUUGCUGCCAAGGAGUGUGGUGGAGUCUCCUUCUUUGGAGGUCUUUAAGCAGAGGCUUGACAACCAUAUGUCAGGAGUGCUCUGAUGGUGUUUCCUGCUUGGCAGGGGGUUGGACUCGAUGGCCCUUGUGGUCUCUUCCAACUCUAUGAUUCUGUGAUUCUAACUGUGUGUUGACAAGCAAGGUGGGAUUCAUGAUGGAUCCCUUGAGGAAGAUUAGAGCAUAUCCUUUCACAGUAAUAUCUCAUAAGGUGGAUGGGGACUUUUCUGUUUAUCAGUGUUCAGCUCACAUACCUACAGGAUCGCUUUGGAAUGCACUCCCUGGUAUUAAAGGCAGAUUAUAUAUUUUUACUUUAUGCAUUUGGUACAUUAAGUACAAUGUAGGAGUAAUCUGAAUUUCACAGGACAUUUAUAGGGACCUAAAGUGGGAAUGUGAAAUAGAGACGCAUUUAGACUGUGCAAAGUAUGUCUGAAAAGGCAAUGACUGUAGACAGGAAAAGGGAACUGUGCAGACAAAUUAAAAAUGGUAUUAAAAGUGACAAUGGUCAACUGACCUUUUUAAUGUCUGCAUUUAAUUUGUGUAGCGGUUUGGCAUAUUCUUAGCUAAAACCAGCUAUCACAGAACAGAAAGUCUUACCCAUAUUAUUAUACUGGUUGAUUUAAAAAAAGAUGCCAGAACACAUAGGCAGAGCUGCACUGUUUUUUUGGAAGGAUGGAAAGUUUCUUGAAGCUGUCCUGUGGAUCCCUCCUAUAGCACUUUUAGAACUCUUGUAUUCCACUUGAUCUUUAUCAAUUUGGGAAGUGUGCUGGUUCUUACGGAUGCUGAAGGUAAGAAGGUGAAAUUAAAUGCAGCCUGGGAUAGGGACACUCCUGGCUCUUUCCAACAGGAAAAGGGAAUUGGCUUUGGACAAAACCAACUUCAUUUUCUUUAAGGGGUUAUAUUUGAGAAUUUACAAGUGGUGCACACCUUCAAGAAAGGAAUUUUGGCUAUUCCCAGUUGCCCAUAACUAAUAAUUGCCAUACUAUAACAGGAAGAUAAGCAUAUUUAGGUCCCAAGUGACUGUUUGCUCUGGUUCGCCAGAAGCGGCUUAGUCAUGCUGGCCACAUGACCCGGAAGCUGUACGCCGGCUCCCUCAGCCAAUAAAGCGAGAUGAGUGCCGCAACCCCAGAGUCGUUCACUGGCCAGGGGUCCCUUUACCUUUAAGUGUAGGAGAAGAGAUGAAGAGAGAAACCUGAGGCUGUCACAGAACCUAGAACAGGGGUGCAGAAGUUGUGGUCUUCCAGCUGUUUUUUGACUCCAGCUCCAAUCAGUCUCAGGCUGCAUGGCCUAUGGUCAGGGGUGCUUAGAGUUGUGGUCCAACAAUAUCUAGAUGACCACAGGUUCCUCAUUCCUGGCCUAAAACUAUCCUUAGGCAGAGAGGGAAUACCAUUGUGAGAGCUGAUAUUCCAACCUGAGCAUUCGGCCCCAAAUGCAAACAGAAAGACUAGCCUUGGCUGGGGCAAGGGUAGGGGGCAGGGAGCCAAGGUUCUUGGCCUUGACCUUCCUCAGAUCUUGUAGCCACAACCUCUGAGGCCUUUAGCUGAAUCUCCCCCUCCUCAAAUAACCUUUACUGUAUAGGUAACAAUUGAAUUUCAACUUUACUGGAUCGUCCCUUCUCCUUGAACUUUCUACCAUCUGUUGUAGAGUGAAUAUGGGAUGCUAGCUUGGUAGCCAAUUGCCUGCUACCCCACACAAGGACUAUUUCCCAUGUGGGAUUAUUUUCAGGAAAGAAUAUUGAACGUAUGGUUAUAUUUAAAAUACACCUCCCCUAGAAAUACAAAUGGGACAAAGCUACCUUUUCAUUAAAGACAUUUAAAAGUUUUACUCUAAAGAGAUCAGGCAGAUUCAUGGAAUAGAGCAAAACCAAGUCCACAUAAUAUGGCUGUGAGCUAAGAGUAAACCACACGUUGGUGCCAAGUAAGUGUUGGAAAUUAUUCUCCUCUGCUGACAGUACCCUCAUUACUGAUUGUGCAAAGUAAUUUAUCAGACAUUUCUUAAAAUAAACCAUUCGUUUAUGCUAAUAGGACUUGGCAGGGGGGAAAAAUUGGCAGGACUUGAAGUUCAUGGUGUUUUGGCUUUUGCAAACAAAAACUACAAUAGUUCUGAGCAUUUUGAGGAAACCGUUACCAGAGGCACGCAUGCAGUUGAGUAAAGCGACGACUAAUUGUGUAAUUUUGAAAUGGGAGGAUGGGAUAUAAUUCGUCUGAUAAGUUGACAUGAUAAAUCACUUGCCAGAAAGUUGGGAUGGAUUUCGUCUUUCUGCACUCUGCACUUAUUCAGCUUUAGCUAUGAAUAAUUCAACUCUUAACAUCUGCCCCAUGAUUCUUACCUAUUUUUUUUUGUAUCUAAUUUUGAAUAUCUCAUUGAACUUGGUUUCCUUUCAUGAGUCUCUCUCUCUCUCUCUCUCUCUCUCUCUCUCUCUCUCUCUCACACACACACACACACACACACACACACAGACUGCAUGCUUUGGACUUGAUUACGUCAACAUUUACACAUGAGAACGAACUUUCAGGGUGUUCAGUGGAAUCUUACAUGUUUCUCUUAUAGAAUAGUUCUAUGCAGAAUGACACUUACCAAAAUCAAUGUUUGUUUUGUCUGUUUUUAUCACUUCUAACCAAAUCUUUCCCACUAAAAAUGUAAUGGUUUUCCACAAAGAAAUCAUCUGAAAAUAAACCGGCAAAAAACCUGGACUUUGAAUAUACUGUCCUGUUUCUCCCCACCCUUGAGAGAAACUAAGUAUCUAAAAUAGACAGAUUUGUCCAUCCCUAGAAGGAGCCUAAGUUAAAACAAAUAGCUGCCUAUGGGUGGCCAGGUAGGUGAUGGAGCCUCCUAAGGGCUUGGGAUAUUGGUCACUCUCAGUGGAGACAGACCCUGAUGCCAGACCCCAAUGCCUAUGAAAGAUUAAUUAUAAAAUCCUUUAUGUGAAAAUCCCAGUGCGGUGCCAUUUCAGAAAAUCAUAUGCGGAGAGUCAUUCUUUGGAUCUGCUCUUGGAUGUCUUUAAGAUUUAAAUUGCUAAAAAGCAGCUUAUUUUAAGAUCACUUGUUGUGGUUACUUUUUAUAUAAAUAGCCAGAAAUAGAGGUAUGCUUGAAGAAGAACAACAUGUGGUUCCCUUCUCUCCCCCCUCCCACUUUUAUGGCACCUCUGAUGUAGUUUUUGAAAACAUUUCCCCCCCUCAGUAUAUUAAAAAAGAAUCCUAAUCUGUUUAUGAUUCUGUGUGGCAGUGGUUUGUUGUUGUUUUUUAGUAGUUCUCUCCUUCCUGCAAAGAAUGUUUUUGAAUGGCCUUGACAUCUAGAAAAUUACUGUUCUUCAUUUUCCUCCAGCUGUAAACAAUAUGAGUUUUUUAAAAAAACACCCUCUGUUAUUUACUGGUCAAAUAACAUUAGAAAUGAUGAGAGCUUUUAUAUAUAUAAAAAGAGAGAGUAGAGAAAAUUUAUUCUCAUUUGUUCCAGCUGUAACUUGACUGUUCACAAAUUAUGGAGUGAAUACUUAUAUAAAAGGCAGAAACCAAAUUGUGUGUGUGUGAUUGUGUGUAUUAAAAAACAGGUCUAAGAGCUGGAUCAUGUGUUCUGUUCUCAACAGCUAGCAGAGGGAAAGUUCCGGGAGUAUGGGUGCAUUCAGACACGGGGAAUAUUGUGUUAGUUUUCCUGAUUGCAAUGCUAGCGCCUCUGCUCCUUUCACACUGCAAUACCUAUUUCAUUAUGGAAAUGUGACUUUUUGACUGAUAUACUGGCAGGUUGCCCUAAAUUACAUUUGCGCUACCUGGCAUGGUGUGACACAACAACAAAUGCCAUUGGACCACAUUGCUACUGCCCCUCUCUUUCUGCACCUGUGCAUUUCUAUUCGCCCAUGAAAACAGCAGGAAAGUACUGUAUGCUGGUAUGACCACCUGCUUUACUCCUGUGAUUUUCCAGGUCAAUGAGGCAGCAAACAGAUUAUUUUCUGAAAUCAAAUAACAUGGAUAUGAGCGUUAAACAUGCACUAUAUUCUACUGAUUUUCCAGGUGUGGCUUUUUGUCAUGUGGAAGCUCAAGGAUAAGGUAGACAUUAGCAGUCAGGGAGCUGUCGUGGAAAUCGAAUAAACUGCCAUGUGAAUGUGGUCUAACUUCCGCUUGCUCCCUGAAUUCUAGCCAUGGGUUCGAGAGGGGUUUUCUUUGGCCCAUGCGUUCCUCAGGAAAACCUGCUCUUUACUGUUGCAUCAGAACAAACAUCAAUCUGUAUAAAACUCAGUUGAUGUUUGUUCCGAUUCAGCGGUAAACAGUGGGUUUCCCCGGGAGAAAGUAGACAAGCAAGUGGAAGUAUGACAAAACUCUGUGGAGAGGGGGUUGAUCAUUCUCAUGUGGAGGCUCAGGAGGGAGUGUCAAGGGCUCUUGGUUUUGGCUCAGCACCUUCAAGGUCCACGUGGGGAGCAGCCUGGUGUGUAGAGAUGGACACACACACACCCAGUCUUAAAUAGGCAGGUUCACAUUGAAUUCCAAAUUGAACUGAAUUUCUCAAUCCUACUGUUAUGGCCUGUGCAUGCUCAAGAAUCACACCCCACUUCAGGCAGAGAAGGGAACAGGCCUAUUGAUGACACGAGCCCCUGAGAUUGGCAGGUGGAGUAAUGUCUCUGGAUCGGUCAAGUCUGCUCUAAAUACUGGGAAUCUGGCUUUCUGUUUUGCCUGGUCAAUGGAGCAGUAUUUUCUGAAUGCUCCAGAUCUUUCAUUUACUGCACUUUUAUGCCACCCUUCAUAAUAUUUUUUAUGAUCCAUGAUGUAUUUCUUUAAAUAUUUAUGGACUGCACAGUCAUAAAAAUACAGCAAGGUCAACAACCCCAAGUCUCCCAGGUUUCUCUUCUUGUAUGGGGAGGCCUUGGAAUUGCCCUCAUUAUCUAUGUUGCCGGGGGGACCUCAGGGGCAGCAGGGCAUGUUCAGCCCAACUAAAAAUCAGACCAGGCUUGAUUUGCUUAAGGUGACAAAAGAAAUCUGCAGGAGAAAUAGAAAUAGGAACCAGAUCUCCACCAUCCAGCCCUUCCCUGACUCUAAUUUCAAGUUGAUGUAAUUAGAAGAGUUUCCAAUGAAUCUCUUAUAAACAUUUCGUUUUUCCCCCCUUCUCUGGCUGCAUUAAAAUGCAUUUCCUCAAGAAUGUCCAAUACACAAGAAAGGCAAUUCUCUUCUGAUAUAUGAAACUCCUCUCCAGUAAUAAGAUAUUUGGGGUAUUUGAGAAGAGAGGAAAUUGCUAAGGAUUAGCUUUAUAGCACUUGAACAUGUCUCUGAAAUGCUACUCUGUAAGUCAAUAAAUAAAUAAACAGAAAGAGAAAAACCCCAAUGGGAUUACGGAGUUCUGUAUCCUGUAGUUUAUUAAAUUUGUCAGCUAAAGCAGUGAGGGAUUAAGGCAGUGUAUUUAAUAAUCUAAGGAAAUCCUUGCACGAAGCACCUAUCACUGGUCUUCAUCUCAAAACAUGCAUUGGUGGAAGUAUAUGGUAGGAAAUGAAAACAAUAGACCUGAACUAGGAAGUCAUCAGCUUAGUAUACUUGCUCAAAGUACUAAACCCUUGGAUAUUGCUUACUUUAAUGUCAACAGUUCUGGCUGACACUUCUUUGGAUGAGAAGAGUCUCCUGCUGCCUGCAUAUGGCUAUUGCUGUGGGGCAAUGGAAGCAACCUCCCUCCAUCUUUCCCUGUGGCAAAAGUGCUCAUCCAGCACCAGCAGCUUGAUCCCUGUAUAAGUGUAGUGAAAGAGGCAAAAGGCCUGAUGAGGAGGAAAGCACCUCUUUGCUACUCUUCCUUAAUUGUAACCACUCUCGCAAGUCAAUGGAGGCUAAACCAAAUUGCAGCUUUUGAUCUAGACCAUUUCGUUGGUGAUACCAGUUGAAUAUCUCUCAUUUCUUACACAACGAUCCCAUGUUUGAUCAGUUUCAUGUAACUGCUUCAUUGGAAAAAGCUAAGCAAGUGAUUUACUCUGCUUUUAAUGCUCUCUCAGUACUUGGCUUGGCAAGUCCAUGCCCAGUGUGUUAUUUAAAAGCAAGCUUCUUUCUACAGACCUCUUACCCAACGAAUUAUUGCAAGCCAUAGUUUUGCCUGACAGCAAAUGGGACUGUGCCCACACAAGGGCAUUCCAGCAUACAUGAGUUGCUCUUUCCAUGUGUCCAUUUCCAUGUGCAUCUCCAUCCACACAUGAACACUUUCCAUUUUAUGCCUCUGAAAUCUUCCUUGAUGUUUCCCAUUCACACUAGUGGACAGUGCUUGGUGGAAUAGAUCUGUGCAUUUGUUGCUCCUUCCCUCAGUUAAUAUUUCCCCAUCCUCCAUAAGUCCCAGAAAACAUUGUGGGAAUGUCUCUAGGUACGAGUUUAGUUGUGUGUGCUUCUCUCUCCACCCCCUCUCACUCUGUAUAUGAAAUACAAUUUUCUGAUGUAACAGAUUUAGACAAAGGUAUAUCACUCCAAGCCAGGAAACCUGAGGAAUGCUGUGGGCACACACAGAGGUAUUUUUGUGCUUUGAGCAGGCACACUUUCAAAUGUAUAUAUGUAUGUUUUGCUAUAUACCCAAUUUGCACAAAAGAGCACUAAAAAUGUGUGUGUGUGUUUGUGUGUGUGUGUGUGUGUGUGUGUGUGUGUGUUGCUUCACUUGUUCAGGUAGACCCCACAUUUUUGAAAUACAGAUUUUCAAUUAUAUCAGAUUUUCACAAUAAAAAAUGGGUCACUCCAAACCAGGAAAGGAUUUAGAAUCAUAGAAUCAUAGAACUGGAAGAGACCACAAGGGCCAUCGAGUCCAACCCCCUGCCAAGCAGGAAACACCAUCAGAGCACUCCUGACAUAUGGUUGUCAAGCCUCUGCUUAAAGACCUCCAAAGAAGGAGACUCCACCACACUCCUUGGCAGCAAAUUCCACUGUCAAACAGCUCUUACUGUCAGGAAGUUCUUCCUAAUGUUUAGGUGGAAUCUUCUUUCUUGUAGUUUGGAUCCAUUGCUCCGUGUCCGCUUCUCUGGAGCAGCAGAAAACAACCUUUCUCCCUCCUCUAUGUGACAUCCUUUUAUAUAUUUGAACAUGGCUAUCAUAUCACCCCUUAACCUCCUCUUCUCCAGGCUAAACAUGGCCAGCUCCCUUAGCUGUUCCUCAUAAGGCAUCGUUUCCAGGCCUUUGACCAUUUUGGUUGCCCUCCUCUGGACACGUUCCAGUUUGUCAGUGUCCUUCUUGAACUGUGGUGCCCAGAACUGGACACAGUACUCCAGGUGAGGUCUGACCAGAGCAGAAUACAGUGGUACUAUUACUUCCCUUGAUCUAGAUGCUAUACUCCUAUUGAUGCGGCCCAGAAUUGCAUUGGCUUUUUAGCUGCCGCGUCACACUGUUGGCUCAUGUCAAGUUUGUGGUCAACCAAGACUCCUAGAUCCUUUUCACAUGUACUGCUCUCAAGCCAGGUGUCACCCAUCUUGUAUUUGUGCCUCUCAUUUUUUUUGCCCAAGUGCAAUACUUUACAUUUCUCCCUAUUAAAAUUCAUCUUGUUUGUUUUUGCCCAGUUCUCUAAUCUCUCAAGGUCAUUUUGAAGUGUGAUCCUGUCCUCGGGGGUGUUAGCCACCCCUCCCAGUGGUGUCAUCUGCAAAUUUGAUCAGGAUGCCCUUGAGUCCAUCAUCCAAGUCGUUGAUAAAGAUGUUGAAUAAGACCGGGCCCAAGACAGAACCCUGUGGCACCCCACUAGUCACUCUUCUCCAGGAAGAAGAGGAACCAUUGAUGAGCACCCUUUGGGUUCGGUCAGUCAGCCAGUUACAAAUCCACUGAGUGGUAGCAUAGUCAAGACCGCAUUUUACCAGCUUCUUUACAAGAAUAUCAUUUGCAGUUGCUCAUAUGAAAAGCUGUUGUUUCUUUCUUCCCCUUCUCCUUUCUUACCUCCUGUUCCUCCAAGGGCAAAAAAUAUUUUUAUUUUUAAUACAGCUGGGUUUUUUUGCAAACACAGUUCUGCACAAAAGAGCUGUUGUAAAAAUAAAAAAAAUACUACAAACUUGCCUUCAUCAGCAAUUGGUGGGAAAGAGUGGGCUACAUCAUUACCUUCGGGAAAGGAAACAAAUAGGAAACAGGGAGUAUGGUGAUAGAUGGUAGCCAGUGAAACAUCACCACACAUGUAUAAAUGUCUGCCCAUAUAGGCGCAUCAGUGCUGCCACAGUCAGAUUACAUGUAAUUUUAUACUGAAUUUUCUUUGCUUACUAGAUUAUCUGUUGGUGGGGAAGAUCCCAAUUUAGUGUGUUGGGGUGGGGGAACAUGGGCUGCCACUUGGAUGAGAAGGAUGUCAUGUGAGGCAUAAAAAAAUACGAGACACAAGCAGCUUCAAAUUAAACUCCAGGGUGGAUGAGCCCUAGGUCAGUGCGUUUGGCAGAACUCCAUUGGGAUUGCCUUUUCUGCAUGAAACAGUUUUUUAAUUUAGUGAAGUAUCAUAUGCUAUUAUUUUCUGAGCCAAAAGUGCAACCUUCAUUUUCAGAGAAAAUGGGCCAGAAUUUUGAUGUAACACUAAACCUCAGUUGUAGCAGAGUUAGGUUUAUGAGAAUAAGCCUCAUCCUCCCUGGAGAUCAUGCGUUGCAUCUCCCUCUUCUCCUUCAGUGCAUUUGGAAGUUUUUGCUUCUAUUUCUGAAUAACUCCAUUUUUCUAGGUUGUCCAAACUUGGAAAGAUAUACUAUGGUUAAUUUAACUAUGGUUAGUCGAAGCAAGCCAAGUUCACACCAUGGUCUAUGAAGCUGGCUUUGUUUUGGUAACCAUAGUUAAGCUUAACUAACUAAAGUUAAUCUCACAUGAAAGUGAAAGCUGCCGAUUUCAUCAUGGCCCUGCUGGGGCAAAAGAGUGCAAACCAGUGUGAAGUUUGGCUCAUUCUUGUAAUGCUGAACCAUGGUUCAGUGCUAGAUCCAAGCCAGGUCAGUGUUCGUUUGGUUAUUAGAUUUUGGGGCUCUUAUGUCUUGCUUGUGAACUUCUUUUAGCAGUUGGUUGGCUGUUUGCAGUAGACAAAAGGUUCUGUGAAAUGGGUCAUUGUUCUGCCCAACAUGGCCAUUCUUUUGCACAUGUUGUAAUUCCUUUAUUAAGCCAAAUGAAUGUUCCUUGCAUAAUUGCACACACUGAUCAAGCUAGAAAAUACAGCAAUUAAUAACAUUACUUUUAGGACAGGUGUUUCUCACUAUUCUUACAUCUUUGUACUCAAGUGAAAUAACACAAUUCCCUUCACUAUUAUAGGAAUGUACUAAAUAGCAUGAAAACAAUUUCCAUAGGUGUGAAAAUAGCCAAGUCUCAUUAUAGCCAUUCAAAACAUUUUUUAAAAAAUGUUUUCCAUUUCUUGAUCCAGAUCUGCUUUUAUUUUUGUGUGUGGUCAACCUUCAAAGUAUCUACACAAAAGCAUGCUUUAGAAAUUAAACUGGCAUUGCAUCUUCCAGAUUGAAUUCAGAGUGUUCUGACACUUUUAAGGGUCACCAGUUUUUAACUGAGCCUGUUCAUGCUUGCUUCAAAGCAUGUGAACUGUAAAGUACAGUAUGUGUACUAAAGUUAUAGAUAGGUCCACCCUGCAGAGAUCUCUUUAGGCCACAACGAAGAGUGAACAAAGGAGGAGAGAAUUUCUCUGCCUGAAAUAUUGAUGUUCUCCUUGGCUUUUCAGAUUAAAUGUGCCAUGUAUAAUUGACAGGUCACACAAAGUGCUGUGUUGUAGUGAUGGUGUGGGGGGGCAGACUUGGUAUCCAGUUUGGCCACCUGAUAGUUGUAGAAAUACUGCUUAUCAUCAUCAUCAUCUUCAUCAUCAUCACAAAAGCAAAAACAUGAUAGGUAAUACAGUAGAAACAGCAGCAUCAGUACAGAUAACCUUAGGCACAUCCAGUGUAAUGUGUAUUUUGGCUUUCAAACUGUCCCUCUGUGUCCCAUGGAGACUGCUUUACAUCUUUUAAAUCAUCUCCAUUUCCUGCCAUUUCACCACUCAGAACUGUUGCCUUUCACUUCUUUAGCCUGAAGUGACUUUUGGGUUAGCUCUUUAAUUCCACCCAUGAACUGAGUACUGAUUAUGUCAUUCAAUUGCCGCUUCGCAGAAACCACAGGAAGCAGGAACAGCAUGAUAUGCCUUAUCUCUUUUAUUUAAAAAAUAUUACAGGACAAAGCUGCAGGAAUAGAACUACAAUGCUACAGAAUAGAACUGAGCACUCCAGGUAGAUCUAAACACUUUUUAUAUAUCAUAGCAACCAGUCUUAAUAGCAGCAUUUUUCUGAAAGAAAUGGCAGUGUGCAUUUCGCUAGGGGAAAAUAACAGCUGGUUUAAAAAUUAAUUUUCAAAUGAAUAUAAUCUGCAACAGGUACAUAUAUAUGAGGUGAAGUAAUUCUUGGCAUUCUUUGAUUGAUACAGUAUCUGAAAACUGGGGAAGUGGGUUGUAUUUGAAUCCAGGAAUGUCACCCCAAGUAUUUUAUUUUAUGAUAUUUUCCUCUGCAAGUGGAUGAACAAGCAUUACAAACAUGCCCUCCACCUGUAAGAUCCCAUUAUAUGGCAGGUAACCAGGGAAUAGCCAGUGCGUUAAAAUGAAACCUGCACAUUGAAUCUGGCGGAAGACAGCUGGUGUAGAAAUCAGCACGAGAAUCAGAGCAAUCUGCAAAAGGCAUCUGAGUUCACAUUAAACAUUGCUCUGUGCUUGCUGAGUUAGAAGGGUGGCUCUGAACUUUGCACGUUUUUGUAGAGGUGAGAGCUGCUUUUCAUUUUCCUCCUCCUCCCCCCAUCUGCUUAACGUCUUGGCUUUCUGCAAGCAGGCAGCCAUGUUCCAAUUCAACGAAAAGGGUUAAUAGAGAAGAGAGUGUUUGCGUCCUUUGAGUUUUAUUGUUUCACGGUACAAUUUGCACAUUUUAUUAGGCUGAAAAGUGUCACAAGCCUAGCCCUGGAGAGGCUGAACCUGUGGAACAGUUUCAGGGAAGCAGGUCUGGAGCUUAUGGCAAGAACAGGAAACCCAGGGGGCAGGGAGUGUGUAUCCAUUCGAAAGCAGAGAGUGUGGAAACAGGAAACUAAGGUGGUCAGAGACAAGGCCCUUCAGAACCCUGGACAGGUCCUAGGGACCAUGCAGCUUGUUCCAGUGAGUGCUUGGUGUUCGCUGAGCCCUUAUAUAUUCCCAGGGCCUGACUACACCUCUUAGAUUUUGCCUCCUUGAUUCCUUUGGCUUGGAGCCUGACACUUCCCUUCUGUUUCUUGCUGGGGUGCAUUGCCUGUGGUGGCAAACGGGCUCAAAUGUUCAUGGGUACUUUUGGGGAAAGGUGUUGGCUUCCCUCUGGUAUCUUUUGCAGGGGCUACAUUCUCUAGGGAUUCAAAAUUGAGGAUGUGUGAUUCAGUAAGUUCCAGGUUACUGGCAGAGGCUUAUUGUCAAGACCCUGAAGUAGCGUGUCUGGGGUCUCUUCUGCCAGCCUUCCUGAGGCUUGUGCUAGCAAGCUCCCUCCUGAAUAGGUCACUGCAGGCAUUCCAAGUCAUGGCAUCAUCACAGCUAAAUCAUGAAAAGUGUCUUCAAUAUGGGAUGCCCCAAUGAUUUCCAAGGUGUGAGACUGUUGGUGGGACCCUUUUAUUAGUGAAAAGUGGAUAGCAUGGGAUGUGCAAGCUGUGGCUACAUCCUGGAGUCUGUGCAUCCUGCUGUGAUGAUUCAUCCAAGCAGACCAAGCCACAUGGCACAUACAACAAUUCAGCAUCUGUUUCUUUCAAAUGAGGUCAAUAACAAGCACAGGGAACAAGAGCACUCCAUGCUGCAACAAUUUCUUACAUAUCUGACUUGUAUUAUCUAAUACUGAAUUGAGAAAGAAUAUAUAUGUAGACAAUGUUCUCCAAACUCUUUCACAUGUUUUAAACCUUGGGCAAAACAGGUGUUAUAUCCAGAGUUUAUAUUAAGAGAUAUCUUAAGAGAUGUGCCUCAUCUGUCACAGAAUCAUGGAAGAGUUGCAAGGGACCAUGAGGAUCAUCAAGUUCAACCUCUACAAUGCAGGAAUCUUUUGCCCAACAUGGUGUUUGAACCCACUAUCCUGGUAUUAAGAGUCUCAUGCUCUACCAACUGAGCUAUCCUUUGAAAGGAAGUUACUGAUCUUCAGUCUAAUGCUUUCUCAGUUGAGCUAUUUUGGCCAUGUGUUAACUGUGAACUAUACAGAAAUUUAUUAUAGAUGGAGAGACACGUUUCAAGAGACACAGCAUUGCCAGAAAGAAUGGCACACACACACACACGGGCAAGUUCUUCCACUCCAUUAGAAUCAUAGAAUCAUAGAGUUGGAAGAGACCACAAGGGCCAUCGAGUCCAACCCCCUGCCAAGCAGGAAACACCAUCAGAGCACUCCUGACAUAUGGUUGUCAAGCCUCUGCUUAAAGACCUCCAAAGAAGGAGACUCCACCACACUCCUUGGCAGCAAAUUCCACUGUUGAACAGCUCUUACUGUCAGGAAGUUCUUCCUAAUGUUUAGGUGGAAUCUUCUUUCUUGUAGUUUGGAUCCAUUGCUCUGUGUCCGCUUCUCUGGAGCAGCAGAAAAACAACCUUUCUCCCUCCUCUAUGUGACAUCCUUUUAUAUAUUUGAACAUGGCUAUCAUAUCACCCCUUAACCUCCUCUUCUCCAGGCUAAACAUGCCCAGCUCCCUUAGCCGUUCCUCAUAAGGCAUCGUUUCCAGGCCUUUGACCAUUUUGGUUGCCCUCCUCUGGACACGUUCCAGUUUGUCAGUGUCCUUCUUGAACUGUGGUGCCCAGAACUGGACACAGUACUCCAGGUGAGGUCUGACCAGAGCAGAAUACAGUGGCACUAUUACUUCCCUUGAUCUAGAUGCUAUACUCCUAUUGAUGAAGCCCAGAAUUGCAUUGGCUUUUUAGCUGCCGCGUCACAUGUUGGCUCAUGUCAAGUUUGUGGUCAACCAAGACUCCUAGAUCCUUUUCACAUGUACUGCUCUCAAGCCAGGUGUCACCCAUCUUGUAUUUGUGCCUCUCCUUUUUUUUGCCCAAGUGCAAUACUUACAUUUCUCCCUAUUAAAAUUCAUCUUGUUUGUUUUUGCCCAGUUCUCUAAUCUGUCAAGGUCGUUUUGAAGUGUGAUCCUGUCCUCUGGGGUGUUAGCCACCCCUCCCAGUUUGGUGUCAUCUGCAAAUUUGAUCAGGAUGCCCUUGAGUCCAUCAUCCAAGUCGUUGAUAAAGAUGUUGAAUAAGACCGGGCCCAAGACAGAACCCUGUGGCACCCCACUAGUCACUCUUCUCCAGGAUGAAGAGGAACUAUUGAUGAGCACCCUUUGGGUUCGGUCAGUCAGCCACUUACAAAUCCACUGAGUGGUAGCAUAGUCAAGACCGCAUUUUACCAGCUUCUUUACAAUAAUAUCAUGGGGCACCUUGUCAAAUGCCUUGCUGAAAUCAAGGUAGGCUACAUCCACUGCAUUCCCUUCAUCUACUAGGCUUGUAAUUCUGUCAAAAAAUGAGAUCAGGUUAGUCUGACAUGACUUAUUUUUCAGAAAUCCAUGCUGACUAUUGGUGAUCACAGCAUUCCUUUCUAGGUGCUCACAGACUGUUUGCUUAAUGAUCUGCUCCAGAAUCUUCCCUGGUAUUGAUGUCAGACUGACUGGGCGGUAAUUAUUUGGGUCCUCUCUUUUCCCCUUUUUGAAAAUAGGGACAACAUUUGCCCUCCUCCAGUCUGCCGGGACUUCGCCUGUUCUCCAGGAAUUCUCAAAGAUGACUGCCAGUGGUUCUGAGAUCACAUCUGCCAGUUCUUUUAAUACUCUUGGAUGCAGUUCAUCUGGCCCUGGAGACUUGAAUACAUCUAGACUAGCCAAGUAUUCUUGUACUAUCUCCUUAGUUAUUCUGGGCUGUGUUUCCUCUGCUGAAUCAUUUGCUCCAAAUUCUUCAGGUCGGGCAUUGUUUUCUUUAUCGGAGAAGACUGAGGCAAAGAAGGCAUUGAGGAGUUCAGCCCUUUCUGUGUCCCCUGUUUGCAUUUCACCAUCUUCUCCUCUGAGUGACCCCACUGUUUCUUUGUUCUUCCUUUUGCUACGAACAUACCCGUAAAAGCCUUUUUUGUUGCUUUUAACCUCUCUAGCAAGCCUGAGUUCCUUCUGUGCUUUAGCUUUUCUGACUUUGUGUCUACACGUGCUGGCUAUUUGUUUGAAUUCCUCUUUGGUGGUUUCACCCCUUUUACAUUUUUGUACACAUCCUUUUUAAUCUUAACUCAGUUAAAAGUUCUUUAGAUAGCCACCCUGGCUUCUUUAGGCACCUUCCAUGUUUCCGUCUCAUUGGUAUUGCCUGAAGUUGUGCUUUUACUAUCUCCUCUUAACAAACUCCCAGCCAUCAUGAACUCCCUUUCCUUUUAGUAUUACAGUCCAUGGGAUCUCACCCAGCACUUCCUAAGUUUUAUGAAGUCGGCUUUCUUAAAGUCAAGAAAUUGAGUCCUAGUAUGCUUGGCUGCUCCUUUCCGCUGUAUAGUAAACUUCAGAAGAGCAUGAUCACUCGUGCCUAAUGAUCCUUCCACUUCUACCCCACUAACCAGGUCAUCAACAUUGGUUAGGACCAGAUCUAAAAUGGCUGUUCCUCUUGUUGCUUCUCCCACUUUCUGGACAAUGAAGUUGUCUGCAAGGCCAGUGAGGAAUCUGUUUGACCUUAUGCUCUUGGCUGAGUUUGACAUCCAACAAAUAUCCGGGUAAUUGAAGUCCCCCAUUACUACUAUCUCCCUUCCUUUAUUAAGUGCUCUGGCCUUGAUUGUCUUCCAUGCGCCUAGGACAAGGUCAGCUGGGGAGAGCUGAGUGGAAGACAUUUGCAGUGAUCUUGGGUAAGGAGAGGGGUGGUGAGAGAGGAAGGGUAAGCCAAGUGAGGGGAUCAUGACUCAAACAAUUGAUGGUUGUGCUAUGUGCCAGCCUCUAACCAGAGGAAAUGUGAUAGCUCUGUCAGCCAGCCCUCAGAUCUGUCGAUGCAACCACUGAAUGCUAGGUUAGCUUUAAAUAUGGUCUCCCUCUGAGAGUGGGGGAUUUGUCACCUCUACAGAGAUGGAGAACCUAUUAGCAUGGUCUGUCCUCAGGGGCUGAUGAAUUCAGGUGGCUCUGGGGGAUUUUCCAGCUACGGUAAUUUGACCCGUGGUCCUAUUAAAAGCCCAGUUAAUCUGUGCAAUACAUGGAUGGCCCAGGUUGGUGACAUCCUCUCCCGCUUGAUAGAGCUUAACUGGCUUCUUGGCAUACAGCAGAGCUGAAGACAUUGAAACCACCUGGGAGACACAAGUGAAGAAAAACUCCAGACAAAUGCAACCAGCACAAGUAAGUGUUCAUUAGUGAGCCUACUCAGUGGCAGUGAAGACAACAAAGAAGUACUUUUGAUAUAUCCUCACUAUGUCACCCAGCAGAACGUUUCUACAUUUAAAGAACAAUCCAAACCACUGGUCCACCUUGCUGCAGGGGGGCUUGGAGGUGUUUGUCUGCCCAGUCCUUCCUUGAAAUCCUGUCCUCCAGUGGCAAGAGAGCUGUACUACCAAAAUGCUUGUUUACAAAGCUAUUGUACUACCACCCUUACUAUAUCCUUGUGAAAGGUGGACCACUUAUAAAUGCCAUCUCCAACCGCUCGAAAGAUUCCAUCAGUGGUGUCUCCAAAAUUUUUUACACAUCACUUGGGAAGACAGGCAAAGAUCACCAGUGUUGAAUCAAUGAUUCUUCAACAUCAACUUAGUUGGACUGGUCAUGUUGUGCGGAUGCCUGAUGAUUGUCUUCCAAAGCAACUACUCUAUUCCAAACUUAAAAAUGGAAAGCGUAAUGUUGGUGGCCAACAAAAGAGGUUUAAAGACUGUCUCAAGGCAAAUCUAAAAAAAUGUAGUAUAAACACUGACUACUAGGAAACACUGGCCUGCAAGUGCUCCAGUUGGAGAACAGCCUUUACCAAAGGUGUCAUGGGCUUUGAAGACACUCGAACUCAGGAUGCAAGGGAGAAACAUGCUAAGAGGAAGACACACUUGGCAAAUCCACACCGUGAUCAACUCCCACCCGGGAACCAAUGUCCCCACUGUGGAAGGACGUGUGGAUCCAGAAUUGGCCUCCACAGUCACUUAUGGACCCAUUGUUAAAACCAUGUUUAUGGAAGACAAUCUUACUCGGCUACGAGUGAUCGCCAAAGAAAGAAAAAGCCUACCAGCCGGGAAACCCUGCUAGUGAAGAGCACCCCAGUGCAGCCCCCCAAAUGGCAGGCAGAUGGAAGAUAACGUGGGAGGAUCCUUGUCAUUGGUAACGAAUGGAAACCCCAGAAACAGGAUGGGGAGGCAGCAUUGAAUCACCUGGAUGCAGAGCUGUCAUCUGAUGACAACAGGCCUGAUCUGUGCCUCUGCUGCCCGGGAGCUGGUACCGCAAAAUGGUCUUCCCACCCUAAGCAGCAGGACUGUGGAUGAGGCAGCGGCUGUGCUGCUCUGUAGAGUCCUGCAGUUGCUGGAGAGGGGUUUCCUCACCUACACUGCACAUCCUUGGCUGACACUGGCUGGACCUGAAGCAGCACACAGAGCAAAAAACAUGUCGUGUAGAGGGUGGUGAACGUAACACUGGGGUACACCAGGGAGGGUGGAGUACAAAUAAAAAGUUGUUGUUGUUGUUGUUGUUGUUAUUUGGGAGUAUUUUACUCCAGUGUGUUCACACAUCAUAGUGGCCUUUUAUUGAUAGUUGAAGUAAAAUGAGGUCUGUAGCAUCCUUGAAGGCAAUAAAUGCCAACCAUUUUUUGCUGUGAUUUGUAUAGAAGCGAAAGGCUCAAAUCUGACAAUCUUACAAAAGGAAGAUGCAUUAGCAAAGCGGGGGGGGGGGGGAGAGGAAUGACACAUCUUGGAAAGAAACAUCAAGUCAAAUGUGAAACCCACAAGUGCAAGUGGCAAAGGAUCAAAGGUGCUGGGGUGUGUGGGAGGGAGGGAGGGAGGUGCUGCUGAUGCUCCCAGACAGUCAAUGAUGGAAAAAUUCUCUUUGAACCAAGCACCUGCUGCUUACGACUAGAACUUCAGAAUUACUAGCUCAAGUAAGUUAAAGCACUUUACUUCACAGUGAAAGUGGGGUGGUGGAGAAAAGGAAAAGGAAGUAGUCCAAAGCAUCAGGAGGUGGAAAAAGUCAAGGAGAAUGGGGAAUUGCAUUAAUGAAACUGAUCUGUGCACAUUUGAGAUGGAAUAUUGCUUAUGCAUGGCUGGUUCCAAUCUGAUUCUAAUUUAUACUCUCAAGCUUUCUAGUUGUCUUCUUUCUUGGAUGCAGAGUCAACCCCCCCCCCGUCUCUCUCCCUCUCUGGAUAGCUUCCUAGCCUUAGACUUUAUUCCUCUCCAUGGGUGUGUCUGGUUCUUACAUUUCACUUUCUCAAUAUUCCUGUAGCUUUUAUGGGUGAAGAAAGAGGAUUCCUGACUUCUUCUUUUUUUGCCUUUCACAGGAUAGAAUGAAAAUCUCUGGUAAUAUUUACAGCCACAAGAACUUCAGAAAGAGGGCCACUCUGUUGUGCUCACACAUGCACACUUGUGCAAUUUAAACCAAAGGCUGCUUGAUUGAAGAGACUUGAGUGCCCCAUACUGCUUUGAUAUUUCCAACCUCAGAUGAGCUGAAUAUCACAUGACAGGGAUUGGCAACAGACAAUGGAAAGCCAACACAAUUGCUUGCCCUCCGUACUGUGUUGGUAUUGAUCACAUUGUCAGUUUGUAAAUUCAUCUGAAUAGGGUCCAAAUGUGGAAUUUGCCCUUUUCUCCCGCCCAAAUCCUAAUGCUGACUGUUCUUUUAGGAAUUUAAAAUUAAAAUAAAACAGAUGAUUGCUUGGAACGGAAGGCAGCAGAAUUGCAGCAGCCUCAGAUAGCGCUCUAGCUACCACAAGCUGUAAAGAGGCAAUUGCACCAAGGUAUCAAAACUGGCAUUGGGUGCUGUGCAAAUGAGGGAGUCAUGUGCCACCGUCCCCAACAUUUUCUGGGCAAGGCGAUUACGAUGGUGGCCGUCUGCCAGUUGUGCACAUGCAUGGAGAAGGCAGAUUAUCCAGACCCACUUCAGUCUGGCUUUAGACUUGGAUUUCGCAGUGCAAUAGCCUUGGUCUCCUUGACUGAUGAUCUUUAUCAGGAGUGAGACAUGAAGAGUGCAACCCUGUUGGCUUUCCCUGAUUCCUUGGUGGUUCAACACAUUGACCAGUGUAUUACUGAGUGACCAGGUGGCAUCAGUGGUGACAUACCUAUGCCCAGCUUUUGGCUGGUUCACCUGCUAUAGCCAUUCUUGAACCAGGAUAGCCUGACUUCAGUAAGCCAUAACCCAACAGCCUUAAGAUUGGCUUGCUGUGAUGUGUUGUAUCCCACCCAGGGCCCACUGCCUCAGGCGGCAGGAUCCCCAGGGACAGCAGAUCCUGUCUCCAAGGAACGCAUCUUCUUCUUCUUCUGCUGCUGCUGCUGCUGCUGUGCAGUCCUUGGAGGCCAGAUCUGCUAGCCUAGUGUUCCUCCUUGGCCAAUAGGAGGUGCUGCUGGUCUCCUCCCAUCCUUGUUCUCAGUGUAGAUCUUCACCCACCCCUUCCCUGAUUUGGGGGGGGGGGACUAUUUUGUGGUUUGCUUCAAGUGUCAACAUAUCUUAGGCUAGUCCUGUGUGGCACUAGCUGUCAUGGGCCAGGAAUCAGCUUCACCUGCUGAGCAGCAGCCUGAAGGAGCAGAAGGCAGUGACUGCACCUGCUGCUGAUCAGCCUUCUUCUUCCUGAUGUGGAAACCAGCUGGCUCCAGCUUUCUUAAGCAGGGUUUCCAGCCUCAGACAGUUGCUGGAAACAUUUGUUGUUCCUGACCAGACCUUGCUGCUUCUUGCUUCUCUUGACCUUGGACCCUCUGCUUUCUUGACCCCUGGACCAUCUGACUAUGUGAGCUGAGCUACUCCUGUCCUUAGGACUGAACUGAACCUUGCAUACGGACUCUGCCUUCAGGCAAGUACCCCCAAGACUUGGCUGAUUGGUUGGCCUCUCCCGCCACUGAGCUCUGCUGUGGCUGACCUGCACAGGACGACGAUGCUACUGUUCAAAGACUGUCCAGAAGCUGCAGCUAGUGCAGAAUAUGACUGCCAGGGUGUGUGUCACCAGUCCUUUCUCAAAAUACGCCUUUAUUAAGGAUUUCCCCUGGAUUGCCAUUUGUUCUGAUUGCUAAAUAGCAGGUUUUCCCUUGGGAAGGAGUGGGGCAAGGGGGAAGCUGCUUGGACCCAUGCCUAGAAAGUGAGGGUCAAGCAGAAAACCUCUGAGACACACUCUUAAGAAAAUGCAGGGGGAAUACUAAACUGAGCAGUUGCCAACCUAGUAGCCUUCUCUCGGAACUGUUGCAUGGGAAAGGGAAAGCUGCCCUUUAAUUGCUCGUUUCUAAGUUCUAGGCUGGGGGCAGAAGUAAUUAAAUAAAUCACAUGCAGAACUGAAAUAAUAUAUUGUAAAAUUCUGAAUAAUCAUUUUUCAAAGCAGUUUGCAACAAGUCUGUUAUUUAUAAUUUAAUGCUUUAACUCUUUGUCUUGGGAAGGUCAGUCCUUUUAUUCCUGUGUGCGCACACAUGUGUGGCAACUGGAAUUAAUCUAGGCAAUUGGGACACUUGGGGCAGCUCUUGGUGCCAGGGCUAUGUUUGGUCCAGGUCCCUGCCUUUGCCCUUCUUCUCUUUCAUCUCAGAAAUCUACUCUUAAAAACUCCUGGACGGUUUAACCUUUUAAAAAGAAAGACGUCUUUAAUCCCCUUGGGACCUCGCGUAGCAAAAAGAUGCUUGCACUGUCUUAUAUGUCUUUUGUAUCUCAUGUUUUAAUGUGUUCUGUGUCUUAACUUUAUGGUUUGUUUGGCGCCUGGGAUGUUAUGGCAGAGAGGCGCCAAAUAAACAAAAUUUAUGAUGAUGAUGUGGAUUUCAAGUACUAGGGAAGGUGGAGACAAUUUGGUACUAUACGUAUAACUGAUAUAAUGUUCAUCUGAUGCCUUGUGAAACCCUGGCGAUAAACUAGUAUCUGGAGCAAGUGUCUUAGUAACUUGCUAAAGAAGUCAAAAUAUAAAUAUUGAUUUACAGGACUUCACAUAUAGCAAAAUGUGUGUUUAGGUCUUUCUUGUGGAAUGCCCACUGCUUUCUCCAGAAAAAAUAUUCUAAAUAUGUAGUACCAGGUUAGUUUUUCAAGUUAGCUUUCCAAACUCCCUCCCUCUCUGUUUCAUGCCUUCAGUUUGUAUGGCACCUUUAGAGAGUUGCAUUGGCAACAUACAUAGGCUAAUAAUAAUACAUAAUAAUAAUAUAAAUAAAUAAUUUUAUUUAUACCCCACCCUCCCCAGCCAAGACCGGGCUCAGGGUGGCUAACACCAGGUAUAAAAACAAUUGAUUAAAAUACAACUUAAAAACAAGAUUAAGUACAUUAAAAUGCAGCCUCAUUUCAGUAGAAACCCAAAUCAAAAACUUUUGGGGGAUGAAAACGUCAAAUCUUCACUAAGGCCAACUAUCCAGACUGGUCCUACGUGGGCCAAAAAAGCCAGGGAAAUCCCCAAAUAGGAGUUCCAUCACAGAAGGAGAAAGGAAACAGGAAGAGGGGGAGGGGAUCAAGUUGAUUCCAAGCCAAAGGCCAGGCAGAACAACUGUCUUACAGGCCCUGCAGAAAGAAAUCAGAUCCUGCAGGGCCCUGGUCUCAUGAGACAGAGUGUUCCACCAGGCCGGAGCCAGUGUUGAAAAGGCCCUGGCCCUGGUUGAGGCUAAUCUGACUUCCUUAGGGCCCGGGACCUCUAGGGUGUUGCUAUUUAUUGACCUUAAGGUCCUCCGUGGGGCAUAUCGGGAGAGGCGGUCCUAGGAGUACGAGGGUCCUAGGCCAUGCUAUGCAUCUAGUCCCAAGGAGGUUAUAAUUUAAGAUGGACAAUGGGGAGUAACAGAAGGUAGGGGAGAAUGGAAAUAAAUGCUACCACUCAUACACGGGGAGAAAGGUGGCUUCCUCUUGAUGGUGGCAGUGGGCAAGAAAGGAGGAAGUUGUUUAAGGGAGCAGAAAAGCUUUGGUAAUGCAAAGUUGGAAGAGCAGAAGUCACGGGGCAGAACAACAAACAAGGGGAGGAAGGGGGUUGGACUAGGUGACCCUUGGGGUUCUGUCCAACUCUACAAUUCUAUGAUUGUAAGUAAUUGCAUUUGAUAAUUCAUCACCGAAGUGAAAAGCAGUAUAUGAAUUAUCUAAAUUAAAAUAAAAUGAAUUAGGGCUGGAGAAACAGUGAGGAUGUCACUAAUUCAACCCAUCUUAAGUCUGUGCAGAACCUCCUUAUGUGCUCUGGUCCAUAAAUUGAGGACCAAAGCUCUAGGUGACAUCACGAGUACAAAAACUUAAUGCUGUUUUGUGCAAGUUCACUUUCACAUGCUAGUCAUAAUAGCGAGUGGAGCCCACACCAUCCCCACUCCCCCUCUUUUCUUCCCAAUUCUGUAUUGCAUGCAACACUAAUGUCUCACAAAAAAUGAAACUGAUUUGUAGAAAAGACAACCUGAAAAAAGACAAUGCACAUGCUUUUGUAAAUUAAGAAAUCUUUAAUACCCCCCCGGCAAUCUUGCCCCUGCUUGCAUCAAAUGAAAAAGAAAAAAUAAUAAUAGCUGGUGGAGCCCAUUCUCAAAACUGCCUAGUCCAACCUUCUGCAUAUAAAGCAAGGCUGCUCUUGUGGAACAUUUGAUUAAGGCUGAUCUACUUCCUUGCUGAUUAUUAUCCUUAUUUACUACUGCCAAGGUUGGGUACAACUGUGAUACUUCUAAAUGCACAUAUAUAGGAUUCCAUUGUUAGUUUGCUUUUCAUUUGAUCAGUUUAAUCUCCAGAGGUCAUUUAUUUGCAAGAUGGUUUCCUUAAAACUUCAAAACUGAUAGUGGCAUUUGAGCAUUUGAGCAAUUCACUUUAGACAAUGAAUGCUGGCAUUUACCAAUGCUCAAGGUGAGAAUUUAUAUUGCAUUGAGGGUCACUAAUAUAGGUCUUGGGGAUGGGGGGAGGCCAGUCAGCUAAAGAUUAGGAAUUUACAAACAGCUCUGAGUGAAAGGGACUUGAAAUGACAGUCCAUCUCAAUAGUGUUGCCUUUGACUAUUUAGGAAAGCAGUUUGAAGGAUUGCAAAUUGACUAGUUCACGUAGUUCAACAUGUAGUCUACUGGUGGGUUUGUGUGUGCUUUUAGUAAGAGCCAGUAAGCAGUCUUAUUUCUUUAAACUGCCAUAAUGUGAGAGGAGUGUGAGAUGCAACUUCCAGAGAAGUAGUCAUGACAACCUGUUGCAGCAAAAAACAACAGAGUCCUAACACAUUUAUGAUGACAGAGAUUUGGGCCAAGAAAAGUACAGAGUAAAGGGACCCCUGACCAUUAGGUCCAGUCAUGGACGACUCUGGGGUUGCAGCACUCAUCUCGCUUUAUUGGCCGAGGGAGCAGGCGUACAGCUUCCGGGUCAUGUGGCCAGCAUGACUAAGCCGCUUCUGGCGAAUCAGAGCAGGAGUGGUACCUAUUUAUCUACUUGCACUCUGACGUGCUUUCGAACUGCUAUGUUGGCAGGAGCAGGGACUGAGCAACGGGAGCUCACCCCGUCGCGGGGAUUCGAACCACCGACCUUCUGAUCGGCAAGCCCUAGGCUCCGUGGUUUAACCCACAGCACCACCCUGGAUGCAAAUCACUGCUCAGUUAUGAGUAGAUCAUUCGGCUGGAUCCAGACUAAGUUUGUAGCACUUAGGUCUCACUGAGAUCAAGGAGGCUUAGCAAUGGAAGGUGGGGGCAUUCCAGAGAGGGGGGGCAUGGAAAAUGAGAGAGGAAACAACAAAUGGUCCUACAGUACUCACUAUCAGCAUGCAUCUGCCUCCCCGGGAAUGUAUUUGUUAAUUAAAUUUGUAUCUCAAUCUUCCUCCCAAAGGAGCCAAGGGCAGCACACACUAUUAAUUUUUUUAAAAAAAACUUCAAAACAACAACACACAAACAAAUCCAAAACAAAUUUAAGAACAGACACCAGUGAAUUGUAUAUUUACAAUAAAUGUAUACAAGCUGGUCUGUGCUCUUGUGCAGUUCCCAUUCAUUUUAGUGCAUCCCUUGACAGAAAAAGGGUGUCCCUAUUAAUUGAUUUCAGGUUUUUUGCAGUGGCAAGCUUAUUUCUGACUCACGGAAGUUUUCAUUUUUUGCCCUGUGGAAUUUUUCUUCACUACACAUUAUGAAUAAUAAUUGAUAAAUGCACAAAUAAUAUUCCAAUCCAAGUUGCAAUUUUGAGGUUGGAUUGUAGGAGAAUGGUCUGUUCACUGAAGAUUCUGAACAUGUUAUGCUCUGAAUCUGUGAACAGGCACAGCCCCUUUUCAUUUACCAAAUCUGAUUUAUAAUAUGUGUACAAAAUGUCCUUCUGGAACUCGUGAUGGAAUAAUGGAAGUGGAAUUGUAAACAUAAAAACCUGAAAAAACUAUUUCCACAGCCACAUAGCCAGGACUGAACAACUUUGUUAGCAGCCCUCGUUUGCUAAAUCCCUAGACUGAUUUAAAUAUUGUGUGGGGGCUGAUAAAAAGAAAUGUAAUUUGUAUAAUAUGUAUCAGUAUAGCAAAUACAGAAGAGGGAUAUGGGCAUUUCAGUAAGUGGUCACCAAGGCCUGCUUUUCAUUUAACAGUGAAAACACACGCAGCACUCAUGUGAUUUAAUUCCUUUUCUGAACUUCGAUGGAAAUAUCUGGUUGGAAUGAAGACAUAUCAACUAGCUCUGAAGCAGUGGCUCCACAAGUUCACGAGUCUGGCAUAGAGCGAGAUCUUUGUGUACCGAUCCAUAUGAUCAAGAAGCAUUGUUUACCAGACUCCUGCUUAAGAAAUUGCUGUCUUCAAAAACUUAUUUAUAUGUUCUGCCACAAAAAAAGUGGAAGGUUUGCUAUUUUUCAAGUUGUUUAUAAUAGCUGAUUUGGUUGAAACUGUCAGCCAAGCAGCAUACUUCGUGAUUGGUGGUUUCACCUUCCCAUUGCUUCCAUCCUCUUUGGAUUGAUGCAAACCUUCAUCUACAUCACUCAGUGUCUCAUCACACAACAGCUCCCGAAAGUAGCGCCUUUUGAAAUAAUGAAGGGCAAUGUGAAAUCUCUGGCUUUUGACUUGUGUUGGUUGUUUCACCCAUGCAAAUCACAUGAAAAUCUUGUCGAGAGAAAGAGAAAAGCAUUCUCAAGGCACAAGAAUUUGUGAUAUUUGCGGGUGUCUUCUGUGUACAGGAUUGCAUUCUUUACAAAACUAACCAUGACCAUUAUUAACUUCCAGUUUUCUUUUUUCUUGUUUCUGACAGGACCAGCCGUAAGGUACAGCCAGUUUGAAGUGUCUGAGCCCAAACCUCCCCCUCUCAUUGGUCAGCACACAUUGGAUGUUCUGAAGGAUACUCUGGGGUACCAGGAUGAUGCCCUAGAGGAACUGCUCAGCUCUGGAGCAAUAGUUCAGCAUGAACGCAUGUGAAUGGCUUUGGCUUCGGUUGUUGACGGAGAAGAAACUUCCUGGAAUUCUACCAGGAUCUCUUUAGUUUUCACAACCAAUGAUGGAGAUGUGAUUAAGUUCUUGGUAUUUUUUUAAUAUAAUCUGAAACACACCCUGCAUUCAAGUAUCAGCCUGCAAAGUAUUAAAAUAAUCGAUUUUUCCUGCCUUUCAUGCAGGCCGGGGACAGGUAGAGGUGCUGGUAACUAUGAAAUUCAGCAUUUGUUAUAUUGCUGAUAGACCAAAAUAAAACCCACCAUGAAAUCCCACUGCCACAUGUUCAGCAGUGCCUCUCUCUGGAAACACAUGGAUGAAUUUCAGAAGAUCUGAGUUCCAUGCCAAAAGCUACUAAUUGCAUGGGUAAAGCCAGUAGAAUCUAGGCCAUAAUUAACAGCACGUGAUACUCGAAAGCAAAACCACUUUCUGUAUACAAAGCAAUAUGGCAUUUCUUUAAGCACGGGGGGCGGGGGGGGAAUGAUUGGUCAAUCUUGCAGGCAUAUAAUUUAGAUCAAAAGUAGAAUUCUGAACAAGAAGAUUCCAAAACUUUUACUUCUGCUUAAGUAAGGCACUGCCUUCCUUCCCUGAAACUAAAUAAAGCUAACCGAAACUGACACUCAACAAAUAAUGACCAUAUUUCACUCAAAGGAUCGGAAACAGGCCUCCUGUUAUAAGUGGCCUGUCACUUGGUUUCCAGUUUAACAAACAACAUCCUCUGUGUUAAAUCUGAACUUCACAACUAUAUCUUGCUUUCCGGCGGGGGGGGGGGGGGGAAUGGAGAAGAGAAAGAAAGAAAAUUAUUACAUAAUUAAGUUUUAAAAUGGAUUUGCAAUCGCCUUUGAAGUUGUGUGGCACGGUCUUCCUUUGUUGGCUUAUUUUGUAAAUCUUUGUGUUGUCUCAUUUUCAGAUUUCCUUCUAAUCUUUUUUCCUCCUUGUACGUGUGCGUGUGAAAUUACAAUCUCAGUACCAGAGUCAAUACUUCUGUCCAUAUGCUUAAUGCAUCAUUAUAUUUUGGAUCAAGUGAUGGCUCUAAGCAUCAGAAGAUGCGUGCAUAGGCAAGAGUCAGGAAUCGGGAUGCAGGGAUGGGAUUGGGAGGGGAAAUUGCAUAAUUGCCCUUUAAUUCAAGAAUAGCAGCCAAGAUUAAAGAGGAGAACCAAUGCUGGGAACUCAGUUUUAGAUAUGACGAUUUGGUCGUAAACUAGGCACUGCUUUUGUUGAAAACAGUCCCUUUUAAACUCAUAUUUACAAAUAGGCAUGCUGUUUCUGCUUAGUCUCUUUCUCAUUUCCAAGAACAGAAUACAUAAAUAAGAUUUAAGUUUAAUUCAAAACCUCCUAAAGGAGCUUUGUUUCGUCCAGUAGUUUCCCAAGGAAAGGGCUAAGUGUCACCAAACCAAUUCAUGCAAACCCCAUUGACUUACUUAGUUUUUAAUUCCAUAUUUAAUUUUUGUUCCACAAGGCUGCACACAAAUAGGAAGUUCAUUUUCUUAUCCUUUGGGCUUGUUUGAACCUCAGGACCUAAUAGCCAGUUUCCUCAGAAAAAUGUCAGUGAGUUAAAUGAGACUUACUUCGUUAAAUGCUUCAUAUCAGAGUCUCAGAAUGCUUUUAGUCAUCUUUAUCUGCAGGAAGCUAUGUUGUGACGCGGCAGCUAAAAAAGCCAAUGCAAUUCUGGGCUGCAUCAAUAGGAGUAUAGCAUCUAGAUCAAGGGAAGUAAUAGUGCCACUGUAUUCUGCUCUGGUCAGACCUCACCUGGAGUACUGUGUCCAGUUCUGGGCACCACAGUUCAAGAAGGACACUGACAAACUGGAACGUGUCCAGAGGAGGGCAACCAAAAUGGUCAAAGGCCUGGAAACGAUGCCUUAUGAGGAACGGCUAAGGGAGCUGGGCAUGUUCAGCCUGGAGAAGAGGAGGUUAAGGGGUGAUAUGAUAGCCAUGUUCCAAUAUAUAAAAGGAUGUCACAUAGAGGAGGGAGAAAGGUUGUUUUCUGCUGCUCCAGAGAAGCGGACACGGAGCAAUGGAUCCAAACUACAAGAAAGAAGAUUCCACCUAAACAUUAGGAAGAACUUCCUGACAGUAAGAGCUGUUCGACAGUGGAAUUUGCUGCCAAGGAGUGUGGUGGAGUCUCCUUCUUUGGAGGUCUUUAAGCAGAGGCUUGACAACCAUAUGUCAGGAGUGCUCUGAUGGUGUUUCCUGCUUGGCAGGGGGUUGGACUCGAUGGCCCUUGGGGUCUCUUCCAACUCUAUGAUUCUAUGAUUCUAUGAGCUAGCACAAAUUGUAGCUAGGCGCAGCAGAAUGGUGACUGCACAGAAUUCUGCUCAGCAGAAACCAGCCUGACCUUAGGAUGACUGUGCUCUUUCCAUGUCAGCAAGAGGCACUGUGCCCCAGGAUGUUCUGACUAGUUAACCAAGAGCAACCCAGGUCUACUACCACUGAGAGAAAGUGUUGAAAUUGCUUAGAAUCUGGGGCUGGGUUUACAUGGGCGGCAAAAUGAGAUGGGAAUGAACUGGUAGAAGAAAAAGCAGAGGUUAGUAAAAGUUAUUGAGAGAGCACUUACUUAUUAUAAUUAACAGUUUACUGAAAAUUUCCUUCUUCAUGCAUCAAACCUAUAAAUUCUUCCAACUGGACUAUGCAAAACAGAAGCAGCACCACACAAUCUGCAGAUCAACAUGGAAGUAACUACAAAGAUAACCUUUACUGGCUGGUUUGAUGGGAGUUGUCAUCCAAGAUCAAAUAUAGUUGGUAUAGAAUAACACCGAACGGAGGACCUGUAAGAAGCUGUUAUAUUUUUUAAAAAAAUUGGUAUUGGCAUACAGAAGUGAUGCAUGAUCAGAUUUCAGAUUGUUGCCCAACAUGUGCCCAGUCUAAUUGCCCCAGAUGCCACUCGUGGGGAACCACAAUUUCCAAAGCUUCCAUUUACUGAAACUGAAAUCUUCUCAGCUGCUACGUUGUGUAAGACUUCCAGAAAUUGCUUGGCCACAAAUAUUAGUUGAAUCAUAUCAUACACACACAAUUUUUUAAAAAUGUUGAAAUAGUUUUCUAUUAUUUCAAUUAUCACCACACUACACUCAAAAAUCCAAAUUUUGAGAGAAUGUGGAAACACACCAGACAAAAUGGAUUUUUUUAAAAAAACAACUACAGUGGUACCUCAGGUUAAGUACUUAAUUUGUUCCGGAGGUCCAUUCUUAACCUGAAACUGUUCUUAACCUGAAGCACCACUUUAGCUAAUGGGGCCUCCCGCUGCUGCUGCACCGCCGCCGCACAAUUUCUGUUCUCAUCCUGAAGCAAAGUUCUUAACCCGAGGUACUAUUUCUGGGUUAGCGGAGUCUGUAACCUCAAGCGUAUGUAACCUGAAGCGUAUGUAACCCAAGGUACCACUGUAUUAGUCCAUUCCAUAGUAUUUGAAGUACCAUUUGGAUCACGAAAAUAUGAAGCUGGCUUCUGAGACCACCAUAAACCUACUAUGAAGUAGACGUUAUACUGAAAGGCAUCCAUCUCUUCAUAAAAGUCUGCAGGCGAAAUUAAAUCCAAUCCAGGAUUGGAUUUCCUGACCUGUUGGGUUUUUUUCUUUGUUUGCAAAAAAUCCCCAAUUAUUCCUGUUUGUGAUUUCUAUUAAAACUGUGGUGGAGGUGGAGGGCGUUGAAACAAUGACAUUCUCCCCACACAAUUCCCUUGAUAAAAAACGGCACAUGCAUCCAAAAGCUCAUUUGCUCUGCUAGGGAAAAUGGUUGCACUAAAGGGGCAAAUCAAAGCUUGGCAGGUGACAAUCUUUGAAGUCACAUAAAAAGGGAUGAAAACACCCACCUGGUGCAAAGUGACAACUGUCCGUUUGCAAGACAGCAGAUCCUGCAUACCUUCUUCUUGGAGGCCAAUAAUUUCCUGGGGGGUGGGGGGUGUUUGCACAUCCCACUGCUGACAAACUUUAAACUUGCAUAUGUGAAACCUUUGGCAAGAGAAAGGGACAGUUAGUACUGUGUAAUCACAGACAAACGUGAUGCUCCCCUCCACCACCCUGGCCAUGAGAGGUAUCUUCUUGUCAUUGGAUAAGAGCUCUGAAUCCCCUCUCAAAGCAAAUUUUGCCCUGGAGUCAAACCUUGAGAAAAUUCAGUCUGGGAAUAAUCUCAGUCUAAUUGGAAUGAUAUUUAUUUACUUAUUUCUUCAAAUUUAUAACUCCCCAAAAAGAGUUCAGGGUAGCUUACAAUAAUAAAAUUACAUUAAAACAAUUUCAAGCAACACUAUAACACAUUACGGGCAGCAGUUGAACUCAGCAGUAUGAGAAAGGCUUCUUUGUGCUGAUGAAGAGAGAAGUUUGUUUGUCUCAAAUUAAACCUAAUAUAAUGAGAUUACACAGCAAAAGCAAGCUCACACCUCUCAUUGAGUUGGUAUACAUACGUAAGAGGAUCGUUUAUUAUUAUAUUUUGGGAGUGAUUCCUGUUCUUAUGUAACUGCCAUGUUUUAUACUUUCUGGAUGUCCCAUGAUCAUAUUAUAAAAGUAGUUGCUUUCUAUGUGAUAUAUCAAGCACUGCUAAGAGUUGU
rnacentral:lncRNA from 1 species